rnacentral:lncRNA from 1 species
AGAGAGAGAGAGAGAGAGAGAGAGAGAGAGGAGGUAGNNNNNNNNNNNNNNNNNNNNNNNNNNNNNNNNNNNNNNNNNNNNNNNNNNNNNNNNNNNNNNNNNNNNNNNNNNNNNNNNNNNNNNNNNNNNNNNNNNNNNNNNNNNNNNNNNNNNNNNNNNNNNNNNNNNNNNNNNNNNNNNNNNNNNNNNNNNNNNNNNNNNNNNNNNNNNNNNNNNNNNNNNNNNNNNNNNNNNNNNNNNNNNNNNNNNNNNNNNNNNNNNNNNNNNNNNNNNNNNNNNNNNNNNNNNNNNNNNNNNNNNNNNNNNNNNNNNNNNNNNNNNNNNNNNNNNNNNNNNNNNNNNNNNNNNNNNNNNNNNNNNNNNNNNNNNNNNNNNNUAGAAGAAAUAAAACGGCGAAUAAUUAAUUACACGAGAGGUAUUUGACUCACAGAGUUUUUUAUGCCUUUCGCCUCUUCUUCAGUCAUGUAGAGUGGGCCUGGUAUAUGGAGUUUGACUAUCUCAAGCUUCCUCCCCUUGGCAUCAGUGGAGGCGGCAAGGACUGAAAAGGCUUCGAUGGAUCUCUCAUACUGAGGGUCGGCCUCGUCGUCAGUCCAAGCCAGCAGGACCACGCCAGGUCUAGCAAAGCAGCACAUGUUGUCCACAUGACCGUUGGUAUCCUCGUCCCCUGCAACACUUUUUGAGCUCUCAAUUCAGAAACAGCAAUUCAAAAAAGUACAAUAUAUAUGUAUAUAUAUAUAUAUAGAUACAUACAUGCACAUACAUACAGAUAGAUAGAUAGAUAGAUCGAGAGAGAGAGAGAUUAAAGAGAACUGUUUCAAGAGAUCAUAUUUAUCAACAAGAUGGGAAUUAACAAUCGAAUUGGUUGGAUAAGGGCAUGAGCGUUCAAAAAUAUCCUGUUCAAUUACCCUGUUGAUUUUCUUCAGAAAAUGCCUUCCAAAUUAGGCCACAUUGCUGAAUAGGACAAGACUCGAGUCAAAGUCAGAUGCUUGAUGAAUUAUUUUCUUAUUAAGAAAAAACAGAAAUUUUAUCCUUUCUGGACGUGGAUAAUUUAUUUUCAUAAACACUGGCAUUGAACACCAUCCUUCUAAUGAUCAUCUCAUAAUUUUCAUCGUGAUCGACCUUCUGGAGAGGAUAAAUAAUCUUUCGAUGGAAAAUAAGAGAGCCAAUAGACAAGAAAUAAAAGCCCAACAUCAGAAUUCGCUGAAAAAGCAUCCCUACCGUAGAGGCCUCUGGGCAACCAAAUGACCUUCUGAACACCGAGAUACAUCUUCAAUUCGUUCUCUAUCUCCACCUUGCUCAUAUCUGGGUUCCGAUUUAGAUUCAACAGGCAUUCCUCAGUCGUGAUACAGGUCCCUGCAGGGAGGUAAAUCAGAAAGGGGGAAAGGAAAUAUUUCAGCCAAGAAUAUACAAUAUUAAGACCGAAUUUCCAACUUUGCCCGUUCUUGAAAGUGAUAAAUGCUUAUAUUCACAAAAAUGAAGAUUAUCGCUAUCAAUUAACCGCUACCCCUGAAAUAUGUUCAUUUCAUGGGAGCUGCUACCCCUUUUAAUUGCCAGGAUAUUUCCACAAAUUAGUGUUCCUAAUGCCCAAACUUGCAGUAUUCUUGAAUAAAAAAGACCUAUAGAGGUAAGGACAUUAUAUAUUGGAUAAAAUGCAAAAUAAUAUUCCGGAAAGUUUAAUUUUUUCUAAUAGUAAAAAAAAUAGGAUAAGAGGACUAUUUUUAGAUAUUUUCUUGUCGCCAUGGUGCAAGAUAAGGCAGGAGUUCAGCAAUUGGCCGUAGAGUAAAAAGUUUUCACCUUCUCCGUCAACAUGGAUGCUUCCACCCUCAAGAAUCAUCUGAUGUCGAAAUCUAGGGAUCCUCUCCAAGGCAAGGAUCUGAUGAUGUGGGCAGUUGAAUUUGAGGAAAUCAGAAGAUAGUAAAAUAGAUGGAAAGAAAUGAAAUGGUUUAAGGACCUUCUUUGCCACGAGGGAAUCAAGACUCCAAUCACUGUAGCAUGCUUCCUCCCCUGCACAUAAUCAGAUACCCACAGCGUAAAGGCAUCAGACUUCAUAAUAGCCACCUGAGCUCCAAAUUUUAAGGGAAAUAGCAACCUGUUCUGGGUGUUUGAGAGAUGAGAUAACCUUUGAUGCCAGAAAACGAUUAGAAAAGGAAAGAAUGUAGUCUUUACUCAUCAAUGGCUGAAGAAAAUUUUACUGAUGAGUCGUAGCUUCGAAAUUAAUACAAACAGGAAAGGGAUUCAUUUACGUUGAGAGAGAAAAAAGAAACUCUUCGAACCAGGUUUUGCUUAUCGUAACAGCCAAAUGAUAAUAACUUGUUGCUUUUCACAUGCUCAUCUGAAGAAUAAUCCGGGGCCUUAAGCAGACACCUUGGAUCAUUGAAGGAUUCAGGAAGAAAAGAAGAAAGAAAGAGAAAGAUGACAGCCAGGCACCAGCAGAAGAGCUAUGUGCACAUGUUUCUCACAAGAGAGAGAGAGAGAGAGAGAGAGAGAGAGAGCCUGUCUCAUUCUUGUCCGCGAUUUAAGGUCGACUCUGUAGUAUUCUUAUGAAUACACUCAGGAUGGUGAAAACUCUACGAGUUUUGAUGGCUAACUCUGAUCUGAAAUCGGAAAUUUUUUUCAGCAAAGAUCAUGCAUACUGUUCACAGAUAUCCAAUUAUAAAAACAUUUCUGGAUAAAAAAAAGAGGUCAUUGGUUCUCACCGCCCCAGCAAUUGAAAUUCCAAUCAAUGCCUGCAGUUUGGCCUUCAGGACAUUUUUCACUUGAGCUCCUGAUAAGAAACUAAUCAACAAGGACAUCAGUUUAAACUAUGAGCAUCUAUCUUGCCAGCAAAAGCCUCAUGCAUUGAAAACUUGAAUUGUGGAAUGAUGAAAAAUUGUAGAAGGGGAGAGAAACUCACUGUAGGUCCAAUAUCACGAAACCAGGCAUCAUUCAUGCUCAUUUCUACCAGCCUUAUAUUAGCGCCAGCAGGCAGCAUAUCGCAGGCCUUCACAUACUAGAAGGGCCGGGCCAUGAAAAAUUUAAAACAUGUUAUCCAGUAAGUGACCAGUUAAGCAAGGCUUUUAACGCAAUCAAAACCCAAAAAAUUGAUGAUUGGGAAAAAAAACAUCAACUGUUGAAUAAAUGAGCAUUUGUAUCCCCAGCCUCAUGAUAACUUCCCUGAUCUCAGAUCUAAAAGCAAAGGACGUACUUAUCAUUAAUGUGCUUCCAGUACAACAAUUAACCAGGGAUUGAUGCUGUGAACUCAUUUGGCAACUUCUCAUAAAUAAACCUGUGUGUCGUCUUGGGUCUUGCACCAGGUAGCCACCACCCUAAAUCUAGACCCAUCCCAACGUUCAUCUGGGCCAGGCUCUGGGCAUUGUCGGGUCCAGCCUACUUUAAUGUUCAUCCAUGUGACUUCCCCCAACUGAUAUCAAGCUGACCUGAACGCCGCAUUUGAAGAUUGGAGGGGGAGGGGGUGCAGGCUUUUCACAUGGCAAUGCCCGACUCAAGGAAGAAAACGAAGAGAGAUCAAUGAAGCAUUGAGUCCACACAAAUGAACAGCAUUAGAGGACCACCAACCUGGGAAGAGAUGGCGCAGAGUGUUACAGGCUCAAACCUAGAAAUAGCUGACGCCACUUCAACAAAUGUGCGUUGACCGGGCAGUGCAUCAUCCCGCCAGUUAUCCGCUCGCUCCUGAGGCAAAAAUGAUAAACGAUCUCGUUAUAAAUGGCCCAGAAGAGUCAUGCACUGACAUCUGAAGCACCCAAGAUGGAUAAUUAUGAUUUAUUAACAGAAAUUUGUGACUCUUCUCUUAUUUUUCGUUUCUCCUCAAAUGAAAGGUGGUAGAUGGUCCCACAAGAGAGGCCAUCCUAAACGUGGUUUAAAGUCCUUUUGUCUGCUGAUCAUCACUUCCAGCCCGUUUAAUCUACCGUCAUAACUGUUCAUUAUAGGAAUAAUUCCCUCACUGAGCCUCCUUUUAAUCACUAAAUCAGGAGUAAUUUAUUCCACUUUCUGGAUGCCCUGAGAGAGAAUCAAGUACAUGUGAAGGAAACCCCUAUGAGUUUGUGUACAUUCAUGAUAGCCUCACUAUCAUCCUUUAUGUCAGAUGAACCCUUCACCAUAGUGGAGAAGAUGCAGGGUGUAGGGCUUUACCUAUACUCAGGACUUAACAGUGUUCUAUCAAAGACUCCUUUCAGGCCCCAAUCGAAUAAAGAAAAGAAUUUCGUGUGAGAUAUGAGAAUAAGCCAUUAUAGAUUGUAUACAUGUUUCCCCAAAGGGAUCACAACAGCCUACACCCUGACUUCAUAGUGCUUUGUCAAAGACACUUAUUGACAAACAAUUCAGAAAAGAAUUUCAUGCGAGAUUCGAGAGUAAACAUUUAUCUAUUAUUUUCAAUAUUUUUCAAAAGGGAUUACAAUAGCCCACAUCAGAACUUAACAGCGGUUGUUCAAAAUCCCUCUUUCAGAGACAAUUGACUAAAAGAACUUCAUGUGAGAUUAAAAGCUUUCCACUGUGUAUAUGGAAACCCAUUUUUACUGAUAAUAAGUCGAAAUAAAGACAAAUUACUGCCCCUUCUUACCCAUUCACAGAAUAAUAUGAAGCAAAUGAAGGCAAAAACACUCUUUAACGUCCCAUGAAGGAAAAGCUCUAUCAUUCUAUAUUAAACCCGGAACCUUGGUUCAUUUCGGAAUUUGGACUACUGCAUGAUGGCGUAUAAGUUUAAACCGUUCAUUAUACGAAUCCAGUGUCAUCAGUUUAGGGCAUAUAUGGAAGUAAAGGUUGAACAGAAAGAUGAACUUGAGGGAAAACUAAAAAUAAUGAUCCUAAUCUACAAUCAAAUGAAAAGAAUAGUGUGGAUUUAAAAAUCAGAAAACUGUAGGAAGGAAACUGGCUAGUUCCCCACCUCCCCCUUCCAGCUAAAUAACAUUUCAUAAUCUGAUAAAUCCAAAGAAAAUGCUGUAUCGCUAUUUUGAAGAGUGGAUUCAAUAGAGAACAUUAACCCAUAAAGAUACAAGACCCAUGGAAAAAAACCCACGAUAAGGAUCCUUCAGUAAAAUCCAUUUCAGGAGGCAGCGCUCUGCCGGUGACUGAAGAUUGAAGAGACGAUGAAAAACAUCAGAUUUCAUCGUCGCUUCUCUAGAGGAGGCUAUACUCGACUUCUUAAUCCUGAAACUCUCGAUCUAUUCGAAGGUUCACAGGUUUCAAAUAAGUUCAAAGAGGAUCCGGAGAGGCUCGACCCGCAUCAUCGGGGAAGUGGGAGGAAUGGGGUGCUGGAAAGGAAGGAGAGAGAGAGAGAGAGAGAGAGAGAGAAAGAGAGAGAAGCAGACCGGCCAGCCGAUCCAGGACUGUUCAUGGGGCUCCCACUCCGCCGGCAUGCGGAACCCCAGGAGGGCCGGCUUGCCCUUCAGAUCCUCCAUCUCUUCUUCGCACCCCGCCGAGCCGCCGCCGGCUUGUAUCUACUCCCACCUUUCUUAUACCCGGCGCUCAAUCAGGCUGUGGUGGCCGCAAGCAGAAUGAUCAAACCGAUCAAGCCCUUCUGCAUCCGCCACGCAGGUGGGCUGACUCCGAGGAGACACAGGUCAACAGAGGACCCUGGAAUAGUAGAAAGAACAGGAUUUUAUUGGUAGAAAAUAUCUCCGACAUUCCGCACUAGCGGGUCCGACCGAUCCACCCAGGUUAUUGAAGUCAGGUGGUACACUGUUGAAGCCCCAGACUCUUUCUUUCAUCCACGUGGCGGGCGGCCCACGCGGGCAUUCAAUCGUCGCAGCAGAUCGCCGAUGGGCCGUAGCAGUGUAGCCCCACCUCAGGGAACUAACGGCCAGGCGAUUGCAAACCAGAAUGCCUGCCGACUCACAGACGAAAGAGCUGCGGGGAGCUCGGCAAGGACAACCGGAAUGGAGGCCUCGGCUGAAGCACAGGAGGCGCAGCAGCAGGAGGCGGCGGGAAGCAAGGACGGGAUCCGGAGAAGGUGGAGCGACGGCGCCAUUGGUCUUGUGCUCCCCCUCCCCGGUUUGCUGGUGAUGAUGGCUUGGGAUGGCGAGCAGAAGGUGAUGGAAGACAGAAGGAUGGCCUUUUCUCCAGGCUUCUGAGUUAUUCGGGUGUUAUGGCCAGACAGGACACGUGGGACAUGCAUUUCCACUGACCGUUGCGUCAUGCGAUUCAGAAGCGCCCACUCCUUUCUUCUCUAGCCAAGCAGAGGGCGGAUAAUGUGCAUAAUUUGUCUCUCCCCCUCCCCUUCUCUAUGGCUCACGUGUUGGAACAAAUUGUUUGUUCCUCUAAUGACUGGGAACGCGCUGGUGGAACCGUUUCUCUCUUUGUAGUUUCCUCAUCCCCUGUUUCUCUCACCUCUCCUACUUUCUGUAUUAUCUUUAGAUUAAGCCAAUUCAUCCUUUUAUUAAUUAUCUCAGAACUUGAUGUUGACAACGGAGGGACAUGAGCUAAACAACUUGGUUGUGAAAGAUCGAGGAUAGAACAUCUAUUUUUCUCUCUCCUUUGUCCAUAUCUUUUUUGUACUUUGGUUUAUAUUUACUUGGGGAACUCAAAAGAAGUUAUCAUCAAAUUUGUUGUCUUCCUUGUGAACUUGACUUAAAACUCGCCAUAAUUAAUUGAUUUAGUUUAAUACGAAUUAAAUUUUACAGAUGUUAAAUUUGGCAUCCCUCAUUCCAACGACUAAUAGAGAAUCAAAUUUCAAAAAGGGACUAGACAAACUUGGAUCUCUAGUUAACAAUUGACUGUGGCCUAUUGCAAUGCCAACAUAUCCAAUUUCAACCAAACACAAACAUGUUUGAAUACACAAAUACUACUCACAUGUCAAUGGCAUCAUACUAUGUGACCUGACACAUGUCAUCAUAAUUUAGUGUCUAAUUAAGUGAACGAAGAAAGUGCAAAGAUAUAAGCCUGAGUUAGCAAAAUAAUCAAUCAUGGAUUUAGUGGUGAGCUCUUGAGUGUUCAACAUAAUGAUGGUUGUUGAUUAUUUUUCCGUAAACAAGAGUAGAGUGUCUCUCAUGUCUAGUAAUGAUGUCCUUCAACCUCUUGCUUGAUCCCUAGCCUCCCUUGUAAUUAACAACCUUUAUUAGUCUCUUCUCCAACCUCAUCCCUAUCCCUAGUAGUUUUAUUUCCCUCCAAUACCACUUAAGUAGACUUCAUGAUAUAUCUUUGGUCUUUCUUAUGAUCCUUGAGUCAAUAUGCCGAAGCUUCAUAUGCAUACUAAAAUAGUUCAGUUGCUAUCCAAAGAAUAUCGAUUAAAGUUCUGAGGAAAAGAGUAAAUCCAAUUGCCAUUUUGAGAUUAGGCCCUCGAUCAUCAUGUGACAUGAUAUAAAAGAAACCCUUUGCCAAACACAAUUUAUUAUUCAAAAUCCAGAUAGGAAACUAAACUUAUUGAUGGUUGCAGCACUAAAGUGAAAUCUAGUAUGCUGAAUGUGAAAAAGAAUUUUUGAGAUAUCUGAGUUUAGAUUCCUAGAUAAUCAUAUGAAAACUAGGAUCAUAGUUUUGGAUAAUGUGGUUGGCUAAAGCUGGAGAAGACUAUUGUGGGCUGAUGAGUCUGCCUUCACAAAUGUCACAAUGUGGCUGUCGACGCUAAGCAGCCGCUUGGGCAUCACACCCAAUGGGUCAAAGCAUCUUAUAUGGUUCAGGGACACAGCUGAAUCACAUAGCCCCUUGCAUAUUCAUUGAUGGCAAAGCGGGUGUAGUGAGUGGCAAAGGUUGACGAAAUGCUACCCCUCAUCACAGACCCAUCGCUAGGGCUCAGCUGCUAGAUGUUAGAGCUGAUUGAGCAUGCCCUCAGAUUGGUAAACCUGAUGUUGACUAUCAUUCCUAAGAUCACCCUCUCUUCAUCAAGGUCUUCCAAGAAGAAGGGGAGAUGAAGGCCGCACAAGUUGGCAGUGAGGACCUUAUAAAACUUUUAUUAGUAUGUCACCAUUUAGAUUAAUUUUUGGAAAAUCAUGUCAUUUAUUGUUGAAUUAGAAUAUAGAGCUUAUUGGGCAAUAAAACAAUUAAAUAUUAACUUACAUGAGGUUGUACAUCAUAAAUCUCUGUUAACAUGAUAUCUCUAUUGAUUAUUCUUUACAUUUCAUGUAAUUUUUUUCAUUAAAUCCUGAAAAUAUCAUGUUAUUAACAAAAUUAAUGUAAAUAUUCCUAUAUUUACAUUAAUUUUACUAGUUGCACACUAUACUUGAAUUUUGCAUGAUUUUGACUAACUCUACUUGACUUCUAUGAAGUCAAGAAGUUUUAUUACUAAUAAUUUUUUUUAAGUUUUUGUGUGCAUAGAAUGUAACAAGAAACAACAAUAAAUUAGGAGCACUUUAGUGAAUCCAAUUUAGCUUAAUGGUCUAGGAGUACUUUGGAGGAAUUUUGGUUAUGGAGCUUAAAGGAGAAAUGAAAGGAGGUUUUGGGCCAUGUCUAGGCCCAUUUAGACCUUCAUAAAUCCAUUCUAGAGGAAGAGAUUUUCAAAUUCAUGGAGAGAGAUUAGGGAAUUAUAAAGGGGCAUUUUAGUCAUGCCUACCCAUGUAUAAAAACUCAUCUCUCCUAUCUCUCCUCAUUGUAGACAUGCUCUAGCAAAUGACUGGCCAGCAAGACAAGGAUCUCUAGGGUCCAAGGUUUUCCCUAGCUUGGUGUAAGUUUCCUUGAAGUAAUCAUUCAAUCUUCUCUCUCGUUUGAUUUGGAAAACGUUUGAUCCUAGCAGAAUAUAAGGAUCUGAACUUGAGAUAAUGCAUUGAGGGCUCAAGAAACGAGCACUAGAUUUUUUUUAGGAACUUUGGUUUACAUCAAAUCAUCAUUUCACUUCACCUACAUUGCUUCUCACCAUUGACUUCCAAACUGGGGGGCCCUCCAGUCUGACUUCAGAGCCUUCAUUUUUUUCUCUCUACCCCAUCAUUUUGUCCACUUUCUCUCUUUAGGAUUUAUGUUUUUUUUCUCUCGAGGUCAUCCUUUCUCUCUCUAGUUAGUCACUCUAAAAAAAAUCACAACGAAACAAAGUUAUCUAGUUCCUCGUCCAUCGCCAUGUGAUCUGGCACUUUGCCUUUUCUCCACCACUCCUCAUCUCUCUCGUCUGCCAACCACUGCUGCCAUCUAUCACCAACAGCUGCGCAUCCACCAAUCACUACCGUGUGCUCAUCGCUAGCCGCCGCACAUCCACUGAUCACUGCUGCCACCUAUGGCCCGCCGUCGUGCACUUGCUGCUAGUCGCUAUGUGUCCACCACCCUCUCUCUCUCUACCCUUCUUGACGUAACCAAAAGUCCUAAAUUUCAAUUAAGUUUAGAAAUGGUCAUGAGAGAUCAGUACCCAUGUAGUCCCCCCUGACCCAACCAUCAACCACAAAGGUAAGUCAUUUUAUUAUUAUUUAUUUUUAUUCUUUUGCAUUUAAAAAAAUCAAUCAAAAUUAGAAAAAAAUACUACAAAAUAAAAUUCUAAGUAGUCAUUAGUUGUAUUUUCUGCACAUGUAAAUUCCAAAAAACUCUAUUAAGCUCUAUAAAAAUCCUAAAAAAACUUAGAGUGAAAUUUUAACUUCCAAACUUAUUUCUACCAUUUCUAGGCCUCAAAAAAUUCUCAAAAUUUAAUUUCUACCUCCUUGUGGAUCGACUCCUUAUUGCCCUAUGCUUGAUAUAGAGUAACUAAAUGGAAAAUUUUCUCAACUAUUGUUGGUUAAGUCUGAAUUAAAAUAGCGAUGAAAAACCCUGAAAUUUGGACUUGAAAUUUUCAAUUAUUUGAAUUAAAAGAGCUUAAGAAUGAGGAUUAUGAAACUUUUCAUAUUUAAAAAUUUCUCGUAAAAGAUUAUUAUGAUAAACAUAUUACAAGAAAAUCAUUUCAGGUUGGUCAAAAGGUAUGGCUUUUUAAUUCAAGAUUACAUUUAUUUAUUGAAAAAUUAAAAUCAAGAUGGGAUGGUCCUUACAUUAUUGUUGAUGUUACAAAUAGUGGAGUUGUAAAAAUUAGUGACCCAAGAGAUGAACAAAACUUUGUUGUCAAUGGUCAAAGGUUCAAACAAUAUAUAGAACAUGAUCCACCUAAGCCUAUAUUAAUAGUUAAAUUUAAAAAUCCUUAAGCAUCAUUAUAUUAGGUUAAAGACAUAAAAAUAAGCACCUAGUUAGGAGGCAACCCAAUAAUUUUUAUUUUUUUCAUUUUAGAUUUUUUUACAUUUAUUUAUUUUAUUUAAAGAGAUAAUUUUUAUUUUCUACAAUUUUUAUCUACUAUUAAAAAUAAGGUAUCAACUCUCCACUCUUCCAUAUUUUAUCCAUUAUGUUAAAAUUUUAUUUGAAAAUUUUAAUAUCUUUAUAUUUUAGUUAAUGGUUCAUCUUUUUAGAUAAUUUAAGGGACUGAUCAAAUAUCACCAACAAAAAAUUCAAGGAGUUGAAUAAUCAUCUAUGACUAUUCAAUGAGUUUUUCUAAACUUUAAUUCUUAAUAUUUCACACUUGAGAUAAAUUCUAUAGUGUUUAUUUCUUUUAUAAUCUCAAUAGAAUAUUUUAUUGGGGAUAAUAGAACAACUAAGUUAGGUAAGGAGAAAUUUAUAAAAAUCAAAUAUACAAUUUAUUGUAUGAAAAUGAGUUUAUAGUAAAUUUUUUGUAUGAUUUCGUACAUAUUAAUUACGAAAUAUUGAAAUAAAUAAUACAUCAUGAAUUACUAUAUGAAUUGAUUUAUAGAUGAGCAAGAUGAAGAACUUACUCUAUGAUGUAAGUUUUAUGUCAAGUUAAAAGUUCAAAUAUUUCCCUAGGGGGAGUUAAAAACAUGGAAUUGAAUCAAAGCAUACAUCUCAAACUCAUUUUUAUAUUUAUUAUUUUUUGAUUCUUAAACUUCUGAUCUUACUCAUUCACAUCUCAUGAUCUAAUGUGAUUAAGCCUUGUAUGAAAAUCAUUUUUAACAUGAGAUAGAGCUUUUGUCAAUUUCUUUGACAAUUAGUAUUUAUAACUAAGUGAAGCCCCAUGAACCACAGAGGGAUAUAAAAGCUCUUCAGGGAAAUAAGAUGCAUGCUUAAUUAGGGCAACACAUGGAAAAAAUAUUACAAUUCUUUACAAUAAAAUUAUGUUUAACUUGAAGAAAGCAUAGGGAGUAUGUUGUGAGACAUCAUAGGGUUGUGAGACACCUAGGCAUUCCUCUAGUAGUAAGUAUUGAUGAUAAAAUCUUAUUAAUUAUUACAUGAUUUUUGAAAAUUAUUUUCCAUGUGUUUUAGCCAUUUUAUAUAUAGCCACUUAUAUAUACGAUUUGACAGAAUCUUUGUCCUGUCCAUAUCUUUUAUAGUGUAUGGUAUCUAUCAAUGUUAUUUCUUGAUGAGGUGAAUUCUUUUUUUUAUUUAUAUAGUACAAUUAUUAUUAUACAUAGAGUAUUAAGAAACGUGCUUAAGAUCAUGAAAAUGUUUGAAGUACAUAUUUUGAGAAAUAUUUUGACACAAAAGGUAGGUUUAGUAUCUAUGCUUGACAUAGAUCAUGUAAUCAUUUGAUAAAGUUAUUUCAUAUUAGCUCUGAUCGAUGAUUGCUUUAUAAUGCUCUUAAUAUUUAAAUAUAUGUUUUAUUUUCAUUGUUAAGGGAUUAAUAAUGAUUCAAGUUGGGGAUGUGAUAACUAGUGAAAAUUAACAUAUUUGAGAAGUAUUUCACAAGUUAUCAUGUUAAUUAUUUUAUUUGUCAUUCAAAUGAACUUCUCUAAAUAUUGAUUUAAAUUCAUAUUUAAUAAAUAAAAAUAAAGUGUAUGAGAAUUUAUUUCAUAUUUGGAGGCUUAAUUUUUAUUUAUUUUAUUUUUAAGUAAAUUAUUAUUUUGAUAAAUUUGUAUGAUUAAUUGAAAUACAUUUUUACAGUUUUUUCAAAGUUUAUAAUCAUUAAAAUAAAUAUAAAAAUAGAGAAAAAGGGCUCACCAUUUAAUAAGCCUAGCAUGGGCCCAAAGGGCACAUUGCCUCGUGACCCAUGUUGAAUCGGGUAAUGUAUCAUAAGGGUUUUGGAGCACAUAGGCUCAUCUCUACAGCCUACUAGGAGCUCGAUGUGAAACCUAGAUCUACCUUGGGAGUUGGGGCUAGAACUCAAAUCUUCCCUUUUGGAGAUGCCUCUACUAAUGUGGAGGGGUGUCUCAAUAUACAAUAUAAAUCUUACUUAAAACUUCUAAUGCGGAAUUAAAUUCUCUCUUUUUCUUUUUUAUCAGAUUCAAUAGUAAAGUUGGAGCAAUGGCUAGAUCCGAUGCACCAUAUGAUGCAACGUCACAGCCAUCAUCAUUCAAAAAAGUAACUCUAGAUCCAACAAUGGCUGCUACCACAUCCAAUGAUCUAGGAGACACCAUGUCACUACCCACCAUCACAGGAGAAGCAACCACCAAUCAAUGGUGGCUAUAGUUGCAUUUGAUGCACAAGAAUGUCCCAUGUUGCGGCCAUCAUCGUAUGAAAAGUAGCAUCAAAUCCAAUGACAACCACUAUCAAAUCCAACACACCAAAAGGGACACAUCGCCAACCACCAACAUGUGUUGCGGCAAGCACAUAGAUUUUGAUAAAACACAUGAAAAAGGAGGGAGAAGUGAUGGAGAUCUAACAACAACUAUUGGGCCACAUCACCCCUCUUCAAAAUGAGAUGACAACAUGAGGAUCUAAAAAUAUUCAUCGAGCCAUGCAUUAUAGGAUAUUUACAAAUAUUAAUUAUCAUUUGCCAAAAUAGAUGAUAUCGAUUAUUCUUUGAUACAUGCAAGAAGUUAUAUUUACAAAUAUCAGUUAUCAUUUGGUAAAACAUAUAAUAUUGAUUAUUGUCACGUGAAAAAAUGAGAAAAUGUCAGAAAAAUUAGAGAAAAACUAGAAAAAUACAGCAAAAAAUAGGAAGUUAAAGCAUAAAAUAUGAUUGCAGAGCUAAAAAAAAUAAAUAAGAGAAGAGAGAAAUAAAGCCUUUUUUUGAGUUGUUCUUUGGUUGUUCUUGAGAGAAAAUAUUAUUCUUCUUUUUCUAGUGAAAAUAGAAAUCUGAAGAGUGCAUCAUUGAUUUUGAUCUUUUUCCUCUACCCUUCUCACCUUAAAUCUAUUUCAUUGAACUAGAUGCAAAAUUGAGAAGUGCUAUCAUAAGUCAACAUCAAGUCAUGCAUUCUAAGGGUUGUAAGUUUGAUUUUUAAUAGAGUUUUCAUUAUUUUCUUGUCAGAUCUUCAAAAUAAAUUUAUUUUCUUACAUUUACUUAUUUUUCGAGUUUCAUCAUUCUAAAGUAUAUUUAUUUACUUUUUAAAUUUUAUUUCAGUUUUAAAUUCAUAUUUAUAUUUAUUUAACAUUUUAUUUCCUUUAUUACUUUGACUAUCAAUUCAAAUAUUUAAAUGAAUUUUAUAAUUCGUCAAAUUACAGAAUAAAAGAUUUUUAAAAGCCUUCUCUAAGGAGAUGACCUAGCUCACCAAAAUAUCUAUUUAUAAUUAUUUUUGGUGACUCUAUUUCUAUAAAUUAUUAAAAUUAAUUGAUGAUUCUAAUAACAAUUUAGGGUUACAUGAGAGGCCUUAUCUAGUUGUUAUUUUCAACCCUAAAUAAGGUAUUAAACUAGUCCAAAUUCUCUCACAAAUAGUAGGAUUUACCUUAAUCUUAAAACCCUUAAAUUUAGUGCAACUUGAUAUUACAACCUACUUUUAUUUUCCUUAUUCUAGAGUCACUCAUUUCUAGCACUCCUCUUUGUCCCACAUCACCUUUGUGAAUGAUUAUUCAUUGAUUUUAUGGGUCUAUCUUCUCAAAGCUCGUACUGAUGUCCUUCCUAUUAUUCAUCAGUUUCUAUAGGAAACUAUUACUCAAUAUUCUUUAACUUCAAAAAUCCUUUAAUCUAACAAUGCCCUUGAGUUUGUGUAAGACUCACUAUAAGAACAUUUUACCUCCCUUGACUUUAUUCAUCAAAUAUAUUGUCCUCUCACCUCCCAACAAAAUAGAAUUGUUGAGACACAAACAUCAUCACCUUCUUGAUAACACUUGUACACUAAUAAUACAAAUAAGAGUUAUCUAGUAUCUAUGGUGUGAUGUCAUUUUCAACACAACUUAUUUUUUAAUCAACUUCUCUCUUCACCUUUAAGAGGAGAAGUCCCACUUAGCCAUCUAUCACCUUUAUUCAAGAUCAUUCACUAAAUCUCUCCAAACUUUCUCCUAGGGCCUAUUGAGAAUAUUUUUUUCAGCUAUUCUCAAACCCAAAAGGGUUAUCACAUAUAUAUUUUAGAUUAUUAGUGGUACAUAAUUUUGACUAAUGUCACCUUCUUUAAAAUUACUUGAUUCCUCUAUAUUACCUCUACUCCCUCCACAAUUCAUCUGCCUCUAUUUCUCUUGGAAGAAUUAUUAUGUUUGACACCUACUACAACAUCAGACUUAGACUUCUCACCUCUACUGGUUACCACUUCAACCCUCUCCUCUAGUUUGUCACCACCAUCUAAUUGUGAUCUUCAUCUCAUGAUCAUAAUAUGCAAAGGCACUUGGAGUUGCACCCUUCAUCUAAUUUUUCAUUGUGUUCUUAUGACUAAGUUCAUUUCACUUUUCAUAACUUUGCCCUCUUGAUUACCACUAAGUAGAUUCCUAAAAUGUAUUUGGAGGCAUUGCUCAUGUGCUAUGAACUUAGAGUACAAAGCACUACUCAUGCACAAUAGUUGAAAGUUAUUUCUUUAUCCCAAGGAUGUUAACAUCGUUACUUGCAAGUGUGUAUUUAUGUUCAAAUACAAUUUAGAUAGUACUGUCAAUUAACAUAUAGUGUCUAGUGACUCAGGGCUUCUCUCAAGCAUAUGAAGUUCACUAUAAAGAAACAUUCUCUCUAAUUGUUUGCCUCAAUUAUAUUCGUGUAUUGUUCUCUUUUACUAUCAACAAAGGAUGGACACUCAACUUGACAUCUAUAAUAUCUUUCUCUAUGAAGACUUAAUCGAAUGUCUUUAUGGAGUAGCCUCAAAAGUACAUUAUUUAGGAGGAGUCAUCUAAGGUAUGCCUUCUCAAAUGUACUGUCUAUAAUGUUAAACAAAGUCUCUAAGUAUGGUUUUUCAAGUUUAGCAAGAUCAUAACUCUAUAUGACUUCAUGACGUGCAUGGUGAACCUUAUUGUGAGUGUCAUUCUAAUUAUCUAUGUCAGUGGUAUUGUACUCAUAAGUAAUGAUAUGAUGCUCAUUUAUAUGCACGCUUCAUUAGUCAUGACAUAGGUAAACAUUGCAACUUCUUGGGCAUUGGACUCAUCUAUCAACACAUAAGGAUGGUUCUUUCUCAGUAUAAAUGUGUUAGAUCUACUAAAAGAAGUUGGCAUUUUGGGUUGUAAAUUUAAGCUAUCACUAAUUGACUCACAACUCAAUUUUUAGGACACUAUAUAUCCUCUCCUUGAUGAUGUUAAUCGAUAUAGGCGACUAAUCAGGAAGUUAAUCUACCUAAUAAUCACUCCUUUGACAUUGUCUAUACCAUGAGACUUUUUAACUAGUUUGUGUAUGAGCCACAACAAGUAUACUAAUUAGGAGCACUACGUGUAUUGGCAUAAAUAAAAUGAGUUUUAAGAUGAUGCUUAGUAUACAAGUGACAUGAACAUCUUUAGGUUGAAGUUUACUCAAAAUUUAACUAUGCAAGCAAUAUGGGUGAUCGAAAAUCUACAUCUAGGUAUUGUACAUAUGAUAAAUCAGAUUUUUGGGUGAAAUUUAUCUUUUAAGGUUCUGAUUAGUAUAACAAUUUAGAGAUUUUCCUUACUUGUAUAGGGUGUGUAAGGGUCAAACCACAAAUAGCAAGAGUCAAAUCAAUAAAUUUUUCUUCUUGAUGAAAAUAAUUUAGAUUGGUGACAUUAUUUGUAUAUACACAUGUAUCUACAUUUAAAUUUUAUAUAGCUUCUUGUGAAUUAAUUGCGCUAAAAUUUGAGAGAAAACUAAUCAAACCUACUUUAAUUAUUCUAAGAAGUGCUUACCUAUUUAUAUGAAAUCUUAGCUUCUCUCUAUUCCAGUUUUUUUAUUUUUAACAAGAAGAAAACCUAAAAUCAAAGUAAUUUUACCUUGGCAAGCACUUAGCCAUGUGAGCUCACAAGCAACAAGCACGCGAGUGCACAAGUGACAAAUGAAGUACACGUGGUGAUGCACUAGCAAGUGGUGCACUGGAUAUCACACACCAACAAGUGUCAGUUUGUCAAUGCAGUAUCUGCGAGCGGCCGACAAUGAUGCAUGGAUGAUGAAGCCUUGAUGAGCAUCAUACAAGCGAUGAUGUGUUGACAAGUGGAUAGAUGAUGAUGCACCAGCGAAUGGCACAUGGGUGAUGACGCACCGGCAAGCAAUGCAUGGGUGGUGACAUGUUGGCAAGUAGGCGAACGAGUGUGCGGGCAGUAGGUGUAUGGACUAUGACACACUGGCGAGUAGAGGAAUAUUUUGUUUGUAACUUUUGCUACAUAACAAAGUUUUGGCCAUGAUUUGCGGCGUAGGAAAGCCCUAAACUUUGGCUAUCCUCUAGAGAGACAACUUGGGCAGAGAAGAGAAGGGAAAAAGGUAAGGUUAAGGAAGAAGAUAUGAACCUCUUGUCAUGCCAGUCAAGGCCUAGGUCUUUCUUCCUUCUCCUCCUCUGUACUCUCAAUCACGGAUUGCUUCUCCCUCAUUUAGACACUCUAAAAAAAGAGUGAAACCAAGAAAAUAUUGUUCAUCAAUUGCCAACCACAAGUUAGGGCAGCAAUUCUAAGUUAAUAUCAUAGAGGAAAAGAGUUAUAGGGUUCUAGUUUCUUCGUGUGAAAGACUUAGAAUGAAUGGUCUGAAUCAAUUCAUUUUGUGCCUUAGAUCUCAUCCUCCCCCCUCCUAAAAUCAGCCAACAACUCUUCAAUUUUGAGAUUCUAAGUCCUAUUUGAAAGUUGGCCUCCUCUUUAGGUGGACAUGGACCACCUUUCAGUUCUAUUUUGGGCCCAUAUCAUUGGGCUUAAAUGUCAACUGAUUUACUCCUUUUGCAUCUCAUUUCCAUCAUUGAAAUUACCUAAGUCAUGCAUCUCAAAAAAAACUAUAAAGAAGUAAUGAGAAAAGUCUAUUUAACUCAAGAGAGUCAAAUGAGUUUAGUCUCUAAAUCAAUAAAUUCAAUAAAUAUGACUAAAUAGGUAAUUCGUGCUUUUUAGUUUUAAGCAUAAACAUUAGAUUAUAUGUGUGUAAAAGUAAAGAUAAGUUAAGAAAAAAAACAUUAUUACACACAAUUAUCACUAACUAUUUGAUAUCAUCAAUAGGAGAAAUCUCAUCACCUAGGAUAGUAAGAAAUAACAUGUGGUAUCUCACUUUAGUAUUGAAGCAAAGUAUAGGGAUAUGACAAAGAUGACAUGUGAAAGAAUGUGGAUAUGUUUACUUCUUCAAGAACUGAUGUUUAUAGAUACACACCUAUGCACAUGUACUUUGACAACUAGGUAGCCAUCUUAAGGUUGCUUGUCACUAUGUACAAGAUAAGGUUCUCAAGGGGCUUAUAUUACUACACCAUACAUUAUGUCACCAGAUUAAUUGAUAGACAUUUUCACGAAGAGCUAGGGAAUACUCAAUAUCUACCAUCUAACUAGAGGGGGAGUGAGAAAGGGCCUUACCAGCACAUGGGCCUAAGGAGCCUCUCCCUAUAUACAUGGGAGAGGCCUCCUUUCUCUCUUGCGCUCUCUCUCUCUCUCUCUCUCUAGUAUUUCUUGAUAAAGGCAUUUCAUUUCAUUUUUUAAUGUUGACAAUAGUUUGAUUGUAUACAAGAUGUAUGAGCAUAUUUAAAUAAUUAUGGCCAAUAUAAACAAUAUUAAAAAUUUUUUGCUAUUAUUUUUCUACCUAUAAAAUGAUGUCCACAUCCAUAUGAAUGAUAAUGUUCUAAAAUUUGGUUUUGUUCUACUUCAGGGAUACAUCUAUGUAAAAUUUUGUCUACACCUAAGUAAAAUUUUGAUCAUUCCAAAAAUAAUGUACAGCACAAACAAAGAAUCACCCACACUCAUUUUUCUGCCAAUAUGAUAGAAUUUGUCCACCUGCUAAAUCAAAUUGAGAAAUGAAUUCAUUAAUGUGAUCAAUGCAAUUAAGCUCUUCAAUUGGUUGAAGGUCGAAUCAUAGGUUAAGCAUUAAGAGAGGUACCUUCAAGCUGCAAAACAUAUAAAUUAUCCAUUUGAAUACCCUUGUGAAUCAUUUUCUUGUGGAGAAAAGCAUAAAUCAAAUGGUAGUGGCAAAAAAACUUGAGUUGAACUUCAAAACUGGUUGUAAUAAAGCUCACAAAGAGUAAGUUGAACUGAAAUUUAGGAAAAAAAAUAUAUUCAUGAGAAACAAAACCAAAUUCAAUUGAACAUUGGCAAUCAUAUGGACUAACAUAUGUGCAUUAUUUGGCAAAAUAACCUCAGAAUUUUGUAAAGACCAUAACGUAGUGAAAUAUUUUGCAUCUACACAAAUAUGUUGAAGUGCACUAGAAUCAAUGAUCCAAAAUGACUUAGAUGACAACAUAAGGUUCAAUAAUGUUGGUAGACAUAUACCUAUCAUAUAAGUUGAUGGAGAUGAAUCAUGUAGACAAGUACUAUUCCUUGAGAAAGUAAGUCAUGUUGACAAUAGAAAAAUUAAUUGAUCAUAUUGAGUGGUGUUUAAGUUUCUAAGGAAAUGAUCAAUGUCAUCAUUGGACUGCUUAGGAGGUAAGUAAGAAGUGGAUAAAGUUUGAACCUGAUUGACAAUUGUUGUAAGUUAGGCUUUGAUUUCUAACUUGGUGGACAACCAUGUACUUUGUAACACUUUUUGAUAUUGUGACCUCAUCGAUUUUAAAGUAUGGAAUGUAAUGAUGUCGAAGGUUAUUUGAUGAUUUAGCACCAAAGGUCAUAGUAAUUGGAGGGUUGAUCCUAAUAAUGGGCUGCACUUUGAUUUGUCUUCAGAAUUCUUAUUCAGUAAUCAAGGAAAAAAUCUUAAUGACAGAUGGCAUUGGGUCAAGUAUUAAAAUUUGAGCCCGAAUGGGUGAAUAAGAUUCAUUGAGACCCAUCAAGAAAGAUAUGGCAUGAUCAUACUCUUAAGUUCUCCUAGAUAUACAUUUUUUACAUAAGUAUCUAGGUAGUAAUUGAUGGGUUCCAGUCGAUGUGGUUUAGAACUAUUAAAUCUUACUUUUAUAAAUUGAAUCCUAAAUUAAUUAUUCUCUUAAUCAUAUUUUGUGGGUUUAUAUUGAUGGGAGAUUUACUUUGACCUAUCUUCUAAUCUGAAAAUCAAAGAAAUGAUGAAGGGACCUACUAAUUAGAAAAGCUUGAUUUGGUCUCAAAAAAUGAUUGAUAGUUCAUUAGAUUAAAUCAGAUAUAUGUUUAGCACAUGUCAAAAGAUAAUUUUUUCUCAAGGUUGUGUUGACGGACAGAUGAUAAAGAAAGAAUUUAUCAACACUCAAUGAUCUUCCUAUGAUAUGAAAGUAUAUGUGUGAUAUCCAAACACAAUAAAGAGAGAAGAACACAAUCUGAUCCAUUAAUGGAUAGAAGUGAAUGACAAAGAAUGAAAUGAACUUCAGAAAAUAACAUAAAAUAAAGAUUUCUCUCUCUUAGUUUGACGAAUUUGGGGAAGAGAAUGCUGACCACGCGCAUAUGGCAAUGUUCAUUAAUGGUCCUUGCUCUAUUAUACUAGGGAAAGAUGAUGCACAAAUUGGUGGUCCAAGGUGUCCCUAUCCAUUGACCUUAGACAAACCACAAUGGCCUUUGAUGUUGUCGCCACCAAAGAGGAAGGAGAAGGGAUGACCUAACUAUCCUAGGUGAUAAAGGAUAGUGUUGGAGGAGAAAGGAUGAGCAGGCCAUCCCCCAGUAGGAAAAAUAUGCACCAAGAGGUGAGAGAAGGUGAGAACGUGAAUGAGUUAGAGUAGCUGCUGCUCCCAUUAUUUAAUUAGUUGCCUUACCAUUUGUCUUCCUCUUUUGCCCCUCAUGGCUUGCAAGACUUACAAGUAUAUCUCAUAAAAAUUAUAGUUUUACAAAGUUCAAUUCAUCACAUGUUUAAUAAGCCAAGAUAAAGUUUAAUAUUAUAUGAUCAUUUUCUACAUUACCAUUAUCAAUUAAUCUUCCCCUCCAAAGGCUACUGAUUUGUAUUUGAUAAUAAAAUAUCUAUUUUAUCUUAUAUUUUUCAUAAUUGUAAUUAAACAUAAAGAAAUAAUGAGAUAAAUGUAUCAUCCAUAAAUAUGCAUAUAUAGAAUUUUUAAUACACAUUCAUGAUAUUUCUACAUUCAUUAAGCUUUAAUCUUACAUCUUCUUACCUUUUUAUUAAGAUAAUUCAUUUAAUUAUGAGUAAUAUGAUUAAUUCUUUGCAAAGAGUUUUUAACUUGGUGAAAUGAUUAUAGAAUCUUGAUCUUGAUGUAGAUUUAUUAGCUCAUAUAAUAAUUGAAAAUUUCAAGGUUUAUUUCUUUGUUAAAAUUUAUGCUUGAGUUAUCUCCAUAUCCCUAUGAAUUAGAAAGGAUAAUACUUGUAGAUAUCACACAAGAAAUAGAGUUGAAAAUCCAAGAAAUCACAAUGUUGUUAUUUCAGUUCCAAGCAGAUUACAUGAUAGAAUCACCAUCACUAGGCUUGAGUCUAGAGCCAUCAAUGAAUCCAACUUUAUUCUUGACUAAGAGUGCAAUGAGUAUAGCAUGGCUCCAUGAUGGGUAGUUUUCUCAUGUAAGCUAUUGAGUGACUAAUAUUUAAGUUGGAUUAUCUAAAUGAUGGACUUGCUCGUUCGUCUAAGACCUAUUUAGUGGGAGUGCUCUAUGAGGGGGGAACUAUUAUGAGGCAAUUCUCAAUCAACAGAGUAAAUUGUAUGUAUAUAUAGAUGCAAUCGUGGUCAAAUAACUAGAAGAUUAUGUAGGGUUUGUUGGAGCCAUGAAGGUAUUAUGUUUUUAGGAUGAAAAAAGUAUCAAAAAUCAAUUAAGAAUAAUCAAGUGAAUGAAAUAUGCUUUAAUAAUAUAAAUGUGUGGGUGAAUAUAAGUAAAUAUAUUAUACAUAUUACAUGAAAUACACAUUAUAAUAUAAUAUGUGAAAUCAUAUAUAUGAAGUAUAUAAAUCACGAUUACUAGCAUACAAAUGAGAAUAUAAUCAAUAUAUGAAGUACUCAUUAUAUGAAUUUGAAUAGUCAAAUCAUCUCAUCAUGAGAAUCUAUCAUCUUAUAUGUUGCCAUACAAAAUAUCAUUAUUUACAGAAAUCAUGCAACCAAAGAAGUAAUAAUUUGACAAAGCAAAUUAGUGAGUUUUAGUGAAGUAAAAUAUUGGAUAUAAAAUCAUACUUAGUCAACAAUAUUCUCACGAUUUUACUUGGUAGCUAUCACAUGAUUUUAAUAUCAAAUUAGUUGAAUGAUCUGUCAAGUGUUAAAUUCACCAAACAAGAUUUUUCGAAUAUCAUUGAAAUAUAUGUUGAAAAUCAUACGGACCAAUCUCACUAAAGAAGUUAUGGUUUGAAAUUGUGAGAUUAUGAUUUACAAACUAUACUUUUAUCUCAUUUUUUUACUAAAUUUAGAUGAGAUUUGAAAGAGAAACCAUUACUUUUACAAGACAUGUCAUAUCGAGUUCAUUGUAGAGCUUAUCAAAUUUUUAUCAAGUUUAAGUAAUAUUUGAAAUAGUAAGAAGACAUGUCGUACUAAAUUUAUUAAAGCUUUAAAUUUAAUAAUAUUUCAAGUAAAUCUAGUCAUUAUAAAUCUUGAAAAUCUUUGAUAUACUUAUACAUAAUUUACUUAUAUAUAUAUGACUGAUAUUUAACAGAAAGAAUUAAUCCUCAAUGACACAUUCAUUUGUUCUAAUAUUCUUCUUUUGUCUAAGUAUUUUUCAUGUAAUGUAUUAACGAGGAAAGAGAAGAUUUUCUAUUAUAUGUCUAUUGAAUAAGAAGACAAUAACUCAAAAAACGUAUUCAAGUCAUCAUUUUUCCUCAAGUUGAACUUUAUGACAAGCCUUUCAACUACAAUGCCAACAAACAAAAUAGUAAGAUAAAGAGCAAAGCAUCUACAUACUCAUCUUCUAUUAUUAUAGAAAUCUGAAGUAAUCAAUGUCUAUCUUUCAUGUCAACCCACAGUGACAUUAUUUUAUAUAUUUGUGGGUUGAACUAUGAUUAUUUGAUUAAUUAUUGAUAAAUCUAUGAAUUAUCAUGUAAAAGGGGCAAGAAGAUUAGUGAUUAAAAGCUAAGAAACAUAGAAAUAUGAUAAAUAUACAUUAAAUACUCUACUUAACAUUGUCAUAUGAUGGUUCAUGAAUUGUAUCAUUUUCCUAUUUUCUACAAGAAUGGGAGCACUGAGAUAAAUGAAAGGAGAAACAUAUGAUUAAUCUCUUGUGAUGGGAAGAGUAUUCAUGGAUAAUCAUGAUGCAUGAGCAUGAGCAUGAGCAUAUAUUUUCUUUUAACCUUAUCAUGGGUUGUUAAAGAAAUAAUGAACAUAAAAGGUAAAAUUGAAAUAAUGAUAUACUUGUUAUUAUUAUAGGUAUAGAGGGGCAUAAGGGGGAUGCCAAUAGUAGGGCAUGUGCUCCCAAUAAGGGGACCCACCACCAGCCUUUCUGUGGCAUUCACAAUCAGCCUCUCCCCCCCCCCUAUUGGUGAGACCCUUUCCCACCAUGAAGCUAGCUUACUCUUCCUUCCUCCCUCGAUGCUGCUUGCACCCCAAAGGCAGGUCACCUCAUCCUCCCCCCUCCUCCAAGGGUGAUAGUGCUAGACAAAUGAUUGUGGAUCACCCAAGGCCGUUGCACAAGAACAAUCUAGGCAACUAAGCCAUGCAACUGAAUUUCUCCUUUCCCCUAGCAUUGCCUAGCACUAUAGGUGAGUCAUCUCUUACUAUUUCCUUCUCCCUCUAAUGGUGACAGAAUCGGCAAUUUAUUUUGGAUUCCCUUACUUGGCACAAUAGAGCAAAUAACAUCAACCUCACCACUACAUGUGGCUAACAUCAUCUUCCUCACGACUGCCAAACUACAAGGAAGAAUGUUUUAGUCUCAUUGUUGUUUCAUUUUGUUUCAUUUAUUCUCUGUCUUGUUUGUGACAUCUCAAACAUAGUAGACUAGCAUUCUAUUGCUUUAUUUUCCCUUGUCAAGGUAUCAAGGAUGAAUACAAUAUAUACCUGACAUUGAGGUAUUACUAAGAAAUUUUGAAUGCAAUAUAUUCUAUCUUGAACUUUGUAAUUAAACUAGGGGAAUUAAUACCUAGAAAUUUAGUUUAGUUUUGAAUUAGAAAGUAAAUCAGAAUUGACAUUGUAAUCAAUACACUGAUAUUAAUUCAUAAUCCUCUUCUUGUUCGACCCGCAUCUCAAAAGCUAGGAAGACCGAGAGGCCAUCCACAUCUCUCCUCUACUGCAGGGAUGGGCAACCUCUCAAAAGAAGAGGAAGAUUGAGAGAUAUAGAUAUGGGGGGAUGAUAGUAAGAAGAGUGCAUCCAUAUCUCGAUUUCACGGAAGAUGCCUAACUUUAGUGGGAAUGGCGAGCUAGGCCUCCCCGAGCGCUCACCCGUCGAAGACACCGGAGUAAGGUCUGUCGACGCCGCCACCGCCGGAGGCCAAGGCAGGGCUCUUCGACCCGGUCAGGUACAGAAGCGGGAUCCUCCCGUUCUCCACCAGAACCCUAACAUCCGCCGGGACGCACCAAGAACCAUGGAGUAGACGAGGGCGAGGAGGACGAGGAAGAAAGCGCUGCGGAUGAUGGGCGAUCUUCACCGAGAACAGAGAGAAUCCGCCAUGCCCAACUCCUAGGAGAAGAGUAUUUAUCCAGAGCUGGGGCUUUCCUUGCUUCUUCGGCGCCGACGGCGCUUGGUCAAAACUAUUAACUGCAUCAUCUCUUCCCCCGUGUGCCACCUGAUCUGAAGCAUUUGGGUGUAGAAAAUGCUGCUCAUGCUCCUUUCGAAUCAUGCAGACCAGAGCCUGCGCUGGAGGCCCACUUCAGAGGUGCCCUUCCUGCGUGGCAGUUGCAGGACUUAACGGGUUUGAUCGCUCUGCUCGCGGGCACCUCUGCAUGAUUGAGCACCUGGUUGUCGAGGCGACAGCAUAAAAAAGCCCCCACCGGCGCGGCCGGGGUGAAGGGAAGAGAUGGGGUAAUCUGGUGGGCAAGCCGGCCCUUCUGAGGUUCCGCUUGGCGGCGCCAGGGGAGUCCAAUCAGCAGUCCUGAAACGGCCCGCCUCUCUCUCUCUCUCNNNNNNNNNNNNNNNNNNNNNNNNNNNNNNNNNNNNNNNNNNNNNNNNNNNNNNNNNNNNNNNNNNNNNNNNNNNNNNNNNNNNNNNNNNNNNNNNNNNNNNNNNNNNNNNNNNNNNNNNNNNNNNNNNNNNNNNNNNNNNNNNNNNNNNNNNNNNNNNNNNNNNNNNNNNNNNNNNNNNNNNNNNNNNNNNNNNNNNNNNNNNNNNNNNNNNNNNNNNNNNNNNNNNNNNNNNNNNNNNNNNNNNNNNNNNNNNNNNNNNNNNNNNNNNNNNNNNNNNNNNNNNNNNNNNNNNNNNNNNNNNNNNNNNNNNNNNNNNNNNNNNNNNNNNNNNNNNNNNNNNNNNNNNNNNNNNNNNNNNNNNNNNNNNNNNNNNNNNNNNNNNNNNNNNNNNNNNNNNNNNNNNNNNNNNNNNNNNNNNNNNNNNNNNNNNNNNNNNNNNNNNNNNNNNNNNNNNNNNNNNNNNNNNNNNNNNNNNNNNNNNNNNNNNNNNNNNNNNNNNNNNNNNNNNNNNNNNNNNNNNNNNNNNNNNNNNNNNNNNNNNNNNNNNNNNNNNNNNNNNNNNNNNNNNNNNNNNNNNNNNNNNNNNNNNNNNNNNNNNNNNNNNNNNNNNNNNNNNNNNNNNNNNNNNNNNNNNNNNNNNNNNNNNNNNNNCCUCCCUCCCUCCCUCCUCUCUCUAAUCGAACAAAGGGAGAAGCCCCGAUCACCGUGAAAAAGUUUGUUCACUUUCCUACAUAAAGAGGAUUACUUAAUAGUACCAUAAGACUUUAUUAAUAUUCCUCAUAAAUAACAAGAAUACGGUCAAGUGACUUAAAAAUAAAGAGAUUGUAUAUUUUGCGUUCAAGAAAAAGAGAGGAUCUGUUCAACAAUUCAGAAAGUGAUAGGGAGUUAGAAUAAAAUGACAAUUUCACGUUGAUGUUAGUAAAAAUAUCAGUGGUACUAAUUAGGGCGGAAAAUAGCAAGGUGGAGAGGCAAAUAUGAUGAUGAUGGGGGGUCAUCAUUUAAAUCCAAAAUUAUCAUGGCCUUCCUCAAAAUGUCCAAAAAAAAACGAGUAACAGUACAGAGGUUGCACUCAAGAGGGCACUGGACAGAAGAAUGAUUAUCUCUGAAGACCCAUGAAAACUGUCAGUCUGAUUCAAUAGGACUGAAUUUACUAUAUUUGUUUUUAUCACACAGGAGAUCUAUAAAGGCAAACCUUUUUUUACAACGACUAUUUUUUUUCCCAGACCCGGUGGAAUAACUCAUCCAGGAAUAACAUCCAACAAUGUGUUCAUCUUCAUGCAAUAUAUAAACGCCCACCCAUAAAUAUUUAAAAAUCAAUAAAUAAAUAUGGGCUUGGGAGAGCCAACCGAGGUCAAUCCAAGCAAUGGGUUGAAAAGACAUCGCCUGUCCACGUUAAUCUGCUUCUCGCAUUAGUCUUCAUGCCCAUCCUCUCCUUCAGAAUCUGCAAUGAGCAGUGAUUUAAUUCAAAGAAUGCCAAUAAGCUUUUACUUCUUGAUGUGAGAGAAGCGGAGAUGGCCAGAGCUGGUACCGGAGCGGACGUCAUCCCCAAUGCUGCCCGAUUGUAGCUGCCUCAUAAUCAUGCGGAAGAUCAAGGCUGACCAGUAGACGUGAAGGAAGAACAGGCAGAGGAGAAGCGUGUUGAAGAUGUAGUAGUAUACCGGCCCCUCUAGUCUAUGCUUCUCCUUGUCCAAUGUCAAGGCAACCUCAUAGCUGCGAGGAAAUAGAGAAUGAAGGAAGAAUUGAGUCUCCGAGAGAGGAUGGCCGUCAGAUAGGAUGAGCAUGAUAAAACUCCGUUGGGAAAAAUGAAAGAGUUUCAUCCAGAUUGAUUGGCAAUUUUUGGUAAAAAUAUAGCCUGACCGCUGAUUUCAAGGGGAUGCCAUGUUUAAACGUCUAAAAAAUAGAAUUGUUUUAAUGAAUUUAGGAUGAGGUGUAGCAGUACAAUGUCUAAAUUUAAUUGAUAAAAUUGAUAAAUUUUGGCCAAGAAAGAGGACAUGAUUUCGGAAUUUUUGCCAUUUUUAUUGAAAAAGCAGGCCGAGAGAUUCAACAUCGAACAAAAAUAACAAUCAAUGAAUUUACGGAGGAACAGGAGCAGAGAGAUUCAGAUAUAUCAGAUUAAUUAAUCGUUGAGAUAUCUAAGAUUAUGCACGAUAAACAUGACAGAGUUUCAUCAGUAAAAUAGAUUCUGGUCAAGAAAUUUAAAAUUAUUUUGGGCGCUUAACCAUUUUUAAUAAAAAUGCAGGCUGUUUCGAAGGAUAUUAGGUUCAAUGCCUACCAAAAGAGAAAUUUUUCAUUGAACCGAAGGAUACAACGCAGAAGAAAAACCUAGAUGCAACGCUUCAAUCAGUCUCCCCUUGAGAAGGCUCAUUCAGUGAUCUAUUCUUUCAAACAAAGAUGUUCCAUCAUAUUACAUGUUUUACCACCCAACAAAAUAAAGCAAGGAAAUAACUAAUAAAUAAAAAAUCCCUUCAGUUUUGUGUCAGGUUUCAACCUCUUCCAUUAGUUUUUUUUUUACUAAUGACAAAAGCAUCAUUUUUCCCAUAAUUUUUAGGAUAAGCCAUAGCUGAAAGAUAUAAAUGCAAUGCUUCAAUCAAGCUUUCCACGAGAUGGCUGAUUAUAUAAUCAAUGCUAACAAAACAAACUUUACAACAUAAACAUCACAUGCAAAGAACUAACCAAUCCAAGUUUCAGCGGUUGACUAAAUGUUACGGGUCAACCUUCAACUAUUUCCUCGACAUAUUUUCUGUCAAUCAUGAAAGUAUAAUUCGUGUAAUCACCUGGUGCUUCGGAUAAUCCAGAAGGGGAAGUACGUUAGGCGAAGAAGAAUCCAUACUAUAACAAAAAUGAUGAAAAAAUUUUGAGCGAGCCCAUCAUAGCCGCUAUAUUUGGACAUCUUUGCCAUUUCCAUGAAAAUAUCAGUCGCAUCAUGAAGUGCCAACACCAUUGAGCCAACCCGGGAGAAUCUGGAAUGAGAGUAGGAAGGGAAAGAGAUGAGCACAGAGACUGGAUCCACCUUAAAAGCAUAAUUAUCAAUUAUCCGCCAGUCAAAAAAAAUUGUCAAAACAUAUGAACAGUAAUUGCACACUUAAUGAAGAAUUUAGAGUAAAAUUUUUUGAUGGAAACGAUAUGCUAAUUUCACUCAAGAACAAAGUUGUCAAUAUAGGGUCCUCUUUUUUUGCCAUGAGACAUGCCAUGGCUUACAGAAAAAUAUGAGGCCGAAAAUACAGCAUUGAGUUCCUCAUAAUAAGAUGUGCUGGCCAUCAGCAUAAAAAUGGGCCAGAUGAAGUAACAGAUUCUUUAUACCUACACUUCCAUAUCUCACAUAUUUUGACUACUAGUACCGCUUCGGUUACUCUCCUGUCAUUACACAGAUCAGCUUUUCUUCACCCAAAUUAUUCAUAUUUAUUUCUUUUCCUGGCGUCAAAAACUUAUUUUUCUCUUAUUCAUUUUGUUACUCGAAAGGGCUCUAUAAGACCAGCAGUAUAUAUAUAUAUAUAUAUAUUGACAAAAAAAAAAUAAUGCGUCUGUUAGAUUCAUAUGCAUACCUGAGCACGUAAGAUAAGAUGAUAAGGACCACAGUCGCCACAUGGUGGGACAUUGAUACUCCAAAGUCUGACCGCCUUGUCUCCCAAAAGAGCAAUGCAAAUAUUGAGUACGUAUAAAAUCCAGCAGCAUACAUGUACGCUGCUUUGAGUUUCAACCUGAGAGCAGGAAGAAUCAUAUUAAUCGAUAUUAUUUACAUAUUAUCAUCAGCAAUAUCAUGAUUGACGAUUCAAAUCAAUUAUUCCAUUUCAACAAUACGAUCAAACACGUUCCAGAUUUAACAAAGUGAAUCAUAUAUGCAUAUACACCGAUAAAUAAAAAUCCAGCAGUGAGGUUAAAUACUGAAAGUCUGUGCCGAAAUAUCACAAGAUUUGUUGUAUGAGAGUUUAAAAACCAGACAACAGAGACCUUUUGCAACUAAGUUAAAUAUUAACUACGAGAAGACAAACAUUUAUGUGGCAUGAAUUGCAUUUAAAACCAUAAACAUCACAAAAUUAUGUAUAUAAUAAGAAAAUAGUACACAUUUUGUAUUUGUUGUUUACAAGGACAGGUCUUUCAUAGAAUUAUAAUUUUGUGACAUACUUUCAAGGGGAAUUGAAGGGUAAGGAAAUACUAAGUAAAAAGAACAGGAAGAAAUGCAAAAAAUCUUACUUCAUCUGCUGAUUGGGCCAGACCUGGUCUCCCGGCCCCACCCAAAAGUUCUUCGUAUCCGUAAACCAUGGCUCAUUGUAUGUGACUGCUAGGAUAAAUAUCUCUGAUGACAGAAAGUAAACAAACUUCCAUGCUGAUUCCUUGAAUUUGUUGAGCAGUUUUCUUCUCCAAUAUGCCUCAACAUCAACCUUUGCAUGCCCCUUCCCAAGAACAAACAAUCUCGCUAUUCUCUGUACAUUGGUAAAGUUAACAGAAAUUUAGGUGCGUUUAUGGAGAAUAUAUACAAAUAUAAGUUACAGGCUUUCGAUGGGAGAAGAUGUAGCAGAUAUAAGCAUUUCUUUGUGCCCCAAGUGGAAAAAAAAAUUACACUACAAAAUAAUAAGUUUACACUCAAUAGUUAGAAUAAAGCAUUAUUUCUUUGACCAAGGAACUAAAUACCAUACCAGCAUUAAAUUUCUUUCCCCCUAAUUCCUUUACUAUUUUGUUCCGUAUGAAGGCAAAGAUGCCAAAACUUCUUUAUUGUAUUCAUAAGCCAUCUUGCACUGUAGGUGAUGUCCCCGAUAAUGAAAAUCAAAAGCCAUCUUACAUUAUAGGUAUAUAUAAUGACAGAUAUAUGCCUUUAAGAUAUCCAUCAUUCUCUAACUGUCAUCCAUCUCCACAGGUCCACUUCAUAUCCGGAGUCUGCCCAUUAUCUACCUUCUGACACAACUCCUCCUGUUAUUACAUGGUCCUCUUCGACUUUGCCAACAAAGUCCAGCCCUCUACCGCAAUGUUUCAUCAAAACAUCCACAAGAGUUCAUAAAUGGCAUAUUCAGUCUGUAUGAUCAAUAACCAUACAUUCUAAAUGGGGUAAAUUCAUUUCUGGUCGUCCUAUCUACAACUCCAAAACUAACCGUUAUUGGAACAGAUAAUAUUGACUUUUAAUGAAGACAAAAGAAAAAUGUGAUUAUAACACAACCCUUUCGUAAACUCAUUCAACUAGGAAUAAAGACACUUUUUAACGCAUAAUUUUUACUUGCAUUUAUUGGGUCAGUCACUUCCUUAAACAGAGAUGAUCCCGAAUAAAUGAUACUUGCACGAACCAAGACACACUAUUGCCCAUGGAUGAAGUUUCCUAAGACUAUAUGCUUCCCGACCAAGCGUAAUUUUCAUGCUCCACCCCAUCAAUCAGUAGAAACCGACGAUACCACGGGGAAGAGCCGCUUCCUCUUAGUCAAAGCACCCAGCGACAAAUGAACUUAAACGUUCUAAAUUCAAUUUUUAAUCCUCAAUUCACCAACUCAUUAAUUCUAUUUAUGGCCAACAAAAGGCAGCUUACCUCGAAGACGAAUCUAUCAAGCAGAAACCUCACGGUGGGAAAGAAGGCGACGAGGAAGGGAAGGAAAACGAAGUCCUGAUAGGAGGCAAAGGUCUCCUCCUGCAGAUUCAGAGAUGCCAUCGUCUCCAUGAGACCCAUAUCCCGACCCGGAUCAAUGCUCCGAGGCCAAGAGACCUUAAGUUGCAGGGUAGAUAACGGCCGACAGAAAAAGGGAGAGAAAGAGAGAGAGAGAGAGAGAGAGAGAGAGAGCGUUACAGGUGAUUUGGGAGAGCAAAGCUGGAGAGAGGAGGGAGAACGAGAGGCGCACGGGAGCCCCGCCCUCCCUCCGUUGCGUCUUGUACCAGGUCGCGGUCGCCCCCACCGCCGUCGAGAUCGCACCGUUCCAAAAGGAAGCGACCACGAAUUGUGGCGUCGUCGCGGAUGCGUUCUUCCUCCACCAUUUCUGACUUUUCGAGAAAGUCCCCGUCGGCGGCUAAAAUAUGCGCUUCGGUGACGACACCGAUCUUUGUUUGUAUUUCAUACCCAUUAUAUCUUUGUAUUUAGUUUUAUACCCUUUUGGUGUAUCAACCAUUCGUUUUUAAUGCCCUAACGGCUAUUUAAUUCAAACCUGAUUGCAUCCAUUUCUUAAGGAGAAAUAAAUGCUACUGAAAAUGGAAAUAAAUUAUUAAAUAAAAUAUUUUCCUGUAAUUUAAUAUAUCAUAAAAUGUUAUUCCUAGGUCAAUCAAUGAAAGCAAAUUUUUAUAGAGUCUACACAAGGAACAACUCAAAAAUUUAUUCUCAUGUUAAUAGAAAUAAAUUCAAUAUUAGUAAAAAAAAUAGCACCAAUAGUGUAAUGUGGGACAUCACAAAAUUGUAUUAUUUAAAAAAUAAAUAACUUUAAUUCUCAAAUUGAAAAGUGAUCAACCACAAUAUGAGACUUUUCUUUACUUUAUUUGGUUAUUGGGGUUCAUGUCCAAGCUCGUCAACUUAGAACAGAUCAGAUAGAAAGUGUGAUGGAUCGAAUCAAUUCUAUUUUUUUCCACCAAAAAUAUGGAAAGAGAACUCGAUAUUUACUCUGUUUUUUUUGUAAUAUAGGGGUUUGAACACAAUUUCAACACUUCUGAGGUUUAAAGGUGUAACAUAUUGAGACGAGAAUAUUUUUCUUUCUAGAAACCCGCCGCCUUCUUUGACUUGUGGCCAAAGAUGCGUUGACUUUCCUAUAAUCCUGGGUACAUGAGGUUGACGUAGAUAUGUAUAAACCAUGUUUAUUUAAUUUAUACAUGAUAUGCUAAAAAAUGAGGUCCAAGGAAGGGUGUUGACUGGCCGGGGUCUCUAUCGAUCCGCUUCAAAGAACACUUACAUAAUGGGCCUUAGGGCAAGCCCUCUUAUAUGCACUUAUUCUAGAGAGAGAGAGAGAGAGAGAGAGGAGNNNNNNNNNNNNNNNNNNNNNNNNNNNNNNNNNNNNNNNNNNNNNNNNNNNNNNNNNNNNNNNNNNNNNNNNNNNNNNNNNNNNNNNNNNNNNNNNNNNNNNNNNNNNNNNNNNNNNNNNNNNNNNNNNNNNNNNNNNNNNNNNNNNNNNNNNNNNNNNNNNNNNNNNNNNNNNNNNNNNNNNNNNNNNNNNNNNNNNNNNNNNNNNNNNNNNNNNNNNNNNNNNNNNNNNNNNNNNNNNNNNNNNNNNNNNNNNNNNNNNNNNNNNNNNNNNNNNNNNNNNNNNNNNNNNNNNNNNNNNNNNNNNNNNNNNNNNNNNNNNNNNNNNNNNNNNNNNNNNNNNNNNNNNNNNNNNNNNNNNNNNNNNNNNNNNNNNNNNNNNNNNNNNNNNNNNNNNNNNNNNNNNNNNNNNNNNNNNNNNNNNNNNNNNNNNNNNNNNNNNNNNNNNNNNNNNNNNNNNNNNNNNNNNNNNNNNNNNNNNNNNNNNNNNNNNNNNNNNNNNNNNNNNNNNNNNNNNNNNNNNNNNNNNNNNNNNNNNNNNNNNNNNNNNNNNNNNNNNNNNNNNNNNNNNNNNNNNNNNNNNNNNNNNNNNNNNNNNNNNNNNNNNNNNNNNNNNNNNNNNNNNNNNNNNNNNNNNNNNNNNNNNNNNNNNNNNNNNNNNNNNNNNNNNNNNNNNNNNNNNNNNNNNNNNNNNNNNNNNNNNNNNNNNNNNNNNNNNNNNNNNNNNNNNNNNNNNNNNNNNNNNNNNNNNNNNNNNNNNNNNNNNAGAGAGUAGAGAGAGAGAGAGUAGAGUAGAGAGAGAGAGAGAGAGAGAGAGAGAGAGAGAGAGAGUGAGAGUGAGAGGGAGGGUGCAAUUGACAGGCACAGCUGAAACCCAGGUGUCCUAUUCAGUUGAAAGAGACCCGUCACCGUUGCCAGGCUGACGAGUCCCGGAGAGAGAGAUCGGGGUAGACCGUCUUCUCUAUUUAAGAUGAUGCUGAUGAUCCUUCGAAGGAUUCAAAGAAUUCGGAGCUUCCAGGGGGCGCUCGAUCGGCUCCCUCCAAUAGGAGAUGCGGGUUCUCUGUAUUUCCUCCGAAAGAUCCGUUCUUGGCGCUCUCCGGAAUGUGGGUUCUGAGUUUUCCCGGAUUUUCUCUCUCUAGACCGUAACCGGAGUGCUCUGGGUUUCUCACUCCCACCAUUUGCCUCUUUUAUGGGCAGUAAUGGAGUUCUUCCCGGAGGCGUGCAGCAGCGGCGGCGGAGGCGGCGAGUCUGAUUGGACCAUCUACCUCGCCUCCGACACCAACGAUGAGGAAGAGGAAGAUGAAGAUGUCGGCGGUGGCGGCGGCGGAGAAACCAGCAUGGAAGACGAGAACGAGGAAGACGAAGAAGACGACAGCGACUCUCUCACCUCCGACGCCGCCUCUGCACCCACCCAGCUUUACCCCUCUCGCUGUAGCGCCGCCGCCAGCAGCGGCGCCACCAACGGAGACGCCGCCGAGGAGGAGGACGAUGACUACUGAGCUUCUCUCCUUCUUCUGCACCAUUUUUUUGGCGAAUUACCGAGGAAUCUUCGGAGCCGGUUUCCGUAAAAUCCCUUCGUUUAAUCUCUCGUAAGGUAGUGCUCAUAAGAACGUGGGCAUGUCGGAUCAGACCGGGGGCCCCCCUUUUGGGCAUAACCAUGUAGGCAUACCAGUCACAUCUUUUAAUUACUUUAAAAUCCCCGCGAAUCGUAUUCGGGUUUAAGAUACCUUCAUCAAGUUCAACUUUGAUGACCGCCGGGGUAGGUAAAAAAUAGGAAAAGGCGAAAAGGACCUGAUCACAAAUUGUUUUAUCGUCACCUCUUCGUUUUGUCACUAAAGAAGCCACGCCUUUGCAAAAAUAGGGGGUGACGGUAUCGGUCUCCACGUGGCGGCGUUACGAUUCCCGCUUGCGUUACUGGGGGAUACUCUAAUUUCACUCCUUCUGGAUUAUACUCACCCAAUCUUGGUCGGACAUCCACCAAGUGAUGUGACGCAUGUGAUUUGAGAAAGGGGUGACAAUUUUCCUCUUGGAGUGAAAAUAGUGAAUUCGGCCUGAAUCGCAAUUACUAGGGUUUUUCCUCUUGCUUCACCGCCUUCCCGCGUUGCCUAUAAAUACCCCGCCGGCACCUGAAACAGCGUGUUGUUAGUCAUCUUGACCGAAGAGACGCGGGAAAGGGAGGAAAAAGCGGUACACGGGGGAUUCCGGAUCUCCCAUCGGCUAAGGUAAGCAUCCGUCCGCUCAGUUCCUCCUUGUUUGUGCCUUUCUCAUCCUUUUUGAUGUCUUCUCAUGAUAAUUUUUGUUUUCUUUUGAUCGGGAUGAUUGGAUUCUAGAUACUCUUUGUUUUCCAUUCGUUUAUCGUUCUCGUACUCGUUUUCUAUGUCCGGCGACGGCUGGAUUUGAUAUAUCCUUCCUAGAGAUGACUGCAGUUUGGAUUCAACUGCGGAAGGUCGAUCGUUUUCAUUUGCUCUGAUUGACUUUUUUUUUCUCGGCACGCUGUUAUGGAUCGCAUGGUGUCUUUAUCUUAUAGAAUUUUGGAGUAUGAGAGCUGUUUUCCCUUGUGCUGUUCAUUUCAUGAUUAAUUUGGUGAAUUGGCCGGCAUCUUUCUCUUUUUGUUGGAGAUCCGGCUAUAGUUGAUUAAUUUGGUGUCAUUUUUGACUCUCACUGUCUCCGUCUUCAUAGUGCUUUCCGCGAACAGAGUACGCGCUGCUGUUUGUUAACUCCGUUCCUCUGUUUGGGGAAUAAAUGACACUCACGGAAAAAUAAGCGUCUGAAAUUGGUAUGCGACAGGAUGGAAGUAUGCCGGAUGAGUUUAUGCCGAAUCCAUUCGGAAUUUCAUGAGACAGAACAUUUCACCGAUUCUUUAGUGCUUUCUUUUGCUUUAAUUAUGUGGACGUAUGCCGUGCUGAUGUUUGGAAGGCCAGUAAACUUGCAACUGUUUUUAGAACUAUGUUUUAGUUGUUCUCAUUUCGUGACAGUUUAGGGUUUAUGUUUUCCUUUCCCGUUCACUAUCAUAGAUGCGAAUUAGAGGAUGGUAGCAUGGUCAUUAGGUCCUGCCCUGCCUAAAAAUAUUAUCGAAUCCUCAUAUUAUCAUAUGGUUAGGAUGUUAAAUAAUAGUUUGUGGCACAUAAAAUUUUGUUUACACGUGCUUUAUCCUUUCUUGUCCAGCAGUGUUCCAACUUCCACCAUCACCCAACAACACAAAUACCCCUUCGUCCUGGGAUCUGCGGCUGUCGAAUUCAAUUUCCUUUUUUUCCUGUGAACGACCGUAGCUAAUCCAUGUCCUUCACAAUCGUGUUCUUUCUGCAGGCACGAGCCGUCUGACUCGCGAACCUGCAGUCUGGACAAAGCGGAAAGCCGAAAAAUUUUGAUGUCCGCCCUAGUCUCUCUGCACCUGGGAUCGUCUGGCCUGCUGGUGGAAUACUACUACCCCACAUCCAGGAAAAAGCUCAGGCAUCUCUUCGGCGACAUCUUCUGCAUGCAUCUGCAGCCAUUUUCAGCAGCCAAAGCUUGCCCACUGCAGCCUCCAUCCCUACCCAGAGCCCCAGCGGACCCGCUGCCCUGCUUCUGAGACACACAGCCAGCGAGGAUGGCUCUUCAGAACAUCGGCGCCGGAAACAGGGACGAUGCCUUCUACAGGUACAAGAUGCCCCGGAUGGUCACCAAGAUAGAAGGGCGCGGGAACGGCAUCAAGACCAACGUGGUCAAUAUGGUGGACAUAGGCAAGGCCCUGGCGCGGCCCGCCGCCUACAUCACAAAGUACUUCGGCUGCGAGCUCGGGGCCCAGUCCAAGUUCGACGAGAAGACCGGGGUCUCUCUGGUCAAUGGCGCCCACGACACCCAGAAGCUCUCCGCCCUGCUCGAGGCCUUCAUCAAGAGGUACGUCCAGUGCUACGGCUGCGGGAAUCCGGAGACGAGCGUCGCCAUCUCCAAGACCCAGACGAUCGCCCUCCACUGCGCCGCCUGCGGCUUCCUCUCCGAGGUGGACAUGCGGGACAAGCUCACCACCUUCAUCCUCAAGAACCCCCCCGAGGCCCGAAGGUCGUCGGCCAACAAGGAAAAGAAGGCGAUGAGGCGCGCGGAGAAGGAGCGGCUCAGGGAGGGCGAGGCCGCCGACGAGGAGCAGAAGCUCCGCAAGGAGACCCACAGGAGGGCCCCCCCCGCGGCGACUAAGAAGAAGCCCGGCAGCUUCGAGGACGAGAAGGGCGACGACGAAGAGGUCCAGUGGCAAGCGGACACCUCCUUGGAGGCGGCCCGCCAGCGGAUACAGGAGCAGCUCAGCGCCGCCACCGCCGAGAUGGUCAUGCUCUCCACCGCCGGCGAGCCGCCAAAGCAGAUUCGGAAGCUGCUGCCUCUGGAGACAGCCAAGAAGAGCAAAGAGUCCAACGGCCACGGACCUGCUGAAGCGGCGGCCAGCGAAGCCCACAAGGCUCUGACGGCGGAGAUGAAGGCCGAGCUCGACAAGAAGGGCGCCAACCCCCGCCGGCUCGCCGCCUCCUUCGCCGCGCUGGCCGCGGCGAAGGCGGCCCCGCAGCCGGCGAUGGACGCGCUCUUCGAGGCGGCCUGCGGUGGCGCCGGCAGGGGCAUGGCGCGGGAGCUCGCGAAGAGGGCGGCCUUCCUCGGAGCCGUGGCCAACGACGCGGCGUCGCAGCUGCGGCUGCUCCGGGCCAUGGAAACCUUCUGCGGCCGCGCCGGCGCCGGCGCGUCGAAGGAGGUCGCACUAGCGGCGAAGGCGCUGUACGACGCCGACGUGGUGGAGGAGAGCUGCAUCGUCCGCUGGUACGAGGCGGGCCUCGCCGGCGCCGCCCCGGCCUCCCCCAUCUGGAAGAACCUAAAGCCCUUCAUCGACUGGCUUCAGAGCGCCGAGUCCGAGUCCGAUGAGUGAUCCAUCACCCCUCUACCACACAAGCACUGCUCCCCCUGGUGUCGUCGUCGUCGUCGUCGCCAUGUCCUACCGAGUCCGACUCGCCGUGUCUGCCUCCAAGUUAUGGAAAACGGCGAAUAAUUUGCUAGACCAGCUACUCUCUCUCUCUCUCUCACUCUCUAAGGCACCAUGGAUCAUCGCCGGGGUUUAUUCUGAAAUUACACGAGCUGAGGCACGUAAUUCCGGCGGCUGGCUCAUACAUAUCAGAAGCAGAGGCGAGGCGCGAAGAGCUCUCUGCCGGAGGGGGAUCGGGGAUCAGGGGAUCAGGCGGCGUCCCUGGCGUUGUUGAUGAAGGCGGCGGCGCAGAGGACGGAGGCGACCACGGCGAAGAUCCCCACCCCCACCGCCGCCGAGACCCCCCGCCACCACCACGUCCAUCGCCCACUGCAGCAUGCCGGAGCCCAUCAUCUCUCCGAUAAAAGAAACCCUAGAAGAGAGGGGAACUGAGAACGCGACAGAGAGAGAGAGCCCGACGAGAAGACAAGAGGGGGAGGGCGGCGGAGGUUGUAUUGUUAAAAAACCUUUGUUGAUACGUAUUUUCCUGUGUAUCCUCAUUCGAGGGCAACAUUUAUUUAAAUAUCCGAAAAAAGUAUAUGAUUAUUAAAAAACAUAUAAAAGAAAAUACGCGCUGUAUCCGGCAUGCUGAACAAGGGUUUUGAGAGGGAGGAUGUGCGGAGGGGUAAAUGGUACAUAGUUUCUGUGAGGGGGUCGUGGGCGGGUUUCAGUAAUCCUCAGGGCAUUUAGAUCAUUUAAAUAUUUUAUAAGGUUUUAAAGGAAAAAAAUCCACUGCGUGCGCAUCUCCGUAAGUGGUGGUGGGUAUUAUUAAUGGGCCAAAUUGGGCUGUAAUACCGCCCAUCAGGUAUUGGCUUAAAUGGACCCCGCACGGAAGGAGGCCCAUUAAUUUCCUCGGGCUGGGCUUGGCCCUAACUCCGAACAAGUGGCCGAGUUCUAUCAAGUAAAUGGGUUAUUUUAGUUUGAGGUCCUCUAAAAAACUAUACAAUUGAAAAAAGCCCCCCCAUUUUAGAGUGGUAGGCAGGAGGCCGGCCUCGGGCCAAGUGAAGAAGAGCCGGCGCCCCAUGGCAGACGAGAUGCUUGAAGUCGCCUCUUCUUCUUCCUCUUCCCCUUUCCCCGCCGGCCCCUCUUCCCCAUCCUAACCAGGCUCGCUCCGGCUGGGGCGAUGACGACGUCAUCUGCUUCUCCCGACCCUUCCCACACCCUGCGCGAGGUAUCUUUCUUCUCUCUCUCUCUCGCUCGCUCGCUCGCUCGCUAUAUUUUGGCUAGUUGGGGACUCGAAGGCCCAUUGUGCCGGCGAAUCCUCGAAGCCGUAGGGCUUCUCUGAGAAUCCUCCCAACCAGUUAGUUCAUCGCUCCCGAAGAUCUUCCCAGUCAUCUGGUUCCAAGGAAAAAACCGCUGCGCUGAGGACUCGUCUUCCCCGCCGAUUGAGAAACGCCGGCGCUCUGUGGCCGACGAGUCGGAGGAAAAAACCCUCUUGGAAUUAGGGCCGGAGACCUUUCUCUCUCUCACCGUCCCCCUCGCACUAAUUUUUUUUUUUGUUUCUUUUCUGGCGAUCAUCAGGUUGACAUGGCCGAUGCAUCCCCAGAAAGCAAGCCCGAGAUGCUGCAGCUGCCGUCCUGGUGAGGUCUCCAUCCCCUCCGUAUCUUGAUCCUCGUCACAUUUACAUCUUAAUGGAUCAGUUUCUCAUGUACGAAGAUCGAAAUUACCACGUUUUUUUAUCUGAUCUUGGUGGAGGAGGAACCCGUGGGUAAAUUGUGUUAGCAUGAUCUGAUCAGAAUGAUGAUUUCGCGGCGCAGAUUAAAGCCCAUGAACAGUUGAACCGCAUAGAAAUCAGCCGCCGACCGAAUCAUUUAAAGUGUUCGUUUGGGGAUCAGGAGGAUCUCACCAGCCAUGGAACAGGGAUUUUUUUUUCUAGAGAGGGAUUUUUGGAGAAAGAGUGAGAGAAAUAGAAGUGCUCGGGAGAUCUUCUCUCGCUGCAUGGCUUUUUUACAUUUUUUGCAAGAGAGAGAACGGAACGGAUUCAUACCCUCUAGGCUAUUCCCCCUAGCAGACUGCUAGAGAGAGAGAGAAUGGAUGGAGGGUCCAAUGAAUGAAUGGAUGAAAGAAUGGCCGGAGGGUCCCGGAAGAAGACCCAUGAAAAAAAUCCUUUUUUUUUCUUCCUUCACGCAGAAAUAAAAAAAAUUAAAAAUAAAAACUGUGAUUUUUCCCAUCUCAAAUCAUUUGGGGACGCAAAAGGCACGAUUUCAUGGGUCCGAUCUUCCUCAGGGACGCAGCCGGCACGACAGAAUACAGGGACAAGUACAGCAGGUACCAGGCAGCCUACGGCAGGAGGCUCAAAGCCAAGUACUUCUCCAAGAAGGCCUUCGACGGAGGUCAGCCUCCGCCGNNNNNNNNNNNNNNNNNNNNNNNNNNNNNNNNNNNNNNNNNNNNNNNNNNNNNNNNNNNNNNNNNNNNNNNNNNNNNNNNNNNNNNNNNNNNNNNNNNNNNNNNNNNNNNNNNNNNNNNNNNNNNNNNNNNNNNNNNNNNNNNNNNNNNNNNNNNNNNNNNNNNNNNNNNNNNNNNNNNNNNNNNNNNNNNNNNNNNNNNNNNNNNNNNNNNNNNNNNNNNNNNNNNNNNNNNNNNNNNNNNNNNNNNNNNNNNNNNNNNNNNNNNNNNNNNNNNNNNNNNNNNNNNNNNNNNNNNNNNNNNNNNNNNNNNNNNNNNNNNNNNNNNNNNNNNNNNNNNNNNNNNNNNNNNNNNNNNNNNNNNNNNNNNNNNNNNNNNNNNNNNNNNNNNNNNNNNNNNNNNNNNNNNNNNNNNNNNNNNNNNNNNNNNNNNNNNNNNNNNNNNNNNNNNNNNNNNNNNNNNNNNNNNNNNNNNNNNNNNNNNNNNNNNAACCUCAAUUUUUCUUCUCCAGACCCCAUUUUUUAUUGGCUUUCUAGUUUCUGCUUCGUAAGCCCCUCCGCAUCCAUGGGGAUGAUCCGAGAUGAUGUUCGUGCGAGUUCUUGCUCACCAAUCUGCGGUUGGUUGAUUUCAGGGAACAUAUUCGACCAAGAAACGAAUGUAGACGGUGAGAUCAUAAAGUCCGGCAGGUAAUGGCAUCCUGAUGGGAAUUGAUUCAAUGCGGAAUCAUGAAUAGUCGUAGAUUUCAGCUGGUGCCUUUUUUUUAGUCGAUGACCCUCUUUUUUAUUUAUGAAUAAAAUGAAAAAAAGGUAUUUAUUCUUGAGGAAGUCUCUUCAAGAAAAGACAGAAGUCCAACGAUUCAGUUCUCUUGGGUCUUUGUUUUUUACUUUUCAUCACCUAAAUUUCCCAUUUUUUCCAUUAAAAAAAUAGAAGUAUUGACCAAAAAAGCUGUACCUAUUCCACUGACCAUGAUUCCGGUGACCUGAAUGAUCCCAUCCCAAGUGUGUUUUCUAUAGAAGAUUUAUUUCUUGCCGAUUGGCGACUGUUGAUCGAUGGGGCUGGUUCGUGAGCUGUUGAUUAUUCGAAGAUUCAGUGAUCUUCCUUCCUUCCUUCCGUCGCCAGGUGGCCUUGCACCAGAUCGUUCGCAGAACCAGCGCGGUGCUCGCAGGAUGCCGGAGCCUUGCCGCCGGCAUCGGCCUCCGAGACCUCCUCCACCGGGGCCGGCAGGAAGCACCACCACCACCAGAAGAAGAGCGGCUGACCCAACCCCCAACGCGAAGGAAGAGAGAGAGAGAAUCUCGGGGGACUGCCGGCGGUGGAAGCUGACUUUCUUUUUCUGUUUUUGGCCGAACGAGUUGACCCACUGCCGGGUCAACCCUUGUUCGGAGAAGCGUUUGAGUGCAAAGCGUACUCAAAUCCCUGUAAAAAAAUGGCUCACUGCUGAUGGAUCCAACAAUGUUCAUGCGAGAAUCUCAAGAGCCGUAUUCUAUUUUUUGCCAAGAGUUGACCCUUCCCAGUCGGAUGAGAAUCUGAAGAACACAUUUUUCUGGCGUACGUGAAUUAAUUAAAUCCCGUAAAAAAUCGGCUCACCCCAGCUAAGGACUUGAAAAGAUCGCACCUUUUUAGUAAAAAAUAAAAUGGCUCACCGCAUCAAAAUCAGGGCCUGCUUGAAUACGAUUUUCCUUAAAAUGGAUCAGAUCAUGCUUGAAUGAUAUAUAUAUUUAAAAGGUAUAACUCCCCAACAGAAAAAAAGGAAAUCGGCUCACUGUAUCCGAUCUUAUGAUAACAAAAGCUUAAGAAGAAAGGUGUUUAUUUUCCCGUGAGAGGUAUUAGCUACCAGUUGACUCUGAUGAGGUCGGUCAGCCAUGCACAAAGAGGCUGUCACAAAGGAGCUCAUUUAUCUAGAAUUUUUUAAAAAAAAAUCAGAAACUUUGACAGCGUGCAACUGGGAAUCUCUUGCCGUUUUUUCCAUGGGCAAGCAUCAGAGAUCAAAAUGAAGUAAAAUCCUGGAAAAUGUGCGCACAAAGAGCCUGGCCCAACCAGUAAGCACAUGAAGAAGGCAGCCUGUUCAUCGUAGUUUGUCUGAUGUACCUAAAAAUAACGGGGAUCUUGAUUUUUGUUUUUGAUAUUUUCCGUCGAAAUCCCAAAAAUUCCUUCCCCAUUUGGCCAACCCUUUGCUAAGAUAAUCAUACGCUAAAUUAUGCAAGAAAUUUCGUACAAAUAGAAGAAAGGAAGGUAAGACGAAAACAAACCGACUAGAUUGAUGCUCCAAAAGAUAUUCUCCAGCCAACAAUAUGCAAUAUGCCUUGUUCUUCUUCUUCUUCUUCUUCUUUCUUUUUUUUUUCUUUUUUUUUUCUUUCCUUCUUUGGACCCCUCCUUGGCUCAAGAAUACAUCAUGCCUUUAUCCGAAUGACAAAGGAACCUGCCAUGGAUAGAACACCCAGUCACCAUCGACGUUAGCCAUCAGACGGUCAGAACUCAAUCCUGGGAUUCUGGAUCUCUUCAAAUCCCAUAAAAAAUGCAAAGGAUAAAUCAGCAGAACUGGAUUAAUAUUUAGUCCAACUUACAAGAAGGAAGGUUGGAUAUAUCAGCAGAGACAGCGCAUGGAAUGCCCAAGUUGGUGAGGGCCCCCCUGAUGAUUCCACAUGGGAAAUAUAGAUGCAUGCUUGUGGAUUGGGCGGCCUUGCUGUCGGCAGCCAGAGAGGGAGGGCCCACCUGGGCAGAAUCAGGGCUUUCUAGAGACUGAUCGAUGGAUAUGCGAGUGAGCCAACGGAAUUGGUUAUCUUGCAAGACGAAGGUACCCUGCAAGAUGAAGCAGAGAUUCAUUUAGAAGUCACAACAGUUGACGGACGAACAACCGAACGCACCUUGUGAUUCGUUUUGAGGUUGUCAAUCUGUUUCUUGAAGAGCUCUGACCAAAACUCUUUGCAUAUGAACUUGAUGGCCUCUAGAUUAUCAGUGAACCUUGGCCGCUCCAUUGUGUACCUGGAAAUAAUCAAUAAAUAGCCGACAUUAUGAAGAAUUUCUUCACCAUGCAUAAAUAAUUCUAUGACAAGAUAAUUCAUGUCACAAGGUAAAGUCAAGAUGCAUGAAAUUUCAGAUAUAAAAAAGCCCGCAAUGAUUGUUGGGGAUUGCUCCGAAUUCCACUGUUGUCUAUUGCCAGAAGAAAGCUCGAGUUGCUCCACAACGGGGCAGAGAGAAGGACAGUCCAAGAGUACCAAUGAAGCCCACCAGCAACGGAAAGCUGGAAAACGGAGUGAAAACCCCAAAACAAAGAAAACAAAGAUCUGAUGCAUAACCUUGACGUAAACAUGGACCUUACCUGAACAUUGGAGAGCUUAGACAUGCCUACUAAAUGCAAUCUGAUCGAAAAUAGAAAAAGUUUCAAUAUGUGAUGCUCUACAUCACAAUCUUCGAUGAAGGGAGAAGUUCAUCUAGACGAUGCCAGUAGAUGAAGAGGUGAGACAGCUCACCUGUCACAUUGCCAUGGGAGGGAGGGACGUCAUGCCCAAGAGGGGCUUCGGACAUUGUUUGGUCAUCAUUCAUAUCAUCUGUGUAAUUUAGGCGCCCCCCAAAAAAAAGUAUCAGGAAAGAUCCUAAUUCAAGUUGGAAUGCAUACCGUGUCUAUGAAUCCAUUUAGUUCUUCAUUAGGUUCCUCUAGACUUAUUAUUAACCCAGAUUAAAAAAAUAUAAAAAUCCCACCAACCACUUAUCAAAUCUCUCCAUUUAGAUCCCGAAGGUUACCGACCAGAGGUCUGAUGCAAUCCGGUCAUAUUUAAUCAUAAUACACACCAAAAGCUGCAGGGCACUAAUAAUCACAAAUAAGACAAGAGAAGAGAUUGUCCGGGGCCCAUAAUCUGCCAUAAAAUAAUAAUUUUCAACGAAAUAUAUCAUAGCUCUUCUAAAAGUCGUUUUGUAAGGCAUUUCCCUCUAGAUAUAGACAUAAAUAAAUUCCUGUCUUUGAUCAUUUGCAUAUACAUUGUUCAUGAAUUGGUGCGUGAUUGCUAACACAAGCUUGAGUUAAACUUCACAGUCAUUUAUGAUUCAUACCACUCUUAUAACCAAGAAGUUCACUCCCAUCUUUCUAUUGCAGGUAAUAUAAUCAAUCAUGUCCCAUGUGACAAAAAAGAUCAGUGGAAGUCAUAAAUCUGAAUCCUCACAACGCAUCAAAAUCAGUUUUUUCACGACUUGAAAAUUGAUUCCAUCCUUUCAAUGAUUUCGACAGGAAAAGAAAAAGACACUCGUCUUUUUGUAGCGAUGCAAUGCUAGUGAAGUUAGAAGCGGAAAUUAAAUAUAUCAAUUCUUCAUCUGUCUUCAUUAGUGUGCGCACAGAAUCACCAUCAUAAUCAGAGUGUCCUUACCUUGUUACAGCCCAUGGCAACGCCGAUGAUGCAUUGCGACUCCCAUCUGGAUGUCAAUUCCCAAGACCAGCUCUCCCUCUACAGGGGAAGGUAAUGUAGAUAAAAGGCAUCUAUUUCCCAGUUCCAGGUUCCAAAAUACACGACAUUAGGUGUUCCAUUGGGAAUUUUCAUCUUCAAAGCCCUCUAUGUAGUUCUCAAGAUAUUUGAGACAACAUUCCCUGUAAUGUACGCAUUCUUCCGAAUUCCAGGUUCAAUCCAUGGCUGCACACCUCUAGAUGAUCUCCACCUUGCAACCACAACUGAUCACUAUGAAAUGCUGCUAGUCUAAUUCCACAGUUCAUCAGGUCCAAUACCAAGCAUACUAAUUCAACAGUUUUAUUUGCCAGUAUCUGACGUACUGAUCCUAAGUUGCAUUAUCCCUCCUCAAGCAAAGCCGCGUCAACCUGAAACCCACCAUGGAUUCUUCCCAGUAUCCUCUUAACUCAUUUCUUCAUCCCUUUUUCAACCCCCGAUCCGUCAGGUUCAUAGGAUAGCCAAUAUUUUGGGUUUUUUUUUCAAGCACAUGGAAUGACCACACACCAAUAUGGGUGAGGGAUACAAUCACAUGCAGCAUGAAGUCCAUGAGCCUAACACAAACCAACUCUACUGAGCCUGGCCUCUAUUAAGAGAGAUCACAGCAAUCCAGAGGAAAUGCUAGUUAGGAAUCGAAGGUUCACAUGAUUUCUGAUACCAAUUGUCAUCCUCUACUCAGUCUCCAUUUUAUCAUAUUUAUCAUCAGAAGCCUUAUCAUAAUGAUAAGAGUCCAGUUGGAACUGGUGAAGAAGUCAUGUACAUUGCAACGUUUCAGGACCUAAUAUCUCCGUGGCAUCCCCUUUAUGCAAGGUGAUGCCAAGUAGCGAUCAAGGUUGCAUCAACAUUACAGUGUCUGGACUUGACUCCAUGCAAGGUGAUGACAAGUAACUACUUAAGGCAUUACCACCAGUCCUAGCUAACGACACUGAAUUCUAUUUAAUCUGUUUCCCAUAUCAGGUUCAAGAAAUGACAGAAAUUCAAGACGACUUUGGAUAAAGCCCAAAUUGAAGAUGGAAAAGACGAGUUUGCUAUAGGAUGCAUGACCUUCUCAGCUAAUUGCAAAAUAAAGAACAGAAAAUAAUCCAAAUAUCAGCCUUGAUGUGAGUAACAUCUCUCAUGUUACUCGGGCUGACGUUUCUUGGAGUUUGAACUUUUCAGCCUCUGCCUGAGUAAGGUCUCUGAUGAACCAGGCUUCCCACAUGCCUAAUUGGGACUCUAGCGGCCAACGAACGAAAGAUGUCAGGUUAAUCAACUAAAUAAAUAUCCAAAACAAUCUGCAAAAAAAAAGACAAAACAUAUCCGUUAGCCCAGCCACUUAGCAUGAGGCUAAUAAGCGGGAUGGAGUGAACUUGAGAGCAUUUUAUUGAUACUUGAACUUAUGCAGAGAAUAGCACAGUCCAUGUAAACAGUUUUAAGGUGAAUAUAAACAAAAUCCGAACAUAGGAUGAGUAUCCUAAACUGAGUCCAGCUAGCUCAAUGUCCUGCGCUCUGAAAUGAUGGAGAAUUAUCUGACUCUAAUCCAAAUCACGUGUCUUGGAUAGGAUCAGCAGCAUCAUAAUCCAAUCUUUACAGCCUUUGGCUGGGUCUGAUAGGAAUUGAUCCCGAAAUUAAUUUAUAUUAGCCAAUCAUGUCAUAUGGGUCGGUAAUGCUGUGUCACCGAAAGUAGUACAUUUUGGCUGCUCUACAUUAGCAAUGGAUUUGAAUCAGAGAAACGGUAUCAUCAAUCUAACUCUCAGAAUAAGGUUAAUGAUUUAAUUUUGGAAAAUAGAGAUUAGAUGGAUGUCUGACAAGAGUAAUAGAGUAUUUUACUAUGGGAGAUGAUUGAUCUUCGGGAACUCUCAUUAGAGCUUUAAAAUAAAUUUCAAACCUAUAAGAGCUGUUAAAAUCAUACGCAAAGGAUCCCAGUCGUUUCAUUUAUGAAAAUUACUUCCACCCUCUUGCACCUAGACAAAUUUAUAGAUCAUAAGUUUAAUUUAUCACAAUUAGGCAACAAUAAAACUUGUCCACGAGCACCAUUUCUCCAGAGAAACCAAAAAAGUAACAUAUACACGUAAGAUCCAUGAUACUAGGUCUAAAAAUCAUAAAAACAACGGAACCCUUUCAAAAUACAUCAAUAAAUCCCUACUCCAACAGCUACCAAAUGCAAAGGAGCCGCGCAAGAAAUCUUACCUCUCUCCGAGAAACACUUAAAAUUCCCUGAAGAAUAACACAACGGCAAAGAAAAAUCCGGCAAUAAAGACACGGAAGAAUGGAAGCGCACCUCUCAGAGAGCUGCAGGCCGACCUGGUAACCGAUAGCCUCGAUCCGGCGGGCGGCGAGCUCCGGCUUGGUAGCGUAGAAUCUGUCGCUGUACGCGGACACCAUCUCCAUGACUAUCCCGUCCACGCAGCUCUCCGCCACCUCCCUCCCCAUCGCCGGCGACCGCCCUCCGCCCCUCCCUCUCCUCCGAGAUCCCCUACCCGCUCUGGCCCUCCACCCUCUCACUAGCCGCCACACCAACCAUUCCGGAUCCUGUCGGGUUCCCCCUUUCUCUACCGAUCGGAUCCUUGUAAAUGGAUCAUAAUAGGAUAUAACUAGACCCGAAUUUUAAGUCCGAACACCGGAACCCAUAUUCAGACCGAGCUCGAUUUUUUCGGACAUUUACCUGGGCCCAAGUAAGGCAUGGGCUAUUUAAUGGGCCUGAGCCGUACUAGAGCCGCUGAAGGCCCAAUAAAAAUUGAAAGAUCGAAUUGGGCCCCACGAAGGGGAAGAAUCGAGAGAGGAAUGUGGUCUUCGGACCUGCAAGCGGUGGUCCCACAGAGAAAGGUUCACUUAACGGUUAGACGGUCACCGUCCGUGUCAGAGCCCCCAUGAGCCGUCUGAUCAUCAUCACGAUCCGUCCAAGAUGGAAGGUGAAGCGGCACAUCAGAGAGAGAGAGAGAGAGAGAGAGAGAGCGUGGUGGCUUUGUCCAGGUGUCGAUAAAAUGUCGUCAAUUAUCAGAGUGAUAAUAAAUGAUUUUCCUCUGUUUGAGAAAUUACUGGGUAAAAAAACGCAUAUUUCUGUACGAUUUUUUUAAAAAAAAUCGGAUUCACUUUUCUUUAAUGCAGAAAGUUAAACGCUCUUCAAGAGUUGACUGUCUUUUUAAUAAUUCCAGCUUUUAAUAUUCCAGUUAACUUCUACGCUGACCUUCACUCAUUAAAUCCCUUUAAUUAAUGGGCCCAAUUUUUACACUGAGCGGCAGAUCACUGCCAAACGUUCGUUUGACUUUUUAACUCAGGGCGGAUGAUGGGGUUGACUUUUUAAAUCGAAGCAAAAAUGGAUAUUUCCUUUUAUAGUAAGAAAUUAAUUGCAGCUCGUUAUGUUGGGAUCUUACAUGGGAAAGCCCGAAGAUGAAGGAUAGAAAAACCAGGAGGGAGAGAGAGAGAGAGAGAGAGAGAGAGUAGGNNNNNNNNNNNNNNNNNNNNCCCUCCUCUCUCUCUCUCUCUCUCUCUCGCUCGCCUCCGUCCUCUUCCUCGGACGGGACUUGUCGCCAUGAAAGCGGCGGCGCGGCCACACGGACCUCAGAUCUUUCCAAUCUUGGCGGCGUCCGACGUUUGAUAAUCCCCCACGUCGUUGAAGAACAAAUCGGCAUCUUCCUCUUCCCUGAGAAGAGAUGCUACUUCUGGAUACAUUCUCAAGCCUAAAAAAAUAUGAUCUCAGCGGACGCACAGAGAGAGAAAAUGGGCGCCCAUCAGACUCUUGAGACCGGCAAGAACACGAAGGAUCAGAGAGAGAGAGAGAGAGAGAAUCCAAUGUGGGAUAAUUUAAACACCAUUUGGGUCAAUCUACAGGCAGAUAGAGUAAAUACACGCUUCUUAUUCAUCUCCUUCCGCGUCUGAUUUUCCACACUCAAAGCGAGAUUAUCCAAGAACAGAGCAGAGAGAGCGCCAGAUGUUCCGCUCCUCCCUCCUCCCUCCCUCUCGCGGAGCUCUCCGAGCCCCUGGAAACGUUGACCGAGCCGCUCGAUCCGCCACCGAAACCCUGCAACCCUCGGCCCGUUGGCCUCGACCACAGCCGGCCGACGAUCAUCGCCAACGGCUCCCCAGGAUUUCUUCCAGCUCGUCGUCAAAUAGUCGAUCAAACUGUCAAGUCAGCGGCCUCCUCGGCGGAGCGGCCAUCAGCGCUCGGUCUUCAGAUGGCCGCCUGAAGAAAAUAAAAAUGACCCAUUUAGAUCAUUCCCAGGGCCAUAAACCGGAGAUUAUAAAGAUUUCGUCUUGGAUUGACAUCGAGGAGAUUCGGAGUCUCACCAUGGAAAUCAUGGGCGCCGAUCUGGAUGUUAUGAAGCUCGUCGGCCCAGGCGCUGGGGAUCUGUGGGCAAGCACAAGGGAGGAAGAAAAAAAAGGCUCAAAUCUCGAUUAAUACCAACAUGGGGUAAAUUAGCUCAUUUUCUGGGAAUUCUAGGGAAUGUUGGCACCAAAAUUGUUCCCUUUUUUUCCCUUUUUAGAGAGAGAAAGUAGAUGAAAACAACGGCUCAAGGUAGAGGAUCAAAUGGGCACCACCGGAAUGGCUCAUCAUCAUCCCAUUGCAGACUCUCCCUAUGCUUAAUGGGGAGAUUUUUCAUUCCGUAAUGGUGCGGAGGGGGAGGGGGGGAUAUGGCCGCACCUGAUUUGGCGGCUCCCCGUAGGAGCUCACGGCGGCGAGCUGGGCGUUGAUGGCCCUCCUGAGGGCCUCCGAGGGGUUUCCUGUUCUAGGGAUCCCUGGCUGAACCAAGGAGCUCUGCCCUGGAUGCAGCUGGGGAGGGCCGAUCUCCGGCGGGAAUCCGAUCGAGGGCAUGGGAACGGACUGCGACUGCAGAAUCUGGAGCAUGGUUGACCGAUAAAUCAUCAGAUAUCAUCCCAUAAAUCAGGCGCAACCAUACGAAAAAUGGAAAGCUGGGUUUUGACUUCGAUCACCUCCUUCAAGAAGAGCCCCUCGAUGUUAAAGUCAACGUGAGGAUUCACGGUCGCCAGCUUCAUCGAGAGGAACUGCACCCACAAGCCCGUCGAGAUGAGAAAUGGAGAAAAAGCCGGAAAAUAUGAACAAAUUGCAGGGAACGCCAAGAACAGGAAGGAGGGCCAUCUCCGCGGGCGGCAUACCUCGACCUGCCUCUGCAGCGACUGGACGUAGUUGAUGAUCUCAUCGAGCAUCACGGCUUUCCCCGUGACCUGUUUAGGAUGAAAUUAUGGGCGAUUAUUGAUAUCCAUAUAUGUGACGAUUAUAGAACUGGGUUGUUCUUGGUUGAUAUGAAUCUAGUUCUGUCUGACAACCUUGCUGCAGCCUGGGACGAGAUCUUGAAGAAACUUCAUCCGCUCACUGAUUUUCUCACGUCUGACCUGCGAUUGAAGUCAAACCCAUCGAAGAGAAGAUCAAAUCGGUUUCUGGGUCGGCGAAAUCGGACCCACGGAGUUCAGCCCACUAGAAAAGAUGACAGUUUCCUCCUGGAAUGCUUACUCUCUCCGCAAGGCUGUGGCUGUUGGUGGCCUGCCCUCGCCGGGCUCUGACAUGGACGUAGUCCUCCUUGGGCGGCUCUGCAGAGUCCUUGCCAUGCUCCGAGCUCGAGUUCUUCCGCUCAUCCGCCAUUUUAUUCUCGUGGCUCUCCUUCGGGGCCUCCGCAGAGCGCUGAGCGUCCCCCAUGGCCUGCUCCGGCUCCAACCCCGCCUCCUGCGAUCAAGAAGGGAAGAACACAAUGAGGAGGCCGGAGAUCGACUGCUCCGCAAGAUCCUGCAGAAGGCUGAGCACCACAAUGGAGAUAAUGCUGUCGAUUGGGAGGUAGAAAUUUGCAGUGAUUUGGCGCGGCUGCUUCGCAUUCUGCUCCUGGAGAACCGUUGCUCACCUGGUUUCCCCUCUUCCUCUUCCUGGGCAACGACCCGGCGGAGGAAGGGUCGCCGGCAGUGGUCUCGGAGCUAGGGUUCUCCUCCUGGUGUCCUCCUGCUCUGAGCUCCAGGUCAUGGCGGUCGUCAUUCUUGGGUGGCGCUCUCCCCGGGGUCGGAUUGCUCCUCUGAGAAUGAGCUCCGGAGAUCACCAUGCCAGGGCCGGAGCUAGGGCUCCCCAUCCCACCGGCGGCGAAGCCAUUGAAGGAGGAGGGCCUCGAGGCGCGCUCGACGAAGGGAGGGUCCGCUGGGAACUGGGGCAGGCCGUGGAGGAAUAUUCCGUUGCCGUUCCGCGAGAAGAGGGCUCCGGCGCUGUCGGGCAUGGCCGCCGGAGGGUUCCACGCCAUGUCGAGCGCCGGCGGAGGGAGGGCGGGGCUCUGGGAAUUGGCGGCGGUCUCCCAGAGGCGACGGCCGAAGGGGGCAGCCAUGGCGGAGGAAGAGGAAGAAUAGCAAAUCUGAUCCCCCUCAGGGACCGCCGGAGGCCCGAAGAAACUCAUCUGCGGGCCGCUGAAUCUCCAGUCGCCAUGGAUGUCGGAUCCAUGGUAGCUCAGACGGUCAUCUCCCCUAUCCUUCUGGCCGGAAUCCAUAUCCCCCCUCACCGUCCCCACUCACAGGCCCUCAGAACCAGUAGGACCUGAGCAACCGAGGUCCGAUUUCGGCGAACCCUAAUCGGAGGAAGAGGAUGAGACAAGAACCCAAAUACCUCAAUCGGCUAGCCGUCCCAGCCGAACAGGCGAAGAACACCGCAAAAAUGUGGAUCAGCUCCGCGAUUCAAACUUGCAGAAAUCGGCAUCAGAGACGGCGAAACCCAGUUGGAGGGGAAAUGGUCGGCGCCCGAGCUCCCCGACGGUCGGAAUCAAACGAGAAUCUCACCGAUCGAACUGCCGAAGACAGAGCCAGGAGCCGCAGUGGAGCGGAACCAGGCCCGAGAAUUCGACAAAAAUGGCGGAUCAAGGAGCUCCAAAAAGUCUGUGGAAGGGUUUGGAUUGAAACAGGGGGAAGCGGAGGAUCAAUCCCUACCCAAUGCGGAACGCGCGCAGACACGCAUUGGUUUCAGAGACGAGCCGUGGGAAAAACAGCAACAGCCCAGAUUCCCCUCCCUCCUUCCGCAGAUCUCUCCACGGUCGGCGGCCGAGCUCUCACCCGCAGGCUGGUCGCUGGAGGAGCUCCUCCCCACCUCCUCGUCACCCCCAACACCUAAAAGCCAGAGUAGCAGAAGACCCACUUAAGAUUCUCUCCACCGUCUUUCACCCCGCUCUCUCUCUCCCUCUCUCUCUAUCUCUCUAUCUCUCUGCGUCUCUGCGAUAUAUAUAUGUAUAUCCUGCGAGAGCACCAUCCGGAUGAGAGAGAAAUACCGAGGAGAGGGAGAGCAACGGGGGGUUGUCUUUACUUUGGCCUCGCUCGACUGUUCUCUUCUGCUCAGAAACCAACUCCCGCGGACCGAUCAAAGAUGAACAGUAGAGAGAGAGAGAGAGAGAGAGAGAGAGAUGAUUAAUGGCGGAGGAGCUCCCUCGCACUCUGACCCGCUCCGGGUCAGGAGUGGCGCCAUUAACCAGCCCCCACUCUGCUGUAAAACCCUUUUACGAGGACGACUGUAAGACAUCCGAAGAAGUUCUAUCCCACCUGCCCCUCUCUCUCUCUCUCUCUCUCUUCUGGCUUCACCGGAAAUCAACUCCGAGGACAAUAAAAAACCCCCCGUCUCUGUCAAUCCCUUUCAUCAAACCUUGACCUUUCCCCGACUUUUCUCCCUCUCCCGGUCGAUCGCCAGAUCGAUCUGGCGCAGCGCCUCUGACAGCCGCCGACCCCGCCUCCAUUAAACAAAUCCCACGCCUCCUCCGAGCUCUCUCCCUCCUCCCCGUUGGCACACGAUAUGCUACGAUGCCACGCAGGCGCAUCGUCCUCAACGAUGGGGCCUCUCUAUCCGGUCGGUCGACCACUGAGACGCCGACUUCUCCAGUUUCCAUAAUUAUGUAAAUACAUUUCCCGUACAUUCCACUUGUUUAAUAAAUUUAAAUCUAAAAUAUUGAAAAUAAUCGUCCCUCUCUCUCUCUCUAUCUAGAUUAUUUAUUAANNNNNNNNNNNNNNNNNNNNNNNNNNNNNNNNNNNNNNNNNNNNNNNNNNNNNNNNNNNNNNNNNNNNNNNNNNNNNNNNNNNNNNNNNNNNNNNNNNNNNNNNNNNNNNNNNNNNNNNNNNNNNNNNNNNNNNNNNNNNNNNNNNNNNNNNNNNNNNNNNNNNNNNNNNNNNNNNNNNNNNNNNNNNNNNNNNNNNNNNNNNNNNNNNNNNNNNNNNNNNNNNNNNNNNNNNNNNNNNNNNNNNNNNNNNNNNNNNNNNNNNNNNNNNNNNNNNNNNNNNNNNNNNNNNNNNNNNNNNNNNNNNNNNNNNNNNNNNNNNNNNNNNNNNNNNNNNNNNNNNNNNNNNNNNNNNNNNNNNNNNNNNNNNNNNNNNNNNNNNNNNNNNNNNNNNNNNNNNNNNNNNNNNNNNNNNNNNNNNNNNNNNNNNNNNNNNNNNNNNNNNNNNNNNNNNNNNNNNNNNNNNNNNNNNNNNNNNNNNNNNNNNNNNNNNNNNNNNNNNNNNNNNNNNNNNNNNNNNNNNNNNNNNNNNNNNNNNNNNNNNNNNNNNNNNNNNNNNNNNNNNNNNNNNNNNNNNNNNNNNNNNNNNNNNNNNNNNNNNNNNNNNNNNNNNNNNNNNNNNNNNNNNNNNNNNACCUCUCUCUCUCUCCUCUCUCCUCUCUCUCUCUCUCUCUCUCUCUCUCUCGCUCGCUCUCUUUCUUGAUCUCUCUCUGAAUUGGACCGGGCCCAUAUAGGUUCUGGGCCCAAUUUAGCCUCCUGACCAACCUAAGAAUGAAGCAUUCAUUUUCCCCAUGAAAUGAACUCAAACUGGGAAAUUUCCUACCAAGAUAGAGGAUAACUGGAAAAGAUGCUGACUUUUGAUGACCCUUUUGGCUACUCACACUAGAUACAAGGUAAAUGAAGAACUAGGUAAUCGGGUUUCAUCAUUUUUUUUUCUGUUUAUCAAUCUGCUCGUUGUUUACCAAAAGAAUAGCCGACUUGCCUAGAAAAAGGUCAACGUUGACGAUCUGCCCUCUUGCCCGCUCGCCAUCCUGUCACCUGAAAUAGAUUAAAACGAUCGGAAACCAGUUGGAUUCUUCGUCUCCUAUCUCCCCUCUUUAUGAAAAACGGAGUUAAAUUUUCCUGAAAAAUAUCAACACUUAAAGACCCUCCCGCGCGCUCCCAAUCAUAUCACAGAAAAAACAGAUUAAGCUGAAGGUAAAUCUCAUCAGAAACCACGCAGGUUCAUCGCGUUUUAGGCUUGUCUCCUCAUUGUUCACAAAGCCAGAGUUGACUUUCUGUCACCGGGCAUUCUCGGCUAGGGUGUCUUGGAGAGCAAGUCGUCAACGAAACACCGGGGUUUCCGGCUGAAAGAUGUAGACACCGCAGAUAGAGAUCACCGAGAAGAGGAUCGCGAGCAACGCGUUCUUCGAUCUCCGGUUCCCGCUCUCCGUUGACCUGUCCCUCCCAGGCUUCGGCGGUGGCCCGGUUUGACCGCUCUUCGAUGCGGUUUCGCUCGGAUGGGUCCUGCAGGCGUCAUCAUCCGAGAUUUCCACCUGAUGAUAAAGGAAACUCAAUCAGCUGAACUGAUCCUUAGGAGUUGACCCCGACGAUAUUUUGGAAAGAAGAACAAAAUAUCCACGGAAAAUGGCCACUGGGCCAACAUACCGACAUGAGCUUUUGAGAUUCUAAGAUCAAAUGUGAACAAAUCAGAUGGACCCAGAUUUUUCCCAGUACUCUGGAUGGGAAUGCAUUCAACUCAUCCUUUUUUCUUUGUAUCUGAUCUAUUUUACCCAGAAAAGGUAAUAUUUAUAGCUAAAUUACUUUGGGGAUGAAAUUUUUUUUAGCUGGGACCUGUGAUAAAGGGCACGCUCUCUCAAGGCGAGGUUCAUUACCAGGUAAGUGAACACGCUGGUCUCAAUGGCGGCGUUCUUUGCACAUACUGUUUUCGUCUCAAAAUCAGCCUUAUGCAGCGAUUCCUCUAGGCUCUCUACUUUCCUUUUCAGGAAACCGAGUUCUUCAUUUAAAUCCGAAUUACUCUCGAUCAGUAGAGAACACCUCAACUCUGCAUGAGCAGCUCUGACUUCUGCAUCAUGAACUCUCCACUUCAGAUCCUCGAUCAGCUUCUCCAUAUCACAACGAGCGGCAAAGAUUAAGGUUUUCUUCUCCAUUUGGGCAUCUGAAGCCUUCUCUUCCAGAUCACCCUCAUCAUAGCAGAUCCUUGGGCCAAGCCCCAGGUUAGCCUCAGGAAAUAAUUUACAGCCGGCUUCUUCGGAUUCAGCCCCGGUUUGAUCCAUGUAGCAGGCUUCUUCAAGAACACCCAUCAGAUCUACAGUCUCAGCACGUUCAAGGUGUCGAAUAUCCUGUUGAUAUUCGGCUUCAUCCAUGGAAACCAUGGCUAAUUGAAGAUGAAGACCACAUUCUUUCGACUUCGCAUUCUCCUUCAACAUCAAGGAACCUGAAUCAGCACCAGCAUGUGCCUCCUCACUGAAUACACCUGGUGACUUCAAUUUGCUACCUUUCUGCGCAGAUCUCGUCUCGUUCUCCCACAGAACCGACCCAUCUAAAUUCACCCCAAGAGCCCGGAUCUUUGGGAAGGAUUCUCGUGAUAAAAAUCCCAUUUUCAUAUCGGAGGCAUCCCCAGCCCCUACCAACUCAACCCGAAUGGCCUGCAUCUGUUCUUCCUGCUCCACCAGGUGCAGCUUUAUUUGGACGCCACUAUUAUUCCUAGCGUCUGAGAGUUCUCUCUCCAGAUCUAGCUCCCUGGCCAGCGACUUCUCCAGCAUACGCAAUAUAUGCCUUUGCUGCUCCACUGUCUGCAUUUGCCAGUCAUCUUCAUUCCCUGCCAAGAAAAUUUCAUCAAAUUAAUCGAAACUUAUCUUAGUUUUCAUCGUUGAAAAGAUUUUGGUGAGAGGAAGACGCCCAAAGACUUACAAAUUUCUUUCCUCCCCAGAGCCAAGGCCCCGUCAAAUUUCUCCGUCUGCAUUCUGAUCUCGGUUACCUGUUCUUGAGAGCGCCUCAGGGAUUCUUCGGCAUGGCGCAGCUUCUUCUCUAUUUCCUGCGCUUUGACUCGUUCAUUCCGCCGAACCUUCUUAAGAUUAUCCUCGAUUUCCUUCUGGAGAGAGGCCAUGAAACCGUCCAGUUCUUGGAUCUCGCAGUCUAAGAUCCCCGAUAGGGCAUCGAAUUCGAAGGCUUUCUCGAUGACAUCGGAGGAAGUGGAUCUGUUUUCCAUAUAUAGAGCCUCGCAGUCUCUUAAUCUGUUCGUGACGUGCAUCAGGAGUAUGUCGAGAUUGAGCACUUUCUCUGCACAGUAGGCUAAAUCGAGGUCUAUUCUCGUGAUGACUUCGCCCAUUCUAUCUCCGCUGGCCAAGAUAGCUUCGUUCGAGCAAAUAAUGUGUUGAUGAGUGUCUUAUUCCCUUCCAAGUAGGCCGAGGAAAGAUGUCAGUUUUUGAUUCCAUGCUGGAUGAAGAAGAAAAGGAGCCGCAGAUGGCCCAAUGAAAAGUUUCCCCUCCAAACUAUAAUUUUAAUGAAUGUUUAUGGAUAAAUCGCGCCGGAAAUUCAUGCUUCAAACUUGGGCAAGAUCCAUGAACGAUGAAGAUGGGGCUUGGAUGGGAAUCCGGUAGUAGGAUAAUAUGAGGAAAUGAAACGGCAGAUGAGCCGCUGACCCAGUUGCACCGACGGAGGAGGACUGGGGAACUCCGACCGCGGGAGCAUUUCCGGCGGCGGAGCUCAAAGAUGUAGUGCGGGGAAUGUGAGGCGCCUCUGGGUAGACCAGAGUGCGCCUCCCCGGCGAAACGUGAGUUCGUGCGACAAGAGGACGAAGGGACGGCCGGAACAGCCAGAAAAUGAUGAGGGCAAGGCGAGACAAAACGAAGUCCGACGUGGGUAAACCAUCCAGCCGAAGAUCACUAACCAGAAAAAGAGCAGUCACCUGCGUCUCUCUGUCCGCUGCUGGAAGAGGAAGAAGAAGAAGGUAGAGUUGUCGCCGUCUUCCUCCGGCGUUAGAAGGAUACCCCCCGGAGCCCGUCUAUCGACGGAGGAAAUGGAUCCCGGCUGAAGCAGGAUGAGAUGGAUAAGAGGGGCCGAUGGAGAGAACCAAAGACGCUCGUCCAGGACGCUCCUAGCCGCCGGCCGGAAUACCAGGAAGAAUGGCCGGACGAAGAGGAGGAACGAUCACCCACCCGCUUCUUCUUCUCCUGGCCAUGUCCAUGCAGGGAGGGGUGACCAAACCACCCCUCCCUAAAUAGUAAUAGCAGGGCCAACGUUCGAAGGGCAUUCGAGUAUUUACGCUAUAUCCUGAAAUCUAGAUAAAUGGGGCCUGUUCGCAUAGAGGUAGGAUCAGAUCAUGGUCGGAAGUGAACUUGCUUGAAUGGAGAAGGACAAGUAGGAAAUUUAUUUCAAUAUAAAUUUUUUGGUACAUAAAAUAAACUCUAUUUGAAGAACAUAUAUAUUAUGAAAAAAAUAUCAAAACCCAACAUUUCUAGCAUUCAAGGAGACAAAGGCCCAGGGCCUUGGAUCAAGCCGUUCCAAGAAGAGAUUUCCUUAGCUUACUCCACGAAUUUCCAUAGCCAACGGGCAUCAACAAAAACCAAAUAAGCUUACUUCAUGGUUCAUCUGACCAAGAAAGGCUUACGUGAGCAUUUCGGAUGAGUGGAUGAAUCAGAUCUCAUCUAAACCUUGCAUCUAAUCGAAAAUUCCAAUCAAAUUAGCUCCGAUAAUAUCUUGCGCACACAUUUUUGUGUCUAGUGACCAAUUCAACAUAAGCAUGUCCCAUGUGACGUUAUGUUUGGUUCAAAUAAAUCUUUAUGUAAAUUCCAGCAUCAUAAAAUCUAGGUUUGUAGGCCUGUAUGGUUUAUCACAUGGACUCAUAAACAUGAAUUAACCCAUAAAUUUACAAAAAGGGUUUCAUCCCAUAGACAAAAUGGGUUGCAUCCUUCUUUUAAAUUGUGAAUGAAUUUCACCUCAUACCUGAUUGGUAGACGAUUUGAUCUUAACUAUCUGCACAUGUUUUUGUUUGUAAUGGCAAAUGAACCUUGAGGUGCUUCACAUUCCUUGACUUUAAUGAAAAAAUUCUUUAAAAAUGAAUGGAUUCAUCAAUAUUAUCAAUGAAGCACAAAAAAAUGGUAGAUGCAGAUGGUUUUUAAAUCAUAAAUGUAGGAUUAGGAUAUGCUGCGUGUUUACCUUAGCCUUUCCUGCACUAAGGAUUCAUUCCAGCCGCCCAUCCUACAGCGCAACUGCCUUAAUACCAAACAUUUGCGCUUAAAUCACCCUGAUACCAUUGAUGUUCAACAGAUUUUAUAGUGUAACGAAUUGAGCUAUUAAUACCUCGUACAUUGAGUAGAAAGGAGCAAAUGAUGGUAUAUCAAUGGCAGGAUAAAUAACUAGAAUUUGGGUUCGAUUCCAACUCCCCAUGGCACCAUCAUUUGGUUUUUCCAGCCUCUAAGUAAGGGGAGUCCUCUCGAAUAAGGAAGGAAAAUGAAUUCAAACUGUAAUGAAAAAUCUGGUUCAAUGGUUGUUCUCCACUAAAUUAAUGUUGUGAUUAUGUAUAAACGAGGACUGAAGAAAUUAUUGGCAACAUUAGUGAUGAUAGUGAAUUGAAAAAUAUUUGAACCUUUUUCAUAGCAUGUCGAGUUAUGAUUUAUGAAUCUAAGAUAUUGGGACUAAAAAUAAUGAGCCCAAAAACCACUGUUUUCUUGACAUUGAUAUCGUAUUAGGGGGUUUCUGUUUUGUAUUUGUUCUUCUCUUCCUAAAAAAAACUAGAGAAAUACAACAGCUUAAUAUGGAUUUUCUUGCUUAAUUUUAGGCCAGUGAUGUACCAUAUAAUUUUUCCAUAAAUAAUAACCUUGUAAAUGAAAUUUAUUAAUAUUGACAUUUAUACCCCAUUUGUCAUUGAAAUGGCAAACAUUUUUGUGGUGGGUUGCCUUGAGUUCACAAUCUUUGAUUGACUAUGUGGGUUGUUUAAUUCCUUCUAUUUAUACCAAAAUCACAAACAGAGUACAUGAAAUAAUUGAAAUCUAAAUUUAUGUGCUAAUUAAAUUAAGGAGAAAUGGGUUCAAAUAUGUACAUAAAUCGGAUUUACAAUUGCAAUCAUAGCAAUAGCAUAUGCUCUAGUUGUCAGGAAUUUAGCUUCUACAAUUUUUGACUAAUAUUAGUUUUUCCCCUCUUCUCAAAAAAAAAGUAAACAUGAUAGCUUAAGAUAAAUUUUAGGCAAGGGAAGUGGGAUAGAAUUUGUGCAAAAAUAGCCAAAAAAGGUGGCAAUGGUUACGAUUGCUAUUUAUAUCAAAUGUAUGUCAUUAAAACAAAACAUACUUUCGUGGUGAGCUACCUCACACUUACAUUAUUUGAUUGAAAAUGGACAUUGAAUUGCUCUUCUUCUCCUCUUGAGAUUACAAAAAAGAUGAAAGUAAGAAAAUGCCAAUUGUAGUAGACAAAAGUGACACAAAAGUUCACAUAAAUAGUCCUUUAAAUCACAUACCAAUUGACCAUGCCCUCAAUAUUAACCAUUUAGCAUCUAAAAUAUUUUAUCAACAACUAGGAUUGUAUUGCUUGUUUAACUUUCUAGAAAAUAAAUAUUGAUGAAAUAAAAAAUCUUAAAAUUAAUUUCUUACUUCAUUGAAAUUUCUUCCUCUCUCCCAAAAUCACAAAAAGAGUGAAUGUAAUAAUUUAAGAUAAAAUUUUUCUUCAGCUAUAGUAGUCAAAAGUGGCACAAAAGUUUAAAUAAAUAACAUAUAAGUCACAAUCAUACCAAUAACACAUUCCCUCCAAGUUAACCACUUAGUCUCUAAGUUGCAAUUGUAUUCGAGUGUUAAAACAAAAAAUGGUAAAUAAAAUAGUUUAAGAUGAAAAUUAUUUCUUCAUUAAAGCUAUGGAAAUUUUCAAAAAAAAAUUACAUUAAUAACUUUGAAAGUGACUUUGAUUAAUAUUGUCAUUUAUACCCCCCAAUCGAUCAUUAAAAUAUCACAUCCUUUUGUGAUAGGGUGCCAUGGGCCUAAAAUCAUUGGUCAAUAAUAUGGUCCAUUUUGUUCCUUAUAUAUCCCAUAGAAUCAAAAAAAUACGAAAUUAAAUAAUUAAAAUUAAAAUAAUCCCAAGGAGAGGAUCAAAAAUCAUACAUAAAUACUCCUCAAAUUAGAGUUGUACCAGUAGUGAAUGCUUUCUUUGUUGCGCAUUUAGUCUCCACAAUUAUUGACUGAUCAUUGGGAUUGUGUCAAUCAUUUUUAUCUUACUAAAAAUAAACAUUAAGGGAAUAUGAAAAAUUAAGAUAAAAUUUCUUCCUUAAUUACAAGAAAUGAAGGUUCCAUAAAAUUUAUGUGGAAAUAUUCAUAUAAAUAUCAAUUAUUUAUCUUAUUAUUUAUAUCAAGUUUGGUUCGCACCAAAGUCAUGAAAGGGGGUUGAAUUAAGUACAUCUCUUUUCUUUCAUUUGAGAAAUAGUUCUCUGAGAUAAUCCUCUAUAUUCUUUAAUGGGCAGAAACCUUAUGGACUAUGGAUGUUAACUCAUUGAUUUUAUAGUGGUUUUACUUCUAAUAUACGUCAACUCUCUAAAAUUAUUCAUUGUUCUUGGGUUUCAUUGUUAUAAUUAUAUGAUCAUAAUGGCUUACUACAAUGACUCAACUCUCAUAGAAUCUCACAUAUAAGUUUUUUUUCUAAAUUCAUAAAUUUGUGAGGCUCAAUAGUUGGUUUAGGUGACAAGUCCCACAGAUGAUCAAUACAAAAUAUUAUCACAAGUCAAUAAAUUAGAAAUAAUUUUUUUAUGAGUUCUUUCCAAAAUAUGGACUUUUUAUCCUUUGAAUUUCUUAUGUAGAGGAUGAUGAUAUUGAUUCUUUGGGUUUAUUCAUUAGUUCUCAGAUUUCUGACGAUAGACUUGAAGGCUUGCUGUUGUGAUCAACUCAAGGAGAGGCUUCAAUGCUUGUAUGUGCACCUCAACUUGAUGUCUUCAUGAAGAACACACAAUUGUCAGCUUUUUCUCUUUUUCUUCUUGAAUAUAUUUCAUGAAAGACUUAGCACAAAAGUAAAGGUGGUAGAGACAAUGCAAAUAGUCAUUGAGUGUUGAUUUUUAUAUUAAAAAUUAAUGAUAUUAUAGAUAAACUAUGUACACACUUUCUCAAUUUUUGCAACCUUCUAACAUAUCAAUUUACUAAAUAUAAUUAAUCAAAUUGUGAUGAAACAAUACGUUGCUUUUGAAAAUUUUAGUUAUCUUUGAAGGAAAACUAAUACAUGAAUCAUUUAUUUCAUAAUUUUUGUAUCCAAAUCAAAUCAGUUUACUUGAAUACAUGACAACAAAUAUGAUAGUGACUAGAGUAAAAUUGAUAAGAUUUAUCUUAAUAAGGUAAUAAUUUCACAUUCAAAUCUGAUCGGAGUUCUAUCAAAUAAAGCAUUAAAUUUAAUUAGACAUCUCAAAUCAUGAUAUUAAUGUCUCAUAUCAUAACUUCAUUGAUCAAGAUAUAUAUUAUGAUUUUCUGCAUAUAUUCAAAAAUAUUUAAAUAACAUUUUCGGUAGAAAUUAAAGUAUGUAGAAUAUUCAUUUGAUUCAAUGUAAAAUCUAUUUGAAAAUAAUGGAUUAAAAUAAUUAGUUUCUAGAUAAUUGAGAUAUCUUCUAUACUCAUAUUUUACUUCACAAAAUCUUAUUGAUUUAAGUGCUCUAUUCAUUUCUUUUUUGAUUGUGAUAGUUUCAAUAAAUAAAAAUAUCUUCCACAACAAUAUAUAAAAUGAUAAUUCUAUAGGAUGAAAUAAUUAAAGUAUGUUAUUUCACAUCACAAGUUUUUAAUAUAUUUAUUGAGCUAUCAUCUAUAUACUUAAAGAUUAUAUCUUAGGCAUUGUACUUGGAUAGUUAAAUUCUUCUAUGUAUGGAGUAGACUCAACAUUUAAGUAUAAUUUGAUUUUUAUUAAUUGAUUUUCAUCAUCAAAAUGUAUUACCUUCAUGGCUCUAAUAAUUUAUAAUUUAUUUAUGUCACUAAAACAUCAUUUUUUUGUAAUGGAUUAUCUUAUGUUUGCAUUCUUUGAUCAAUAAUGAUGGCUAUAUUGUUCUCCCAUCUACCUAAAAUCACAAAAAUAGUAAAUAUAAUAAGCUAAAAUAAAAUUUUAACUUAUUAAAGUAGAGAAAAGUGGCAUAUAAGUUUAAAUAAAUAGUCCUCUAAAUCACAAUCAUUCUAAUAGCACAUGCCCUCCAAGUUAACCAUCUAGUUCUUACAACAUUUGAGUAACAAUUAAGAUUAUAUUAGUCAUUCUUCUCUCUUGAAAAUAAAAAUUGAGUAAAUACAACUUAAGUUGAAAUUUCUUGAUUCAUUUAAAGCUAAAAAAUUGCAUAAAUAUACUUGGAAAUCACUAUGAUUAACACUGUUAUUUAUACAGCCAUGAAUCAUCGAAACAUCACAACCUUUCAUGAUGGGGUGAACUUAUGAUUGUUGAUUGAUAAUAUAAGUCCUUGUAUUUCCUCUAUUUCUCCUGACAUCACAAAUAGUGGAAACUAAAAGUUUAAAUCUGAAUUUCUUAGCCAGUUGUAAAAAGGAUAAGUGUCUUAAAACAUAUAUAUAAGUCAGCUUCAAAAUUGGAGUCAUAUCAAUGGUACAUGUUUUGUUUGUGAGGCACCUAGCUCCUACAAUCAUAGACAAUAAUUGGGAUGGUGCCAAUCAUUUUCCUCUUCUUGAAAAUAAAAUUUAGGUAAAUACAACAACUAAGAUAAAAUUUCUUUCUUAAUUGAAGGCUGGGGAAAUGCCACAUAAUUUCGAUAAGAUUGAAACCAAGGGAAAUGUAGACAGAAGAAAAACAAGAAUCUAAGGAAGAAAAUGUUAAAAUAGAAAUGGGAAAAGAAAGAAUAGGUUUGGUCCUACAAAAACACAUUUGAGAGCACCCUACUUUCUCAAAAACUUCUUAUAAAACUCCUCAUAGUGAGGGUCCCUCUGCCCAUGACUUACCUUUCCCUCUAUUAAUGAAAACAACUCAAGUAAUGAGAUUGGUAAUAGACUCAACAAUUUCAAGCCUAACAAUAUUCCCCUUAUCUCACUCCCCUCCUCCCUCCCUCCCCCUUCGCCAUAAUAAUUUCAUCUUAUUUCCAUGGUAAAAGUAUGGAAAUCAAAGGUUGUUGAUGAGUCCUACAUAACUUCUAAUGUCGGUAAGCCUUGCCAUUUGAUGAGAGUUUCUACUAUGCUUAUUUCUCAAGUGUCUAGAGUGAUGUGAAUUGUUAUGUAUCAUUUCUAAUUCUUAUUCAUCUUCAUAACUAAAAUGAGUAGUAGUUUUCUGUCACACAUAUCUCUAGUUAAAAUUUCUUAUCACAAGAAAAAUGAUUUGUUUGUCCCCUUUCCUACCACUAUAAUUCUAUGAGAGACAAUCUCUUCCUUUUAUCAGAAGUGAUUUUUCACUUUAGAUUUUUUGGUUCCCCAUACUUUAGAUUGUGUUAUUUUCUCCUUCAUGAUAUGAGAUGUAUCCAUGAUUUCAUUGUGUCCUUUUUUGUUAGAUUUUAGGCUAGUGAGGAUCAAUGAGGGGACAAUUUAUUGAUCUUCUUUUUUUCUCUUUGAAAUACUUCUCUUUUUAUGAUCACAACCCAAUAAUGAAUUUUUGGUGAUUUUUGCAGCUUAAUCGCUCUUUAGAAAUCGUGAUUUCUUCGCCAGUUGUUCGCCUGCGAGAUAGAGAAAGGGGGAAAGAUGAAUUAAGUACUAUAAUGCCCUCAAUGUAUGACGUCAUAAGGAUAAUUUAAUAAUAGUCAAUUAGGGGCAUUGUUAGUAUUUAGAAAAUAUGCGGGAAAAAGUAAGGUGCGGAUUAGUCCCACAUCGGUUUUCUGGGCGAGUUUAACGCGCAUAUAAUAUGGGUGCUUCUUUAGCCAUCAAUAGGUACAAAUCACUUGCGUGUGUACGAACACUCCUUGCCCCAUGCCCCGUUGGCCACUAGUGACGUGGAAGGGGAGUGAUGCACACGUCAGCCGCUUGAGCGCCUAGCUCGCGAUCUAUGUCGCCAGCCGCUUGAGCCUCGAGCUCGCGAUCUAGUCCUAAGCCGCUCAAGCCUUGAGCUCGCGGUCCUUAGCCGCUCAGCAGCUCCGCCUGAUUGGGCCUCCGACAUGCUAGCAGGCCCGGUUGGCCGGUGGAUUUUUUGCUUUUUCCUUAAAUAUAUUUUUUUUCAUUUCUCUCAACAAAAUAAAAUUAUAAAAUCAUGUAAUUAAGUAAAAUUCAUAUUAAUCAACUAGAAAUCACUUUUUACGAUUUAACACAAAAAUAAGUCUAUUUAUNNNNNNNNNNNNNNNNNNNNNNNNNNNNNNNNNNNNNNNNNNNNNNNNNNNNNNNNNNNNNNNNNNNNNNNNNNNNNNNNNNNNNNNNNNNNNNNNNNNNNNNNNNNNNNNNNNNNNNNNNNNNNNNNNNNNNNNNNNNNNNNNNNNNNNNNNNNNNNNNNNNNNNNNNNNNNNNNNNNNNNNNNNNNNNNNNNNNNNNNNNNNNNNNNNNNNNNNNNNNNNNNNNNNNNNNNNNNNNNNNNNNNNNNNNNNNNNNNNNNNNNNNNNNNNNNNNNNNNNNNNNNNNNNNNNNNNNNNNNNNNNNNNNNNNNNNNNNNNNNNNNNNNNGACUUAUCACACACACACAAAUAUGUAUGUAUGUAUAUAUAGAACUUUACUCAUGAAGGUUAUAAUUAUAUAAAACUCUUGUCUAAUGUGGUGAGAGGGUCUCAUGUGUAUAUAGAGGGCUUCUCAUAUAUGUUGAAUUAUCUUGAAUGCUUAGGUGAGAAAUAAUGAAUAUUAUGAAUCUAUUAUUUUUAAAAAAUUAACCUAAAUUCUAAUAAAAUGCCAUGUCAUUUGAUGCUGUCAAUAUCAUCUAUUGGAUAGAGACCUAAAGACCUAAAGAUCAACUUUCCAUUUUUAGAACUUUUCAUCUUUAUAACCUUUUAUUUUUAGAUCCUUUCAACAUCUCGUUCAAUUUCUAUUUUUAGAUCUCUCAUAUUUAGAACACUUUCUAUAUUUGACACUUCUUAUAUUUAGGUCUUAUCCUUUCUUUAUUCCCUUUCUAUUUUAGACACUACUUUCUAUCUUUACCACCUUUUAUAAUCUUAUUUCAUUCUAUUUUAAGCCUCUUCCUAUUUGUGACACUUUCCUAUAUUUAUUUCCCUCAUAGUUUUUAAAUUUCAUUUAAAAUUUAAAAUUAGAGCCUUUUCAUAGGCUCUGGCUUAUUUAAGAACACCCCCAUAUAGCCCAAGGGCAUUCAACUUAUUUUAUCGAUAUAAUUUUGUGAGUUUCUUCUCAUUGAGAGAUUCUCUCUUUUGAUGGUGGACUCGAGCAUCCCUAAGGACCCAAGAAAUCAAUUUUUUGAAUUUGUGGAUUCAAGAUCAAACAUUGUGAACUUAAGGGACAUAUCUUCUUCAUUUUGUGGAUUCAAGAUGAGAAGUCUCUAUCACAUAUCAUGAUUUUUGAGGAUUCAAGUUGUGAUUUCAACUUCUCCUCCACUAAUUUUGUCAUCAAUUCUUCUAGAGAGUUGAACACUACAGUUUUGUUCUGUCAUCAUUAAUGGCUGCAUAAAUCCUAAUGAAAUAUUGUUAGGUAUAUACGAGGUUCACAGGAAGAAUAAUAGCUAAUGAUGUUUUACUAAGAAAAAAAUCAAAUUUACAAUUAAAUACUUCUCAUAUGUUGUCUUCUAUUCAUAUUAUAUCUUUGAUGGUAUUUUGAUGUUGUCAUAGAAAUGGGUCAAAGUUGUUAGAUAUCCUUGUAAGAUUUGAACACCCACUAUCUUACCAUUUUACCAAUCUUAAUUCAUGACAAUUCAAAAUCUUUGAAUUUCAUUGCACCUUUUGUCAUAUUCUAUUUUUUUUGAAAUAUAAUGUAAACCUGACAGAUUUAGGUCCAAGAAUUGUCUGAAUGAUUGGGAAACAGCCUCACUUACACUUUGAACUGUGAUACCAUUUCUCGAUUUUAUUCCAAGACCUUGAUUUACCAUGAUUGUGAUGAUUAGGCUUGUCAUAAAAACUUCUCAAUAAUAAGUUGUCAUAGAUUGGAUCUGUUCAUCCGAUGAACCAAACAAUUCUCAAGCGCGCGUCACAGAUAGAUGCAGCAGGGCAGGCGAUGGGGGGGCAGAGAGAGAGAGAGAGAGAGAUGACUCCCGAACUAUUGCGGCCUCUGCUUGAGUCGGCGCAAUUCGUCCACCAGCUCGUCGAUUUGGCGGUAGGAAUCGCCGCCUUCCCUCGUGGCCUCCGCGGCCUCUCGUCGGAGCUCCAGGGCCCUGGCCCUCUCCGGAGACGCCGACCCGUCCACUGACUCGGCGAUGACCCGCGCCAAAUCGUCCGGGUCGGGGACCGAGUCCGCCCUCUCGCAGGCCCUGAUCCCGACUCCGAGCUCACCCAGCAGACGGGCGUUGUAGAACUGGUCCGCCGUCAUCGGCCACAGCAGGAGGACGACUCCGGCGACGAUCCCCUCCAACACCGAGUUCCACCCGCAAUGAGUCAGGAACGAUCCCACGGCGGGGUGAUUCAGGAUCGCCGCCUGCGGGGUCCACCCCCUCAGCACCAACCCCUUCCCGGCGGUCCUCUCCUCGAACCCCGCCGGCGGCUCCGCCCCCAGUAGGCCCCACACGAACCCGGCGCCGCUCCUCUCCAGCGUCGCUGCCACCGCCGCCGCCUGAGCUGCCGUCAGCCUGGCCUGGCUGCCGAAGCAGACGAAUACCACCGACCUCUCCGCCCGCCCGUCGAGCCAGGCCAGCACGCCGUCGCCACCGCCGCGGUCGGCGGCGCCGCCAGGGGGGAGCAAGGGCCCCACGGCCCAGACCCGGGGGUGGCCGAGAUCUGCCCGCAGGUGGCGCAGAUGCGGCGCUUCCAUGGCGGUGAAGGAGUUGAAGACGUAGCCCCAGCUGGAGAUGUUCUCCAGGAAGCCCCUACGGACGAACUCCCAGGACUCAUCCUCCUCGCGGAAGGCGCGGAAGGUCGGGGAGAGCUGGUACCAGGGGUAGACGGGAGCGCCGGGGAGGGAGGAGAAGGAAUAGGGGGCCUCGUCGGAGCCUGGCGGCGGGGGCGGGGGCAUCUCGCGCCAGAGGCAGUGGACGACGGAGAGGGUGGCAGCGCCGGAGGGGCAGAAGACGAGGCGGGGGAUGCGGAGCUCGGCGGCGGCGGCGCGGGUCCAGCCGAGGAAGAAGUCGGAGAUGAUGGCAUCGGGGGGGCGGGGAGCGGAGCGGGCCCAGCGGAGGAGGGGGCCACGGAGGUCGGCGAGGGCGAUCAUCAUGGCUGGGAAGUACGGCUGGGGGAGGCCCUGCGUGUUCUCAACGCCGGCGGGGAGGGAGGGGUGGGAGGGGAAGGGGAGCACGAGGGGUGCGACGGCGGGGCAGCGGGAUAGGAGGGGCUGCAGCAGAGGGGCGUUCUUGGGGGUCACCAGGACCGUGACGGAGAGCCCUCGCAGCGAGAGUAUGUGGGCGAGGUCCAGCAGCGGGAUCAUGUGCCCCUGCGCCGGGAAGGGGAACACCAAGAUGUGCGGCGGCGGCGCCGCCGCCCCCUCGCCACUGUUGCCCCCGCCUUCCCCGUCCGCCGCCGAAGAAGCCAUGCCGAAACAGACGAGCCAGAGACUGAUGGGUGUGGUUAUAUUAAAAAGAGCGAUUCCGGUUGCCCGGUGCUGGCAUGAUCUCAUUAUACGUGCACAGGGAUGGGCCAUUGAAAUGGAAGAGGGUAGAAGAAACCAAAGGUGGAGAAGAGGCAUGGCUGUGAAAGACGAGCACGGGAAUAAAAUAAUGACUGGCCAGGAACCCCUCUCGAGGUUUAGUAAGACCUAACUGUUUCGAGGAGAACCGGAGGGGAGUUCCGCUUCUCUUCCCCAGACUGUUAACAAACAAAAAUUGUCUUUUUUCCUUUUUUUUCAUCGUAUCUCUAUGAUGGGAUCGUACUUUAGAUUUUCGCCAAGGUUUCAGACGGAAAGGAGGGAGGCGCCCAAGAGCUCACUCUGCUUGCCACGUGGCUGUCCCAUAAUAUGACAGCUCAGCUCGCUCUGUGUCUCGGUGUGAGAGUAGAAGACGUCUGUCUAAACCCAUCCAGAAGCCCAAGCCGAGAAGGACUUGAUUGAUCGACCAAACAAUACCAUAAAUAGAAAAGCCAAGGAACUGUGAGCUGAUAUACUUCCAAGGCCAAUCAUUUGAAUGGCUAUCAUCUGAAAAAAAACCUGAUGCUGACGAUGUUCGACUUGAACUUUUAUUUUAUUGAAGCAAAUAUCCAUGAAACAUGUGAGUAAGACGAUUGUCUUGAAUUUCACCAAAAAUAAAAAAAAAGGUUCAUCAACAUACGAAGGAUGUCACACAGGCGAGUUGUGGUAUGAAGAUCUGAUCUUGGAUUCCAAUAAAGACACAUACCUAGCCAGCAUUGAAACCGCAGCUUCAAACUCCGUCACCUGUUUGUCUAUCAACUCGAUCUGCUGGACGUGGGCCUCGAAGCUGAUGUUCUUCCUGUUAAGUUGCUCGACGAACAAUCUUAAUCCGGCGGCAAUGUCGCCAAAACCCUGGUACUCCUCAGCCACUCUGAGGUUCAUCUUCUCCAGAAGCUCCAGUGAGUUGCUCAUACCCUAAUCAGAAGAUCAUGGCAAUCAAAGUGAAAGAAAAAGAGAGAUUCUGUCAAAAGUCUGUCCUGAUACCAAGAUUGGCGACUGAGACUGAUAGGAAGAAGAAAAUAUUGAGAAUUCUGAUGUGGGUUUUGUGCCAAAUGUAGAAAAAGAUAUUUAUCAUCCAUAGCCUAAGCUGACCCGUGUUCUUAGGAUAUGACAUAGUUAUGCUCGUGGCGACGAUGCAAAAUAAGACAAAGAGUUAUUCCCAAAUUAUUUGAUUACCAGACGGUAAUUAAACCUUCUACUCAUUAGGAUGCAUAUGGCCAGGGAGAAUAAUGUUAGGAUCAAAUGAGAAAAAUGAUGGAAAUUUUUAGGUUGCCUUUGUAUAUUAAAAAACCGCCGCAUUUGAAAAUAACAUUGCUAUUGAUCAUGGUUAGCCUCUAAGUCGUAAUUUGACGUUAAUUUGAGGUCAACUUAGCCUCUAAGUCGUAAUUUGAGGUUAAUAGAAAUGUAAUCGUUUGAAAUCACAAAGAAGAAAUAAAAAGAGUUGUAUGAGGAACUUGUCAGUCGGAUUAGCAUCCGUUGAUUGACCUCAACAAGUAACCCACAAACAAAGGCUAUCAAGGAUGCUCGACAGGACAACGGCUGACCCCUAAGCCCUGCCAAUCAAAAGCUCGGGCAGGCCCCAAAUGGCCAAAGCAACAGAGCCAAAAACUAACUGGAGGGCUCUGAGUUUCAGCUUGAUGUUACCAUAUUGUGAAGAUGAUUACUUUUCUUCUUCUUCUUCAACAGAAAAGCUGUGAUGACUGCCUUUUCUGAGGCCUAAUGUUCUGUGAUUGAGAGAACUACGAUAUUGCAUGUGAUGCGAAACUACAGCCUGCCGCGUAUCUACUAAACUAGUAUGGUUGCCUGAGCUCGAGAAACAAUAGAUAAAAGGGUCGAACAAGCUGCAAGAAAGGUAUCUAAGAUCUCAUUUUCACCUGAAUAAGCGGCAUGAAAGAGUUGAAUGAAGAUGUGCUAUGCCACCAGGUAAGGAUGAUACGACCCAGGGAGUCACCUCUUCUAGAGAGCGUUCUGUGUAAUUGGGGAGGAGGGGCGAGGUUGUAUUCUGAGCCACUUAUGUCAAGAAUUAGGGCUCAGGCCGCGGGGGAAGGGGGACACUUCUGAGCAGAAUCGAAGGAUAGUCACUUGAAGAGCCUCUGGUUAUCUCCUUUCUUGUUUGUUUUCUCUAACUCUCAAUCUAGAUCUUCUCUAGCCUCGUGCGUCUGUUCUGUGUGGGUCGUAUCAGAGGAUGACGAGUUUCAGUAAGAGCAGUAUGCGAGCAAAUUCCCAAUCCAACGCGAGAAACAACCGAUCUACCAGGAACUAAGCAAGGAGACGAAUAAAACGCACAAUAUUGAUAAUGUGACGAAGUUUUACACAGUGUGAAAAAAUACGAACUCUACCUCUCGAUUGUCUUGAAUGAACUCCAGACGGAUGAGGAUCGUGAACCGGAGAACUCGAUUAAGCCCCAUCCCCGAUCAACAAAACAAGACGAGCGGCAUGCCGGAUGAAAGCUAGAUCUGAGGAAUGACACGGCGACUGAGAAUCCACACGCGAGCGGCUUCAAAGAGGGCUCGAGGGAAUCCUUAGGUCGUCAUACUGGCGCUAAAUCGUAGGGUAACAGAGAGGAGGCAGCAAGAGACUUCGGAGAGCUCAGGAGGGGGGAGAGUGACCUGGAGGUCGCCAUGCACCAUGGCGGAGACGUUGUUGAACAGAUCGGCCAGCGCUUCCGCGAGCUGGUCCUGGUCCCGCACCUCUCUCCUCUUCCCAUCUUCGGCCAUGGCGGUAGGGACCGGCCGACUCGGAAGCUUGCCUUGCCAAACCGCCCGAGUUUGUUGGAUCGGGUCCCCUGCUCUGUUAGUGGACUGGGCCAGCCAAGUGGUCUUAAGGAAGCGGUCGCCCAUAAAAAAUAAUAAAUUUGGAGAAUUAAUGAUUUUUAUGUAAAUUGAAAUCUGGGUAAAGGUCUUGUUGGGCUUGGUCAGCCCAUGCAUGAAAACUACACUUGGAACAAGUUAUGAUGAGAUUUAUAUAUUUAAAAAUAAAUAAAUAAAACGAUUGUCUAACUCAACAAAAAAUGGGAAGCAUAUAUUUCACAUAAAUCGUUGAAUAAAAAAAUACUUAUUUCUUAAUAAAUUAAGCAACCAGUUAAAAAUACAUAUAUGUACACACCUAGCGUAAAUGUAUUGUAAUUUCAUUUGAGCUAGCUAAAAAUUAAUAUUCAACGUAAUAAAUUUAGUCAUGUUUAUGCAAAAAAAUUGAGUAUGACUUCAAUUAUUAGAAAUCAUCAAUGAUCUCAUUCAAGAUAUGAAGAAUCAAUAUUGUCAACUUAAAGAUUUUAGAAAUCAUUGAUGAUUUCUAAUAGUAUGUUCUUCAUUAGGUUCUUGUUAUUAUUCUAUUUACAUUUUCCUCAAUCUUAAUACAUUAUUUUGAGUCCUAUCAAGUGGUAUUGAAGCACAUGAUGUCAAGAAACAAGAUGAAAUAUGAGAAUUUAUAGAAUGACAUUGAAGUUCCUAUGGAGAUGAUGCGCAUGAACUCAUUGUGGUUAGCCUCAUUAGAAAAUAAAAGACAACAAGAUUUUCCACCCUCAAUGGCUCAAAUUCUACAACACAUGCAACAAAGAGUCACCAACAAGGCAAAAAGAAGACAAUAUGAUAGUAGGAGGAGCCACUAGAGAGACAAUGAGGGAAGGAGUUGAUACAGUGGGCAAUUUGGCAACAUUGAUAAGAAUGCACAUGACUUCAAGAACCUAGGGGUAGACCUCUUUUUGACAAAUUAAUUGAGAGUAGGGAUCAUUGGUCAUAGUCAUGGUUGCAGACCGAAUAUAGGGUGUGACCUAAAAUCUGGUCAUAGUCACAAUCACAAUCUAGUUAGGGUCUUUGGCCUUGACUUGACCUAUGACCUAUAAAUUAUUACAUUAUUUUUAAUUAAAUUAAUGUAUAUAUUAUUUUUAAUAUAUAUAUAUAUUUAAUGAAGGAAGAUGAAAUCAAGUGAAAAAAAGAUGUGAGUCAUACAUCUAAUGAAAGAAGUUACAGUAAACUAAAAUAUUUAAUUACAUCCAUAUAAUUGUGUUACAUUUGAAACAUAAAUAAUUUAAACCAUCUAAAAUAAGAAAAAAGUUUAAUAUUUAAAUGAGCAGAAGAGAGGGAGAGGAGAGGAGGGAGAGGUUGAGGAGAGGGAGAGGGAGAACGAGGGAGGGAGGGAGGGAGGGAGGGAGCCCUAACCUGGACAAGUGCAAAACAAAGAACCAGAGCCAACAAUAGAGGAGGGGGAAAUGAGCAAGAGAGAGGGAGAGGAGAGCUGGUGAUGGGUUGCGCCUCCCAAUAAAGACUCAACUCGAGCCUCCAAAUAAAGGUCUCACUCAAACCAAAGGUCUGGUCACUAGUAUGAAGACCAUGACUGACCAAAGGUCUGGUCAAAAAUUUUUCGUGACUAGUAGUCAUGGCCUAGUCUCGUCCAAUCUAGUCUAGUCAACCGAUCACUAGUCAUGAUUGUCGAUCCUUAAUUGAGAGUAGUUGGGGUGGAUGUUGACGAAAUAUUUCACUUUUUAGAGAGAGAAAAUACCAAUUGUUAAAAGAUAUUUCAAAGUAUAAGAAAUUAGUGAUAGCGAUAAGGUGAAGAUUGCAACAGAUUAUUCAAAUGAAGAACCCUUAAUGUGAUAUAAGUGGGUUGAUGCAAGGGAUUCUUUUAAGAACCUGCGGUAUGUAAGGCAAUGACUAUGCAAAAGAAUUGGAUCUCAACUAGUAGAGACAUUAUGAUAGUAACUACUAGAUAUUGAGCAAUGUGACACAAUAGUUGAAUAUAGAAAGGAGUUUUAAACUAUUAUCAAGUUCAAUAUACAAAAUCUUAGAAAAGACAUUAUUAAGUUAAAAGUGUUAGAGCCAUGAAUGCUUUAUAUUUCAAUGAUGAAAAAAUCACUUAAGGUUAAUUUAGAGUAAUCACAAUCAAUGAAUUAUGCUUCAAUAAUAUUUUUAUGUCAUUGAAUGUUAAAUGCAUCAUAAAGAAAUAUAUAAUAUGAACUAUAAUGUAAUAUGUAUAUCUUACAUAUGAAGCAUGAAUGUCAUGCUACUAAGUAUGUAAUUGAUAAGCUAAGUAAUGAGUGAACAUUUCAUGAUAUGAAUCUAAGUGUAUAAAUUAUAAAAUUAUGAGAAAUAUAUAAUAUUACAUGUUGCUAUGCGAAAAUAUUAUUAUUUUACAUAAAUCAUGACAAUAAAGGGAGUAAUGAUUUCAUCAAGCAAAUCAAUGAGUUUUGAUAAAGUAAAAUAUGAAUAUGAAAGCUAAAUCAGGUAUCUAUAGACCAUGAUUUUACUUUAUAAAUUUAUGAUGAUUUAAAUAUCAAUUUAGUUGAAUUAUCAAUUGAGUGUCGAAUUCAUAAAAAAUAAUGAAUAUUAUAUCAAACGUAUGUUGAAAAUUGUACAUGUCAAUCUCUACAUAUAAGUUAUUUGAAAUAUUGAGAACAAAGUUCAUGAUGCAUAAUUGCAUCUUAUAUCUUGUUUGACUAAAUUUAGAUUUUUUUAGUAUAAGAAAUCAUUACUUCUAUAAGAUACGUCAUAUUAGGUUCACAAUAGAGUUAUCAAAUUUUUAUCGGGUCUAUGUGAACUUACUAUUAUCAGAUAUGAACGUUAAGUCCUAAAUGAUUCAUGUGUUGGUUUUCUUAGAUGAUAUUAAAAAUACCUAAAGGACAUAUCAUAUUAUAUUCAUGCAAGUUUUGAAUUUAAUGAUAUUUAAUGUGAAUCUAGUCAUUGGAGAUCAUAAGAAAUCUAUGAAUAGUUUUCACCUGAUUUAUCUAUAAAUAUCGUUAAUUUCUAAUAAGAAAAAUUAAUUCUUAAUGACUAUAUUUAUUCUUCUAUAUAUUAUUUUUCUAUUAUGGUGAUUUGUGUGUAGUUAUUUCAAGAGGAGGAGAGAGAGAGGAUUUAUUAGCUGACUAUGUAUUGAUUGAAGAAGUAGUAUUUUUGAGAGGAGUAUUUAAGAUAUUUUUCUAUCCUUUAACUACACUUAAAGAUAAACCUUCAAAUGUGUGUACCAGCUGACAACAAUAGUAAAAAGAUAAAAAAAUAUACUUGGAAAAUAUUCAUCUUCCACUAUUGUAAUAGUCCAAAGCAUUCAAAAAUUAUCUAUUAGGAAUACCCAUGAUAGUCAAGUAUUAUAUUUGUGAGUUAUUGUUAGUGAUUAUUUUUGUAAUUACUUUGGGAAAUUGUCUCAUGAAAACAAUGAUGUAGGCCUCAUAGAGCCAUGAAUUUAGAAGAAAAUUUUAAGGAAAAAUCAUAGGGGAGCUGAUUUGGUGAAAUCAAUGGUUAUGAUUUAAGUGAUUUGAUAGUGAAACCCAAAGACAAAAAAUUCCCUUUGAGAGUGGAUAUAGGUUGAUGUCGAACCACUAUAAAUUAUAUUUUUUAUGAUCACAACCCAAUAAGGAUCAUCCCAAUAAAAAAAGAGGAUGACAACCGUCGGAAAUGACUUGACAAUCCAUUCCAUCGAUUUUUGGGCUUCGAAAGAAGUUCUAGAGAUCACCUACAUCGUCUUUGUCCAAGGAAAGCCUUCAAGGCCGUGGACAUUACACGAUUUCUUUUCUAAACACAUAGAAUUUCGACGAUCGCCGCCGCGAAGUCGGAACUUUGUUUUUCCUAUUUAAAACUUUUAUUUUCAUUUAAAUUAGUAAUAUUUGGCACGAUUUCAACAUCCAAUAUAUUUCGUACUUGAGUUAUGAUUCUUCAGACUUUUACAGAACUAAAUUUGAUCUAUUAAUUUGACAGUAAUCGCUUACGAAAGAAUUGUAGGUCAGAACUCUGUUUCCACUUGAUUCGUGUUCUUCAAGCAUUGACGUCACCUGAUGUCAUUGCCUUAUUUCCUUUUUGCAUUUAUUAAAUAGAUUAUAUUUAUCAUUCAGUUAAAAAAUCAUAAAAAAAUUGUAUUCCUUCAAGAAAAUUCUAAAAUAUUACCCAAUAUUAUAUUACAUCCAUGUGAUUGACUUGAAAAUUUCCCGCUAUUUUUGGAAUUUUUUAUCGAUUUAUAAUUGAUUUAUUCACUCUGAUAAAUAUUUAAAAUUCUAAGAAUUAGUCUUUUCUAGUUUUAUAAAUUUUAAAUUUGCGUGAUUUAUUAUACAAUGAUUAAUUCACAUCAAAUUUUGGCACCGUUGUCGAGGAUGUAUUAUAUAAUAUUUGAUAAUUUUUUAUUUUUUAGAAUAUAAAAAAAUAUAACUCUUGUUUUUAUAUUUUGUCUUAUAGAAAAAAAAAAAGAGAGAGUAGCAUGAAGAGCAAUAGAGCAAGGAUAGGAGCAAACUAAAGGAGGGUAAUAAUUAUUAAACUUUUUGCCUCGAAUUUAUUUAUUUUUUUGUAUGAUAGAAGAUCUUUACAUCCAAGACUAGAGAAUCCUCUCAUUAUCUUGCCUAAAAUUAAAAAUUUUAAAGAAAAAUUAAUUUCGAUGGAUCUUAAAGAUAGCACAAGUCAAACUGAGAACAAUCAUAUGGUCAUGAAAAAUCAUUAUAUCCCUGAUUCAUUUCAAAGAGCAUCUAAUAUUAGAGGUCCAUUAGCACCCACUAUUAAAUUCAAAAUAAAUUUAGGAAUUUUCUAAAUGCUUCAUAAUUUUCAUGGAUUAUCUUUAGAGGAGCCUCAUCAGCAUUUAGAAAAAUUUCAUAUGGUAUGUGAUUUAGUUAAUCUUCCUCAAGUUACACCAAAAAUUAUUAAGAUGAAAUUAUUUCCUCAUACACUUAAGGACAAGACUAGUUAUUGACUAUCUACUUUAGAUAGAGAAUUAAUUAGUUAGAAAGAUAUAAAAUAGGCUUUUCUUCGAAAAUUUUACCCUUUAAGAAAAACUCAAAACAUGAGAAAAUAUAUAUAGAGUUUUGCUCAAAGGCCAAGAGAAACUUUGCAUGAAACAUGAGAAAAAUACAAAGAUUUACUUAGAAAAUGUCAUCAUCAUACUAUACCUAAGUGGCAGCUCAAUAUAAUUUUUUAUGAUGGAUUAUUAGAAUAACAUAGGGAUAUGGUUGAUUUUAUAUAUGGAGGAGCAUUUAUGCAAAAGACCCCUGAUGAGAUUUAUAGCCUUUAUGAAAAUUUAAGUGAAAAUUUGAGAGAUCAAGCCUCUUUUAAGUUAUAUGAUAGGGAUAAGAGGAGAUGAAUGUAUGAAUUCCAUCAUUAAGAUGACUCUAAUCUAAGAAAUGAGGUUAAUCAGAUUAAUAAAAAAAUUAGAUAAGCUUGAUGUAUUUAUUGAGAAUUUUCAGAAGCUUCCUAAUCUUCCAUUUAGUUCAAAUAAUUCAUAUCCUAUGCAUAGUGAAAAUGAGCANNNNNNNNNNNNNNNNNNNNGAGAGAUCAAGCCUCUUUAAGUUAUAUGAUAGGGAUAAGAGGAGAUGAAUGUAUGAAUUCCAUCAUUAAGAUGACUCUAAUCUAAGAAAUGAGGUUAAUCAGAUUAAUAAAAAAAUUAGAUAAGCUUGAUGUAUUUAUUGAGAAUUUUCAGAAGCUUCCUAAUCUUCCAUUUAGUUCAAAUAAUUCAUAUCCUAUGCAUAGUGAAAAUGAGCAUUUCAAAUGUCAAUGUUAUAAUUUAGAUUUAUCAUUUCAGCUUAUACAAGAAUAAGUACAAGUAACCCACGGUUUUAAUAGAAAUAGGGAGACUUUCUUAAUUCUUAUAAUCAUAAUAUGAGGAAUAACUUUUUAUGGAGAGACCCAAAUAAUAUUCAAAAUCUAAAAGCACUUAGAUCCAAUUUAAAUUUUGAAUUUCGUCCAAAACAAAAAAACAUAUUUCAAAAAAUUCAGCCCUCUCAUACUCAACUUAAUGCUAUGUAAAUGAUGUAGCAAAUGAGUCAAAUGAUGCAACAAACUAUGAAUCAAAUGAUGUUGCAACAAAAAUAAAUUAUAGAGGCUCUUGGGAAUAAGAGAGAAGAGGGACAACUACAUAGUCAACCCAUAGAAAAUCUAGGAAAAUGCCUAACUAUUGGAUUUCAGUAAAGAGAGUCUAGUGACAUGAACAUAGAAAAAAACUCACGAAAUGAUAAUGUCAGGACAAUAAAUGCAUUAAGGAGUGAAAAAAUUUUACCUAAUCCUUAUCCUCAAAUAAUAGAAGAAGAAGAAAAUGUGGACAAUUCAAAACAAAAUCAAGAAAAAGAAAAUGAAAAACUUUUAGAUUCUACCAAUGAAAAUCUGAAAGAAAGAACGAAAAUUCCAUUUCUUAAAGCUCUAGAACCUAGACAAAGAAAGAAAAAGGAACAUAAUGAAGAAAUAAAGAAAAUUUUACAAGAUAUGUAAAUUAGUCUUCCUUUACUUACUGCAAUUGAACAUAUUCUUGAAUAUACUAGAGUUUUAAAAGAAAUGUGUACACCAAAAAAAGUACUUAGAGUAGAAAAAUUAUCUAUGCAUGCUAGUGUUUUAUUAUUAAAUCAAGUUCCAUAUAAAUCAAAAGAUAUUGAUGCUCCUUUAAUUUCAUGUGAUAUUGGUGGAUUUAUUUUUCAGAAUAUAUUGUUUGAUAUCGGUGCUAGUAUUAAUUUAUUGCAUGCAAGUAUUUAUGAUAAAUUUUAUAUUUCUAAUCUUAAACCAUCUACUAUCAUAUUACAAUUUACUAAUAGAUCAAUUAAAAAUCCUAAAGGUAUUUUAGAAAAUGUGAUAGUAACAGUGAAAGGAUGUAAAUUUCCAAUUGAUUUUGUAGUGCUGGAAAUGGAUUUUAAUGGACAAUUUUAUGACACCCUAAUCAUCUUAGGGAGACCAUUCUUGCAUACAGCAAAGAUGAAUAUUGAUUUCCCCACAAGUAUUACAAAAAUUUCAUGUGGAGAUCAAUCAGUAUAAAUUAAAAUCUUUGAGGUAUCAAAUGAUCUUAAGAAAUCUCAAGUGUAUGAUUGUCAUACUAUAGAAUUUUUAGAUAAUUUUGAUGGUCUAGAUAUUAUUGAUGAUUGUGUGACAGAAGAAUUAAAGGAAAUCGAAAACAUAAAUAUAGGGGAGAAGAAGGAAGAAGAUCACACGAAUUUAGAGCUAAAACUUCUUCCCUCUAAUUUAAAAUAUGUAUUUUUAGAGGAAAAUAACUCAUUCCCUGUCAUUAUUACAACUGAUUUGAAUAAUGAGCAAGAGGAAGAAUUAAUAGAAGUAAUUCGAAAAAAUAAGAAAGCUAUUGGCUAGAAAAUGGAUGAUCUUAGAGGCAUUGAUAUGAAUGUGUGUAUGUAUAAUAUAUAUUUAGAAGAAGGAGUUAGACCAAGUAGAGAACCACAAAAAAGAUUAAAUCCUAACAUGAUGGAAGUGGUAAAAAGGAAAAUUUUAAACUGGUUGGCUGCUGAUAUUAUUUAUCCUAUUUCAGAUAGUAAAUGGAUUAAUCCUACACAAGUAGUACCAAAGAAAUCAAAAAUCACGGUUAUAAAAAAUAAAAAUAGGGAAGAUAUACAAACAAGAUUAACCACUAGUUGGAGGGUUUGUAUUGAUUACAAAAAAUUAAAUUCAGUAACUAGAAAAUAUCAUUUUUCUCUACCAUUUACUAGUCAAAUUUUUGAAAAACUAGUUGGAAAAAGAUUCUUUUAUUUUCUAGAUGAUAUUCUGACUAUAAUAAAAUUUAUAUAAAUCUUUUAGAUCAAGAAAAAAUGACUUUUACUUGUCUAUUUGGUACUUUUGCUUUUAAACGCAUGCCCUUUAGAUUAUGUAAUGCUCUAGCUACAUUUCAAAGAUAUAUGAUGUCUAUUUUUUCUGAUAUGACUAGAAAAUGCCUUGAAAUUUUUAUGGAUGAUUUUUCUAUUUUUGGUGAAUCAUUUCAUGAAUGCCUAAAUCAUUUAUAACAUGUGUUGAAGAAAUGUAUAGAGAAAAAGUUAAUUUUGAGUUGGGAGAAAUCCCAUUUUAUAGUUAGAGAAGGAAUUAUGUUAGGAAAUAUUGUGAGUGAAAGAGGUUUGGAGGUAGAUAAAGCUAAAAUUGAUAUUAUAUCUAAAAUGUAACCCCCAAAUUCAGUAAAAUAGAUUAGAUCUUUCUUGGGACAUGUACGUUAUUAUAGAAAAUUUAUUCAAAAUUUUUCAAAAAAUUUUAAACCUUUCACCAUGUUAUUAUCUAAAGAUGUGCCUUUUAAUUUUGAUGAGAAAUGUUUUGAAUUUUUUUCUGAAAUAAAAAGAUUACUUACUGAGGCACCUAUUUUACAAGCUCUUGAUUCGUCUCUUCCAUUUGAAAUAAUGUGUGAUGCAUCAAAUUAUGUAGUAUGAGCUAUUUUAGGACAAAGAAAAGAGUCAAAACCCAUAGUAAUUUCAUAUGCUAGCAAAACUAUUUCUGAUGCUCAAUUAAAUUAUACUAUAACUGAAAAAGAGUUGUUAGCUAUAGUAUUUUCAUUAGAAAGAUUUAGAUCAUAUAUUUUAGGAGCUAAAAUCAUCAUUUAUACUGAUCAUGUAGUAUUAAAAUAUUUGCUUAAUAAGAAAGAUGCAAAGCCACGUUUAUUAAAAUGAAUAUUCUUGUUGUAGGAAUUUGAUUUGGAAAUAAAAGAUAAAAAAGGUUUCUAAAAUAUUGUUACUAACCAUUUUUCUAGAUUAAGUGAUAUAGGAACAAAUGCAACACCUUUACAAGAUGCAUUUCUAGAUAAGUAAUUGAUGGGAGCUCAACAUCAACCAUCACCAUAGUAUGCACAUAUUGUUAAUUUUCAGUUUCUGGAAAAAUUCCAAAACAGUGGGAUAAGAAUAGAAAAAAUCAUUUCUUUGCUAAGAUUAAAAAUUAUUUUUGACAUGAUCUUAAUUUAUAUUACUUGGGUAGUGAUCAAAUUCUUAGGAGAUGUGUUCUUGAAGAAGAAUAUCAUAGCAUUCUUAAAAUAUGUCAUUCAUCUAACUGUGGAGGACAUUUUUCUAGUAGAAAAAUAACUGCAAAAAUUUUUCAAUGUGAUUUUUAUUGGCCUACAAUAGUUAGAGAUGCUAUAGAAUUCAAUAAAACAUGCAUAUCAUGCCAAUCUAUAGGUAACUUAAGUAAAAAAAAUAAAAUGCCUAUGAGUAAUAUAUUAGUAGUUGAAAUUUUUGACGUAUGGGGUAUAGAUUUUAUGGGUCCAUUCCCAUCAACUGAAAAAUAUGAAUAUAUCUUGUUUGCUAUUGAUUAUGUGUCUAAAUAGGUGGAAGUUAUUCCUACUAGAACUAAUGAUUAUAAAAUCGUGAUGAAAUUUGUCUAGGAAAAUAUUUUUUCAAGAUUUGGAUGUCCUAAAGUGAUUACUAGUGAUGGAGGAACACAUUUUACAAAUAGACAUUUUAGGGAACUAUUAAAAAAAAAUGGAAUACACUAUAGAGUAGUCACUUUAUAUCAUCCUCAAACAAAUGGGCAAGUUGAAGUAGCAAAGAGAGAAAUUCAGAGAAUUUUGAGAAAAAUAAUUAGACUAGAUAUGAAGGAUUGGCCCACGAAAUUACAAGAUGCAUUAUGGGCAUAUAGAACAGCUUAUAAAAAUCCCAUAGGUAUGUCUCCAUUUUGUCUCAUUUUUGGGAAACCAUGUCAUCUUCUUAUGAAAAUAGAACAUAAAGCAUUAUGGGCUAUAAAAAAUUUAUAUAUGGAUGAAAAAUCAGCUGGUGAGCAUAGAAUUUUUCAGCUACAUGAAUUAAAAGAGCUAAGAAAUGAAGCUUACGAAAAUCAUAAAAAUUAUAAAUAAAAAAUUAAAAUCUUUCAUAAUAGGUAUAUCAGCAAAAAAAAUUUUAAAGUUGGACAAAAAGUAUAGUUAUAUGGUUCUAGAUUGAAACUAUUUUCAGGAAAAUUGAAAUCAAAAUAGACAGGACUUUAUGUGAUAGAAGAAAUAUAUGAUCAUGGAGCUGUAAUGAUUAGAGACAUUAAAAAUGAUCAUAGUUUUAAGGUAAAUGGACAGAGGUUUAAACCUUACAUAGAACAUGAAUGCCCUAUAGAAAAAGAGAUUUUAUUAUUAAAAGAAAUUCGAGAAUGAGAUUAAUGUGUUCAGCUUGAGAUAUUAAACUCAGCGCUGCAUGGGAGGCAACCCAUGGUUUUAUUUAAAUUAGUGUUUUACUUUUGUUGAAUUUCGCAACAUCUAUUUUUCUGUAUUAUUUUCUUCUUUUAAAAAAAAAAGAAUAAAAGUACAGGAAGAGUGUAAGACGAAGUGGGAAAUUGAAAGCGAGCCUAAGGUUAUAUGUUCUUGAACUUGAUUCUUUAUUACGGUAUUUUUCGUGCUUAAUUUUGCUUAUAUGCAUACUUGACUGAAAAUUAUAUUUUCUGUAAUUUGUGUCAUUAAGGACAAUAUCAAAUUUAAGUUGGGGGGUAAGGCGAUGAAGAUAUUAAGUCUAAAUGUUGUAGACUGAACAUGAACAUGUGUUGGUAAUUUUUCAUUAUCUAUAAGAGUAAUUUUUCGAAAAAAAUAUAGUGCUGAUUUCCUAGUUCUAUCAGAAAUAAUAGAAAACAAUGUAGAGUGUAGACUGUCAAAAACCAACAGAAAAAAAAAAAUAGUCAAAAAUUUGAAAUUUUAGAUACCGUUUUCUCACAUUUCAAACCCCUAGGCAUAUAUUGUUAAAAUUCGGAAUUACUAUUAUGAAAAUGAUAGUUUUGAUUUAUUAUUUUUACAAAUGGAUUGUUGCUGAAAAUAGAACUGACAGAACUGAAACAGAGGCAUAAUUGUCAGAACUAUUUAAUUUUUUACAUCAUAUUAUGUGCACAGAAAAAUUAAAUCAAUUAGAUUGAUUGAUAUCAAAGGAUAUUAGGAUGAUUAUUAUUGAGUUAAGAGAAUGAUUGAAUAGCCUGAAAUGUUGGAAUACUCCUUGGAUACAUUAUAUAUAAUAUGGAUUUGAUUUUACAGAUUUUUCACUUCAUGAUCUUGAUGGAUAGAAUUUACUUGAUGAGAAAAUUUGAUUGAUCAUUUGAGUUUAAUGGAGAUUUUUACACCUUGAUCUAUAGGACUUGUGAGGAGAAAUCACUUGUUUUGAAAAAUAAAAAAAAUGAGUAGUGUAAAAAAAAUUUGAAAAUGAGAAACACUUGUUGCAAAAUAAGUGGAUAAUGUGAAAGCCCUGGAAAUGAAGAGUACACAUGGAGGGUGUGAGACAUCAUUCUCAUUAUUGAAAUUUGUUUACAGGAAAAGCUACUUAUUCACCACAAAAAAAAAGAAGAAAUAUAGUGCAAACUUCAAAAAUCAAGCCAUAGGGAAGGGAAAGGUAGGAUCAAUAUUAUGCUUGGAUGAUUUUUGAUAAUUGGACCAUCUUAUGAAUUAUACUCAUAAGUAAAGAAGUGAUAAAGAUGUAGAUUGAAGAAGUGAACUUUAUAUUGUUAUUCUAAGGAGUGUUUAGACAUUUAAGUGUUUGAUAUCUUUCUUCAAUAUUUGAUAAAAUAGUUCAAAAUAUCUAGAGGUUCAUCAUUUCUAAUUGUAUUUUGUGCAUUGAAAUAUGAUGUCUGAAAUUUUUGAAUGAUAAUUAUAUUUUUAAUUCUAUUGCUAAGGGACUAACAAUGACUUAAGUUGGAGGGUAUGAUAAGUCUUCAUUAUCAUGAGUUAAUAAUUUAGUAAGAUGAUGUUUUUAGUCUUAACUCAGGAUAAAUAGACUUAUUUUUAUGUUAAAUCGUGAAAAGUAGUUUCUAGUUGAUUAAUAUGAAUUUUGCUUAAUUACAUGAUUUUAUAAUUUUAUUUUUUUGAGAGAAAUGAAAAAAAAUAUUUAAGGAAAAAGCAAAAAAUUCGCCGGCCAACCAAGCCCGCUAGCAAGUCAGAGGCCCAGUCGGGCGGAGCUACCGAGUGGCUAAGGACUAAGAGCUCAAGGCUCGAGCGGCUAAGGACCAAACCGUGAGCUCGAGGCUCAAGCGGCUGGCGACGCAGACUGUGAGCUAGGUGCUCAAGCGGCUGGCGACGUAGACCGCAAGCUAGGCGCUCAAGCAACUGACGUGUGCAUCACUCUCCUUCCACAUCACUGGUGGCCAGUGGGGCGUGGGGCAAGGAGUGUUCGUACACAUGCGUGUGAUUUGUACCUAUUGAUGGUUAAAGAAGCACCCAUAUUAUAUGCGCGUGAAACUUGCCCAGAAAACCGAUGUGAGACUAAACCCCGCACCUUACUUUUUCUCACAUAUUUUCUAAGUACUAACAAUGCCCCUAACUGACCGUUAUAAAAUUAUCCUUAUGACGUCAUACAUUGAGGACAUUAUAAUACUUAAUUCAUCUUUUUCCCCUUUCUCUCUCUCACAAGCGAACAAUUGGUGAAGAAAUCACGAUUUCCAAAGAACGAUUAAGCUGCAAAAAUCACCAAAAAUUCAGCAAAAACUUAGUCAACGCGAUUCGUAGAGUAUCGUGGCCAAAAUUGGUGUAGGAUUCUAGACAAAACAUCGCGAACUCAACAAAGAAAUUAUCUCUGCUUGAUCAACAAACAAGCUGUCACCGGGAAGAGGACGAUCUACCGGGAGACAAGUUGUCAUCUCCUGAGAGCGUACCAAAUGCGAUAAAAGGCCUCAUCUCGCUGCACUAACUUGAGGACGAAGCCCUUGAGAUGUACCCCACCUUCCUCCAACACACCAUCGAGUGACAGUCGUCGGAGGGUUGCAAGUCGCCAUAUUUCUAUUCCGCCGGAUGACAGCGUCGGAAACGAUUUGACGAUCCAUUCCACCAAUUUUUGGGCUUCGAAAGAAGUUCUAGAGAUCACCCACAUCGUCUUUAUUCAAGGAAAGCCUUCGAGGCCGUAGACAUUGCACGAUUUCUUUUCUGAACAGCAGAAUUCCGGUAAUCACCACUAUGAAGUCGGAACUCUAUUUUUCCUAUUUUAAACUUUAUUUUCAUUUAAAUUAGUAAUCUUUGGCAUGAUUUCAACAUCCAAUAUAUUUCGUACUUGAGUUACGAUUCUUCAGGCUUUUACAAAACUAAAUUUGAUCUAUUAAUUUGAUAGUAAUCGCUUAUGAAAGAAUCUUAGGUCGGAACUUUGUUUCCACCCGAUUCGUAUUCUUCAGGCGCUGACGUCACCUGACGUCAUUGCCUUAUUUCCUUUUCGCAUUUAUUAAAUAGAUUAUAUUUAUCAUUCAAUUAAAAAUCAUAAAAAAAUCGUAUUCCUUCAAGAAAAUUCUAAAAUAUUAUCUAAUAUUAUAUUACAUCCAUGUGAUUGACUUGGAAAUUUCCCACUAUUGAUUUAUUCACUUUGAUAAAUAUUUAAAAUUCCAAGAAUUGGUCUUUUCUAAUUUUAUAAAUUUUAAAUUUGUGUGAUUUAUUAUACAACGAUUAAUUCACAUCAAUGAGAGAGAGAGAGAGAGAGAGUCCUCAUGGACUUCACAACAAAGCCAAGAUCAUUACUUGCAAGUAAAUGUUUACAAUCUAAUAUAGCUUAGAUAGUACUAUUAAUAGACACAAAACACAUCUAGUGGCUCAUGACUUCUCUCAAGCAUAUAGAGUUGACUACAAAGAGACAUUGUCUCUGGUUUGUUCACCUCAAUUUCAUUUGUAUAUUGCUCUCUCACUAUCAAUCAAGGAUGGACAUACACUAAGCUUGACAUCUCUAAUAUCUUUCUCUAUGGGGACCUAAUCAAACACAUCUUUAUGGAGCAACAUUUAGAGUAUGUAUUCAUGAUUUUUUAAAAAUCCAUAUAAAGCUUAAAUUUUAAUAUUUUGUGUCUAUGUAGGGUGCUUAUUUCUCGCAAAAUCUAGAUGUCAAUUGAGUACCUAUACAUUGUUUUUUGUAAUGAAAAUAUUGUUCCAAGAAGGUUAAUCACAUUUAACACAAUUAAGGUGAUAUCUAUAUCAUUUACUAAGGCAAACUAAAACAAAGUCAAUCAUACAUUUUUAAUAAAAAUUAUCAAUUUCAUGAUAUUGGGUUUAUAAUGAUUUUACCUAAAUUUCUUUGUAGAUCAUUAUCAAAUAUUAUGUUUUUUAUGCUUCUUUCUAUUUUUGCCCUUUGUGGCUCUUGUAUAAAUGCUAAGGGCUUCUCGAUCCUAUAAGAAGAUACUCUCAUUUUCUCUUAUCUCUUUUCCUUCCCUUUCAUGGUGUCCCCUGGUGUAUGUCUUCAACUAUGAUUCCACACUUUUAUAGCCAAGUUAAUCCAUUCUAUCUAUGUUACUAUUGAUGUUUGAUGAAGUUGAUUUAUGGGUAAAAUUAUUAUCAUGUGUAUAAUCAAGUUCACACAAAUAAUAUUUAUUAGAACUUCACUCUUUUAGUUUAUGAUGAGAAAGGGUAGAUCCUCAAGGUAUCAUUGUAUUAAGAUAUUAUAAUUUAUUCUUAUAAUGAUGGCAAGAAUUUAAUGGAAGGAGCUUUUGAUUAGAGAUGGUUCAAUAAAAUAGAUAGAUGGAGAAUACAACUAACUAUAAUGAAAGAUUUAAAGUGGAUGAUCUAAGAGAAUGAUUGUACUGAGAUUAAGAUAAUUUUAGAUAGAAGAAUAAUAAAAGUUUCCUAAUUUAAACUACAGAGAUAAGAACAAUGAAUAACAAGGGAUGGAUUGACACAAACCUCAUUUUAUAUGUUUUUCCUAAGCCGAGUAAUACACAAUUCCUUAAUCUCUUGAACUACCUUCAAUGAUCUCUCCUUCAAUACACUCUUAAAUAAGAAUAGACCUUCAAACUCACAUUUUCAUUCAAACAACCUCUAUUGUGGCAAGAAGAAAAGUUAUCAUUUACAUCAAAAUAGGAUGUUUAUAUAGUUUUAGAUAAUAACUUCAAUUUUCCUCUAUUAAAUAUACAUCAUGGUUGUCCUCAUCGUGGAAGGUAAUUGACUCUAUGAUUCAAGGCUUGUUAAAAAUGAGGAAGGUGGGUCCUUCCAUUAGAUCCAUGUCUUGGCUGCUCCCAAACAUGGAAGGUAGCUGCCUCCAUGAUUUAAGACUUACUAGAAUUGUGGGAGGUGGUCAUCACAAUGAAUGGAGGAUGAUUACUUAGCUUGCUAGACCUUGGGCACCCUCCAAUUACAUUAAUUGGGCCUAGCUAGCUCAAUCAUGGCUUGGACUCAUUUCUCUCUUCUUAGAAGUUUUCUUAAAUUUUCUUAUGCUUUUGCACUUAGUAAAGGCUCAAGAAGACAUGAGAAAUUCACCACUUGACUAUUCCAAGUCAAGUGGGUAAGCUCAUUAAAUAUUACCUAAAAUUCGUGCAAAGUCAAGGCAGAGUAAAGAAAUUAUCAUUCUACAUGAUCUAAGAGUAAUUUAUAAAGAAUUUAUACAUAUUCAUCAUGAUUUUAUGCUCAAAUAUAUAAAUUGAUUUAAUAAUUAUAUGCACUUAUUUAUGAUUAUCAAUGCUUCCACUAUCAUUGAUGCUCUUGCCAUGUGCCCAUCAAUGCCACUAUUUGAAUUUGUAUAUGCGCACCUGCUACCCACUUGUUGCACCACUUGCGCUGCCUAUCUGCGGUCUCCUUGGCUUAUGCACCUACCACGUGCAUGCUCAUGAAUUUUUGUCUAUCUCCCCUCUAGCUUCAUUUAAUGUUGUGGCUAUCUCUUUGAGUGAUCGGUGAUAUUAUCAUCUGCCUCAAAUUCUCUCAUAAUAUUAAUUCAAUGUUAGAAAUUUGCUCGAGUAGUAGAAAUAACUCCAAAUUACACUCAAAGGGAAGCCUAUGAAGCACCUAUAAAAAAAUGGUCUCACUAAGUACGACUAAUGGCUGGAGUAGGAGGGCAUCAUUCAUUAUUGGAUCCUCGAUAAUAUAUAUGCCGAUGCUAGUGAUGAGUUUUUACUUCCCUACUAUGCAUGUGAAAUUUGGGGGAUGAUUGUCAAAAGUCACUCAAAAAAGAAUGGUGCUAGUCUUAUCUAUGUCUUAGUCACCAAGUCAUUUACUCAAUCAACACGACCACUCCAUGUUAGAUUAUGGCAAUAAAUUACACAACAUCAAGUGGGAGAUCAACCACUAUAUGCUACCAGACCCAAAUUAUGUGUAUCAAAGGUAUGUUUUGCAUUUACAUGUCUUCAAAUUUCUCAUGAGCCUUAAUCCUUAGUAUGAAUCCUUUCAAAGUCAACUCCUACAUCGGGAGAAAGCCCUCACCAUCAUUGAGGCCUUUACCAUUGUUCAUUCAAAGGAAAACUCCUAAAGCUAGUGGUAAACGAUAGUGAUAGUGCCCACCUGCAAAGCACAAAGGUGGCCAUCCCCCACCUCAAUCUACAAGCACCAUCAAGUUUGACACCAUGGCUCCUCAUGGAUCCCACCCGUCGCAUAAGGGUUCACACAACGAUCAAGUUUUUCAAUACUAUAAGAAGCUUAGUGUCUAAUUAUUUUUGUCAUUACUGAAAAAAAUUAACAAAUUUAAAGUUUCUAAAUUCUUGAAAAUAAGGCAAUUUAAGAAAGAAACAUUUUAUAGAGAAUUUUCUAAAUACAUCAUAGUGAAGAUGAAAUGUUAUUAAUUAUUUAUAAAUUUUAGUUGAUAGAUUAAAUUUUAGAAUUAUUUUUUGGAAAGUUUUAAAUAAUAUAAGCUAAAAAAUAAGUUUGGGAAUUGUUGACAUUAGCCCAUGAACAAUAACCCCAAAUUUAGAGUCAACAGAAAUACAUCCACUCAUAAAUAGAUUAAAUUGAAUCUAUAAUCAUUGAAAUAAAGAGAAAAUAGCAAAUGACCUUUGUUCAUAACAUGAUAGAGGAUUGAAUGAGGCUUUAUUGGAAUCUAAAAAUCAUUAAAAUAAACAAACAAACAUUAAAGUUUACAAAAGAACUAGGUGGCAUAGUCAUCGAUCAAAUUUCUACCCAAAAGAUGAUUGAUUUGUAUAGAUGUAAUGCACCAAUUGGUUUCCUACACCUUCUCCAAUUGAUAAUUGACAAUCCCAGCAAUGGUCACUUGUUGAAAUUGAGCAGCAAAGGUGAUUUGACUCUGAAUGUGCCACGACAUUUGGAGAAAGAUCCUCAGAAGAAAUUAUUCACCAUUUUUUUGGGAUGAAAAAUAAGGAAGAUUUGAGGAAGAAAUUCAGCCUCUAUAAUUGCUGAAUGAUAGAUAAAUUUGGAUGAAAUCUAUUGUUUAUAUUUGACGGAUAGAUUGGGUGAUUCCAACAUCUAUAGUUGCUGGAGGAAAUGGGCUUUAAUAUGAGAGGGGCAUAAGAUGAUCGAGGAUGCAUUCUUCUUCUCUUGAAACAAAUUUGUAAUCUUCCCAUGCAUUCAUUUCAUUGAUUUAUUUUAAUUAUAUGUUAUAUUUCUUGUCACAAUUAGUGUGUUCGUCGUUAGAACAAAAACCCUGAAAAUAUUGAUUUUUUGUUAAUUUUAAUCAAUUAUAAGGUAUAAAAAUGAAAUUCAUUGAAUUACAACAUAAUUUUGAAUCAAUAUUUUUCAAUUUACUUGGGUAAUUUCUACUAGAGAAUCAAUCGAUCAUUUAGGGUGAUUUUUUGUGUUUUUUAAAGAUUUUCAAUGAUUUUCUAAAUCUAAUGAUUUUUCUUAAAUUUUCUAUGUAUUUAUAUAAAAUUAAAAUAAAUGUAAAAUAUUAUCAAAAAUAUUAUAAAAAAUAAAAAAUGUGAGAAAAUAUUUCAUCAUAUUACAUGAUUGAUUUUAUAAUGUAAUUCUUAGAAAAUAAUCUCAAAAUCAUAUAAAUCAUUUUAAAUCAAAAAUUUUAUAAUUUAAAGUAUAUUUUAAAAUUAUUUAAAUUAAAAUUAAAGCAUAAAGCAUAGAAAUAUUAAGGAUAUUAUCAUGUAAAUAUUGAGAGUUAUCACCUAGCUAUAUGAAGGAUACUUGCCCGAAGAUCUUAAAUUGUGGGGCUCAACACGGCAAUCAUGUGACUACAAGCUUAGCUAGUGAUUAUGUCCUUCUCACUUCCCUAACUUCAAUUCUUGUGAUGGAUGUCUUGGCACCACUACUUUCCACACCAACUCCAUCUCAUGUUCUUGAAGUAUGACAACUUUAGGAGGAAAUUGACCAUCUAAAGUGGCUCAUUCACUCUUUCCAACAUAUGGGAUAUGCUCCCUUCGCCCAGACAUUUAUGACAUUUUUUCCUAUGAGUGCUUCAUAUGUUUCAUCUACAUCUCCAUGACUUAUCGAUUCAGGUGCAUGUUAAUCUAAUUUAAAGCUCUUCACCUUGUUCAUUUUUCUGUACAGUAAUACCUGAUUUUUUAGGGACAACAUGAAUAGGACUCACCAAAGCUAUCAUAUAUUGCAUAAAUAAAACCAGCUUAAAAAAAAAACCACUUCAAACAUGUGAGGAUUCAGGUGCCUUUGAGAUUCUCUAGAUGCCUUGACAUUUUCAUCAAUAAAAAUUCUAUUUUCACAUAUUUCCUUACUAAUGUCAUGAAUAUCAUCAAUUGACCAAACAAUAAUAGAUUUAUGCAUUUUAAGAAUCUCCAACAAUGAUAAUUCUUGAUCACUAGAUAAAUGAGAUGAGAUAAUAGCUAGAUAAGUUCUAUGAGGCCCAAGAAUAUUUAAGUGAGCUAGGCAACAACUUUAAUUAUAACUCAGAUGUACGUAAAUCAAGUGGAAUAUUUACAAUUUCAUCCUCAACUUCAAGUUCAUCAUCAUAAGGAACUUCUAAACAUAAAAGAGAAGAAGGUUGUUCAAGAAUUACAUCCUAAAUUACAUCACAAACACACAAAUUGUUUGUUAAAUUUUUUAAAAAUUUAAGGAGUGCAGAUACCUAAACUUCCACCUAUUCCUUUCCUACUUUAAUUUCAACAAUUACUUUUUCAAAAUCUACAGUAACUUGAGCUGUAGCUAAGAAAGGUCUACCUAAAAUUAUGGUGCAUGGCUCAAAUUCUCAGUACCCUUUAUAUCAUCUAGAAUAAAUUCAACAAGACAAUGGUAAUUUUCCACUCUCACAAUCACAUCCUUUAGCUUCCCAAUUGAUUGUCUAAUUGAUUCCUUUGUUAGUUGUAAAUCAAUAUAGAUGGGCUCUAAUUCACCAAAUUUAAAUUUAUCAAAAAUGGCUUUGGAAUAAUAUUCACACUUGCCCAUGUAUCCAAAAGUGUUAUACUAAAAAUCAUUCCCCCAAUUUCACAUUUAACAAGUGGAGCUCCUAGAUCCUUCUCUUCCUAGGAAUCUAAUUCAAUAAAAUGGAACUAAUACUUUUAGAUAAUUGUAUCAUCUUCUACUUUCUAGGUUGAGUACAAAGAUUUUUAAUAAACUUAGAAUAAUAAGGGAUAUUUUGAAUAGUAUCUACCAAAGGAAUAGUGAUAGUUGUUUUAUUAAAAAUCUUCAGCAAAUGACUAUCUCUAGGAGGGACUUUAGAAGGCUUUAAAGGUUAGGGAAAAGGAAUAAGAGGCACAUAAUCUUUUGGAUCAAGUUCAUAUACGGAUGGUUUUUUUUAUUUUCAUUAGGAAUUUUCAUUAUAACAUUAUCAACUUCAUCAUUUUUCUCAUCAUUAAGAUCUUCAAAAGAUCUAGGUUCAUAUGGAUUAGGUAAUUCCUUCCCAUUCCUCAAUCUAGAAAUUCCACUCACAAAUUCAUGCUCAUUAUGUUCUUCUUCACAAAAAAUAUUUUCAUUUAAUUCAAUAUGAUAUGAAUCAUCAUUCGCAUGAUCAAUACAAGAAAUAUUUUUAGGAUUAACACAAGGUUGGGUUGAGAGUCGACCUGAAUUUUAGGCAUUGUAACCCAUAUCAUCCAUUUUAUCUUUGUUUUUUUCACCUUUGAAGUUCCCUUGAAAACUACGCCCUCGUUGCCCAUGGUUUUGUCUCUCUAGUUGCUCAAUUCUAGUCUGCAUCAUCUUGUUCUUCUCUAGCACUUCAUCAUGUUUCAUCAUUACCUAUUUCAAAAGGUCUAUCACAGAGUUAGAACAUGCAUCUUGAGAACUAAAAGCAAAAUUUGGGCAAGGGUUAGGAGCAAAUUCUAAUUAUUUUGAUAAUUUUUUUGAUGAUAUGGAUGUAGUUGGUAGUGGUUGUUUCCCUCUUUAUUCCAUCCUUGAUUGUCAUAAAUUCUUCUUUGAUACCAAGCCCCUUGCAUUUGAGUGUUUCUCUCAAAUAUAUUAACUUGUUCAAAAGUAAUGAAAAUGUCAUUAGUAUUAUCAUAACUCUCACAAAUGGAAUAAAGAAAAGAAGCCUGAGAAACAAGAGAGGAUAAGGUAAAGUUAGAAGAAGGAUUCAUCAUAUUCUUCAUCUGCUUGGUAAGCUCCUCUACAACUUGGCUCACCUUGCCAAUGUCCCUCUCUACUUUAUCUCUCCAUAUACUUAGUUCUAUAACACUAACUUCAAUGAGACCUCCAUGUUUUGGUGUUGAAAUUCUUCCAUUCUAACUCAAUCCCUAAUAAUAAGCAUAGUUGCCUACCAAUGUCUCAAUAAUGUUAGUGGCUUCAUCAAUAUUUUUGUCAAUAAAAGUCCCACCACUAAUACUAUCUACUAAGCCUAUCUCAUGAUCAUCUAAGCCAUCAUAAAAAAUCUGAAUUAUUUUCCACUCAAGUAAACCAUGAUGUGGGCACUUUCUAAUUAGAUCUUUCAUUUUAUCUCAUGCAUCACUAAAAGAAUCAACUCCUUGUGUAAAAUCCCUAAUGGCUUUUCAAUAAGCAUUAGUUCUUCUAAAUGAAUAAAACUUUUGAAAAUAACAUUUUUCCAUUUCAUUCUAAUUUUGAAAUUUUUUACCCACCAUUCCGAACCAAUCUUUUGCUUUACCCUUCAAUGUAUAAGGAAACAUUCUCCAUUUUCAGCACAUCUAAAUCAACUCUGAAAAUAUUAUACGAAUCACAUUUUUUCACAAAAUCAUAUAAAUAAGCAUAGGUAUCUUUAUUCAAUUUCUCAUAAAAAGAAGGCAACAUAUUAUAAAGAUUAAAAUCAAUUUUGAAAUUUACAUUUGCCUCAAUGUUCCCAUAAAUUUGAGACUGAAUUUUAGUCUCAGCUGGUUCAUAAGGUUUCCUAAGCAUCAUUACUCUAUUUCCUUGAUUAUUAGCCAUCUUUUCAAAUUUAUCAUCAAAAUCAACAAAAAUAUCCUCAAAAUUCUGAUAUUUUUCCAUAGAUUCAAGGGUCACUAAAUGCGGUUUCUAAGAUCUCCUACCCUACAUGCAACUCAAAAGAUAAUUUUUUUGCAAAAAUAAAAUUCAAAGAGUGAAGUUUAGAAGUCAUCUAGUGACACCUUCUCCUUCUUCUCUCAAGAAAAUUUUCUACUGUUAUUAGCUCAAAAUAAUAAAAUAGAAUGGGAAAUGUUUUCUAAACAAAGAAUUAAAAUAAAAAUAAAAUUUUCCUAGCCUCCCUAGCAAUGGCACCAGUUGAUAAGUCCAAAUUUAAGGGUUUUGUGUUAUCAUUUUAAUUUAGAAUUAACCAAAAAUAGUUAAGAAAAUUUUCCACUUAGUUACUCAAUAUCAAACAUAGGGCAAGUAAGGGGUCAAUCCACAUGGAGACAAAAAUUCAAUUUCAGAAUUAUUUGAGGCCUAGAAAUGGUAGAAAUAGGUUAGGAAGUUAAAAUUUCAUUCUUAGGAAGUCUUUUUAUGAUUUCUAUAGAGCUUAAUAGAAUUUUCUGAAAUUCACUUGUACAGAAAACGACUAAUAACUAAUUAGAAUGUUUUAGUAUUUAUUUAUAAUUUAAAUUGAUUUUUUAAAUGCAAAAUAAUAACAAUAAAUAAUAACAAUGACUUACCUUGGUGGUUGACGGUCAUGUAAGGGGGAGCUGCAUGGGUCACAAAUCUCCCAUAACCUUUUUCAAACUUAACUAAAAUUUAGGACUUUCGGUUAUGUCUAGAAGAGGAGAGAGAGAGAGGGCGGCGGGCCUGGAGUAACCGGCAGCAAGCACACAACGAUUGACGAUAGGCAGCAAUGGUGAUUGGUGGAUGCACUGCUGCUAACAAUAGGCGGAAGCUGUGGUUGGAAGAUGAGAGAGAUGAGGAGCAGCAGGGGAGAGGUGAAGUGACAGAUCACAAUGGCGAUGGAAGAGGAAAUGGAUUUUUUUUUGUGACUUUUUAGAGUGACAAACUAGAGAGAAAUAAUGGCCUAGAAAGAGACAAACAUGAAUCCUAGAGAGACAAAGUGACCGAAAUGGUGGGGUAGAGGGAGAAAAUGAACGAAAAUGAAGGGAAAAUGGUGAGAAGUGAUGAAGAUUAAGUGAAAUAAGGAAUUGAUGCAUACCUAAGUUCCUAAAAUCUCUAGUGCUCGUUUCUUGAGCCCUCAACAUGUUCUCUCAAGUUCGGAUCCUUAUAUUCCACCAAGAUUUGAAGUUUUCCAAAUCAAAUAAGAGAGAAGAUUGAAUGAUUACUUUAAGAAACUUACACCAAGCAAGGAGAAACCUUGGACCUUGGAGAGCCUUGGCCUACUAGCUAGCCACUUGCUAGAGCACAUCUAGAAUGAGGAGAGAGAGAGAGAGAGAGAGAGAGAGAGAGAGGAGAGGAGNNNNNNNNNNNNNNNNNNNNGAGAGAGAGAGAGGAGAGGAGAGUUAUUAUAUAUGGGCACGCAUAACUAAAAUGCCCCUUCAUAAUUCCCUAAUCUCUCUCCAUAAAUUUCAAAAUCUCUUCCUCUAUAAUGGAUUUAGGAAGGUCUAAAUGGGCCUAGACAUGGCCCAAAACCUCCUCUAAUUUCUCCUUUAAACUCCAAAACCGAAAUUCCUCCAAAGUACUCAUAGUCCAUUAAGCGAAAUUUGAUCUUCUAAAGUGCUCCUAAUUUAUUGUUAAUUUCUGUUAAAUUCUGCACACAUGAAAACUUUAAAAUAUUUAUUAUUAAUAAAACCACUUUGACUUCAUAGAAGUCAAGUGGCUUAGUCAAAAUCAUGCAAAAUUCAUGCAUAAUGUGCAAAUAGUGAAAUCAAUUUAAAUAUAGGAAUAUUUAAAUAAUUAUGUUAAUAAAAUGAUAUUUCUAGGAUUUAAAUGAACAAAAUCACAUGAAAAGUAAGGAAUAAUCAACACAUAUAUCAUGUUAUUAGUGCCACAUCUCAUAGGACUCAUAACCCACAUUUUUUCACCUCCAGUGAGCAUCAUCACAGUACCCAUAAAGUCAUUACCACUUUUGGUCUCUUUUUAUGGUCAUCAUCAUUGGUAGUGUCAAAUUACCAUCCCUACCUCCUUACCAACACCCUCCAUGUUCCUAGCCUUUUGUUAAGCUCAUUUCUCUCCAUCAACUCAUUAAGGACUUGGAUCAUGUUAUCAUAUUUUUUAGACUUCUUAUUUUUAUUGUCACAAGGUCUUGGGCCAACUUGCUACAUUCACUAAGGUAGGUAGAGAACUGUACUUGGCUCUCACCUCCCAUUGUGCCCAUGUUGUGGAUGUCUCACCACUAUCCUCUUCAGUUCCCUCUUCCACAACUCCAAGACUUUGGCUUCAUCAUCAUUGCCUCAACCAUCUUUUCUUCUUUACUUUGAAUACUAUAUUUCCCUAGAUGUUAUGUGCAGUUGAUUUACAAACCUUUGUUGGUUGCUCAUGUCAUUUAGCUACACAUCAUAAGAGUUCUUAUUCUUCUUCUUUUGACUCCACUUAUUUGACUCUUUUUACACAGGUUCACAAUGAUAUCUAAGGUCCCACCCCCAUUUUUAGUACUUCCAGUGCUCGAUGGCUACUACAUUUGUCGAUGAGGCCACCUGCUACACAUAAAAUUUUCAACUUAUGCAUAAGUCAGAUAUCACUAAGCUUAUAGUGGACUUUUAUAACUUCAUUCAUACCCAUUUUCUAUGGGCAUAAAAUGAUUUUGAUCGAAUAAUGUAUGUGAUUAUGUGAACACAUCUACCUCUCAAUUUUUCCAAUGCCACAACAUCCUCCAUGAAAACCUUAUUUUUCCAAUGCCCUUAUACACUCCCCAACAUAAUUAUGUUGUUGAGUGUAAAUUUCAUCAUAUCCAUAGACUACUAAUAGCCUUAUAUUCUAGACAAAUGUGCCCAAAUAUUUUUAGAGUGAGGCCGCUUUAAUCUUUGCCCACUUGAUUAAUUAUCUUUCAUCUCCCUCUUUGACUCACAUUUCACCUCUUAACUGGUUGUCUCACCUUUUUCCUUUUGUACCAUUAUGUAUCCAACUACUAUCCCAUAUCUUCAAGUGCAUUUGUUAUGUCUUUGGUCACUCUAGGACUCACAAUAAACUUGAUCUCAAAGGACUCUGAUAUAUGUAUGUUGGUUACUCAUCUAUUCAAAAGGGUUACAAAUGUUAUCACCCCUCCCCCACUCUUAAAUUUUUUUUCAUUCGAGACAUCUCCUUUGAUGAAAGAUAUCCAUACUAUUCCCCAUCCUCUGACUCCCUGAUGCCCUCAGAUUAUGUCUCUUUUGACAUCCCCAAGUUUUCACUUCAUGUUACUAUUAUUUCUCUUCCCAACCCAUCACCAUCCUCUCAUAUUGAUCCUAUCUUAACUUUCUUCUAACCCCUCUGAGUCUCCUAUGGACACCAAUCUACCUUUUGACCCCCUUGUUCCCCUCUAGCCUUUUACCAUUUUGGUCAUCAAGUAUAUGUCUAGCAUGCAUCACUUCGGCUUCCCCCUUUGACUCUUUUGUCAAGCCCCUUGACCCAACUAUGUCUUUAACCUCUACCUCCCCUCCUAUCUCUAUACCUUCCUCUCUCCCUUAUCAACCUCUCUACCUCUUGGUCCACUAUAUCCUCGAGUAUUUCACAGCAAAAUGCCUUUCCUUCGAUGGCCAAUAUCUUAUUGGUCAUUUUGGGCCUCCCAAAGAAAAAGGAAUGGGCACGUCACAUUUUAAAUGGGGGGAGUCCUCGACUUGACUUUGGUUCAUUAGGAAACUAAGGAAAAGUCAACAGAAAUGUGCACACUAAAAGACACGGCAAUGUGAGUCUCAACGUGUCUGCCCGUAUUUCUACGUGGCUUAGCGAUUAAAAAAAACAAAUAUCUUAAAGAUCUGUCAUGAAGAGGAAGAGAGAGAGAGAGAGAGAGAGUUACACACAUGAAGGGGUGAACCAAAUGGGCGGACUCAAAAAUCUCGGGUGGAAGAAAGAUAUGAUACGAGGCAAAAACAUCCUAAAGUAUUUCACCCAAUCUCUCAAGAGAAAGAUCAAAGAUUAAAAAUUUCCUUCAGUUCUUAAGCAGUCAAAGAAAGUUUCCUUAUUAAAUCAAAAAGAAAUAUUACUGUCGCUUAUGGAAGAAUUGAACUUGUUCCUUCCCGUAAUAAUUUUCUCCGACAUUAAAUAUCAAUUUGAAUAAAAUCUCUGAUAUCUUUCGAGGAAUCUUCCUCGCCGGAUUGGAAAUCCAAAACAAGCAGCUGUUGAUCAUGGAAGGAAGCCAAGUCAACGGUAGUCGACGGGCGAAGCUUCUUCUCCUUUGGUGCUUUCGUUCCCGACUUCGUCCUCUCUCUCCACCCAUCCCAUUCCCCUCUUCCACCCCUGACGUCUUCAACCCCUCUCCCUCCUCCUCCUCCUCCUCCUCCUCCUCCAUCUACCCUGAAUAGAAUACAGAAAGCCAUGGGGUGGAGUACACGCAAAGCCUGACAGCCUCUGCCGAUUGCCGAUUGAUGGCCGAACGGGGGACAGAGCCCAUCAGCAAUCGGAGAAAUACCGGCGAAACGAAGUUCGUCAUCGCUUCUCAUAUCUACGCCGCUGGAACUCUCGUUCAUCGUAUUUCUUGUGGUUUUGGCGGCGAUUCCCGCGACUGUGACCGUUUCUGACGCCGGAAGGGUUCGAUUUGGAAUUCCGCUGCAUACGAUUAUUGCCGGCGUCUCGUCCUCUCCUGCUACCCGAGCCUUCCAUUUGCCCUACAACCUAGCUCUCCGGCUGCUCGAGGAUCGCCCCUCUGGAGGCUUCUACCCGUUCUCUGCUUGCUGGUGAUCGACGCCUGUCUUGUUCGUGCCCUCUGCAGUAAUCUUAUCCAUGGUUUUGGGCAUCUUGAUGGUCAAACAUUGAGCCAUAUUUGCACAUCCAUCGGGUUGACUAAGUUCAGGCGAUUCUUCCUGACCUCCGGCUGACCACCCAGCUUUCCUGACCAUGCUCGAUGCCCAUUCAUUUUCUUGUUGAGAUUGAACAAAAACUACAAAAAUAAUUAAAUGAAUGUGUCACUUGAAUCAAUAUGUGAUGGCUUUUCGCGGGCAUCUGUGCUCAAAAGAAGAAAAAGCAUCCAUAGAUUUCCUCCGCAGAUGGCUUCUGCAUUUACCUCAUCGGGCAUAGAUUCAUCCAAACGUCUGCAUGCAAGUGUAGAUAGAUAGAGAAGCACCCCUCGGGCUUGACCUUGAACCGUCUCUGGCCAACAACCGUCCAGUUCUAGAACUCUGCAAGUAGCUAGUUUCAUAUGUCGGCUGCUUCACCAUUCAACAUCGAAUUCUUUUCUGGGGAAGCUAAAAAAACUAUUUUUUCAUGAUGGGUCUUCACCCUUCAAGCAUCCUGCACUACUUUUUUUCACUAAGGAAGGUUCUAAUGCGGCUGUUAAUGUCUUUAUGACAGCAGGCUCGCGCUCUGUCUGUAGUUCCCAAACCAUGAAAUCAGGCGGCAAUGGUGAAUCGUACUAAUUCGGUUGUCAUCGGCGUCUCCGUCGGUUUGGCGGCCGGAAUUUUGCUAUCUCUCUGCAUUUUGAUCACCGUAAGAUGCUACCUCAGGCGCUCGCUCAAGAAGAAGAACAGCGAAGAGCGAAGCGCAUCGACCCUCCCGAUACGAAUCAACGACAUACUUGCAAGCAUGGACUCGAGCGUGUCGAUGGCCUCAGUCUCCGAGCCCUCCCAUGCCAUGCCGCCGUCUGCCAAAAGAGGCAUUCCCCGGCCUAAGAAGGUGGCUCACAGCGACAUAUUCGCCUCUGCUUCAGGCAUCCCGAGAUACUCGUACAAGUACGUGUUCGUAGGUGUUCUUCCCUCUGUGUUAGGCUCUGUAUCAGAAUUUGAGGAUAAUCUGGCGUUAUGAUCUUGAUGAAUGCCUUCCUAUGCCUCCUACUGAACUACACUGAACACAUGCGGUUGGUAUACUUUUCUGGAGAUGCGCGCCUGAGAAAGCUUUCAUUGGGUAUGUGUGGUAAGGAGGCUUCCCUGCAGAGAAGAAGAAAUCCAUCUAGGAAAGAUAUGUUCUUGUGCUGUUUCUUUUUUUAGCAUUAUUUUGGUAAAUAAUUGAAUCCCACCCACCCACACAAUUUACUUAAAAACAAUUUCAUGGUACAUUCAUUCCAUCAAUAAACUUCACUGGUCUCAACCAUGCAUGGAUAGGUGAAUCAUGCUGCAAAGCUCUAAGCAUCCUGCUAUGUUCUUGAACUUUUUUUCCAUACGGAAGCUAAAAAACUAUUUUUUCAUGAUGGGUCUUCACUCUUCAAACAUACAAAAUCUAUCAUGAGAAUAACUUUUUUAUUUGUGUUAGACGCUGUGUGGGUGAGCAUCAUCGUUUUAAAUGCCACACAUUUGAUACCUGUGUCAGAUUCACUUGCACCGAACCCGAUGUGGCUUAUCCGUGGUGUAUAUUUUCCAGAGACAUCGAGAAGGCAACACGCAAUUUCACUACUAUUUUAGGGCAGGGAUCUUUUGGACCAGUCUAUAAAGCCCAGAUGCCCAGUGGAGCGGUGGUUGCUGUGAAGGUACUGGCCUCUAAUUCCAGGCAAGGGGAGAAGGAGUUCCACACAGAGGUAGUUGUUCUUCAUUUGCAAAUCCCCAUGACGCUACACAGAUGCCUCGUCUUCUGCAGGAUGAUGGGAUUUAGUCCUCUUGGGUUUAUUCUGGCCAUGAAGAAUCUUGAUUCAUAUCGCUGUUUUUGGCAUCUUGAUGCUGUGCUAAGAUCUUCCCCAUUAAAUCUAAAAGCAAAACCUUGGACCCUUCACAAAACAUCCUGUAGCGCGUGCCAGUAGGGGAGCUGCUGCUAGGAUAAAGCAUCUAAUGCGUUGACUGAUGAUAUGGGGAUUGGGAUAUUCAUAAGCUCCGAUAUAAACGAAAACAGUAAAGAUUUGAAAGUUUGAUCCCUCUCAUCGCCGAGGUUUCAGAUUCAUAACUUUCGGAGAUUCAUACACGAAUUUAUCAUGUACGCUGUCAGGAACAGAAUCUGAGAUAACUGACGAUGGUGGGAAUGGAGAGUUGACUUUCUUCAUUAUUCUGACCACCAAAUCCAGAAGAACUAUAUGGUCGUCUAUGUUUCCAAUAAUGGUUCCAUUUUCCGACGGCCAUCUUGCUUGCUAUAUCUUCCAGUGAUUUAAUCAUUUCCCGCAUAGGCAGAAAAGUAGUUCGCCGACUGUCGUUCUUCUGAUGAACAAAACUUUGGCCUUCUUCCCUGUAUCGUUUUGUUCUUGUUCAUCCCAUACUGACUGUGGAUUCUACAGAAAUUCUCAACUUCUGGAUGAAUUUUUUCCCUAAGAAUUUUCUCAUGAUUUGCGCAGGUACUCCUGCUCAGCAGACUUCAUCACCGGAAUCUUGUGAAUCUGGUUGGAUACUGUGUGGAGAAAGGCCAGUACAUGCUCGUCUAUGAAUUCAUGAGCAAUGGAAGUUUGGCAAACCAUCUGUAUGGUAAUUUUUUGUACCACUCAAAGUUUCUAUAAUUAUCCAUCGCCCAUGAGUAUGGAAUUUUGGGAUGCCUAUCUUGGAAUGAUCAGCUGGAACCAUCUCUACUUGUUGUAAUUACGCAUGAUAUUUGAUUUACCAUCAAAGAUUCAAAAUAAAAAUCUUCUUGUAGUACAAUCUUUAAAAUCAUCAUAUUUUAAUGAGUUAUAUAAGAGACUAAGCUCGGACCAUUCGGCACAUCAACAGACUUGAAAGUACUUCUUUUGGGUUUCAGUUCAUAUCCAUUCAUUCCAUUCAUCUCCCUGCGCAUCCGUCGGCCUUGUACCUUUAAUCUAUCCUUCAUUGGAAAUUUUCUUCAGUAUCUUGAGCAUCUGCUUCUUUGUGCCAUCAGUGGAAGGUGUGCGCAGUUUGAGCUGGGAGGAGCGGCUCAACAUCGCACUUGAUAUUUCUCAGGGCAUCGAAUAUCUUCACGAAGGGGUAAAUCUUAGUGAACGGACUCUGUUCUUUGUUCCUCUUCGUCUACGGUGUUGCUAACUCUCACUCACUCUUGAACAGGCGGUCCCACCUAUAAUACACCGAGAUCUCAAGUCUGCCAAUAUACUCCUUGACGGCUCUCUGUCUGCAAAGGUGGGAAUCCAAGCCAUGGAAGCUGUAAAAAAAAUUAAUAAAAAUAUGGCGUAAAGAGAAGUAGAUGCCGAUUAUAGUGAUCUUAUAUGUCGACUAAAACCAUCCACACAAUCACAAGAUUUUAUUUUCUUUUUUCCGGGUGUGGUUAUAUAUCAUUAUACAUCUCCUCGCAUCCAAGCCAACUUCUAAACUGUGUGCAGAGAACUGGGAUGAGCGCCACUCAGAAGUCAACCAUUGGCUCUAAGACCUUGUUAAAGUGUUGGGUUUGGAUCAUCUAGCUGAGAACCCAUUGGCAAUGAGCAAAGUCAACCCAUGUAUAUAAUCUACAGAUAAUAUAUAUCAUUAUUUAUUGCGAUCCAGGACUGUUCUAGCAAUCGGUGACUGAGAGUCAUUUUGGAUAAUUCCGGUUAAUUCAUGAUGUCGCUUCCCUGAACAGGUUGCAGAUUUUGGGCUGUCCAAGGAAGAAAUGGCCCUCGACAGGAGGGGCUCGGGCCUGAAGGGCACAUACGGCUACAUGGACCCAGACUAUGUGUCGACCAACAUGAUCACCACGAAGGGCGACAUCUACAGUUUCGGCAUCAUAAUGUUUGAGCUCAUAACGGCCAUCAACCCCCAGCAAGGUCUCAUGGAGUACAUCAACCUGGUGAGUCCGUGGAUCCAAGCAUGAUAUAUCUACAGAAAUGGCAUCGUUUUCAUCUGGGUGUGCCCCCCAUUUUAUUUCUUUCCACCCCACCACCCCCACUUAGUUGAUGAGUUAUGUUUAAUGUCCAUUUAAUUUGUUUAUUUUUAUUUAUUUUUACUGGUCCCAAGCAUGCGUGCACCAUUUUAAUUCAUUUUUGAGAUGGGUUUUCGUUCAGCUGCCCCUGCUGAUGAGAUCAGCUUGAUUGUGCAUUUGACAUUUUUAUUAAUCUUUUUUUUCAUUUAAUAUAUGCAGGCGGUCACCGGCGGAGAUGGAAAAGCCGACUGGGAUGAGAUACUGGACAAGCGGCUUGUGGGGGAGUGCGAUCUGGAAGAGGUCCAACUCCUCGCCGACAUCGCUUACAAGUGCCUGCAGACGAUGCCGAGGCGACGGCCGUCAAUUUCAGAGAUCACCGAGGCCAUCUUGAGGAUCAAGGCGCGGCGGCGCCGCCUUCCCAAUGGCCAGAACAGCACUUCUUCUUCUUCUCCGGCGGACGACGGGCCUGCCAUUCUGGAGAGAAUACAGGCCCAGCAGAUUGAGCUGAGCAGGAUGACCAGCGGAAGGGGUCGCCCUCGCCCUGCCAUCUGACCGCCGGCAGAGAUGGCGGCGUGUACAUAAUACGAUGCAUUGCAAAUGGGGGAUGAAGUCCACCGCGCCGUUGACAUUUCUAUUUACGAACAGAGCGAGGACCAAAGUCCCCACUUUUCCGGCUUCGGAGGGGCUUGCCAUCACUUAUUAAAGGGGGUAUUUGCCCAAAACUGGACUGCCCACCUGCGUUGAAGAGGCGAUUGAGAGCUCCGAAUUCAAAGAUUUCUUUGACCAGCUGCCAUUUUUCGUUGGGCUUGAUGGUGCCGAUGAUCUCAGAUGGGUUCGGAUGAAUUCGCCCAUGAUAAAAACGGGGCAAAAACGGAAGAACACUCCAGAAUUAGUAUCAUGAGCUCGUGGGUGGAUGGCAUGAGGAGCAAGAGAAGCAGCAGUAGCAUCUUAUACAGUACUAAGCUCCACUGGUUACAACAGCUAGAGAGAGGCACCUUUGAGCGCCGAAGAAGGCUCUGAGAGCACUCUAGCAGCUUUCUUCCACAGCAAUAUACACGGCCUUCUUCCUUUCCCAUAACUUUAUUUAGACAUGGCCCAACAAGGCACACAGGGGAUAGGNNNNNNNNNNNNNNNNNNNNAGAGAGAGGAGCACACCCACGUCCUCCAAAGGCUUCUAAGAUUUUAAUCUGGGCCUAGGAAAAUAUUUACAGAAGCACGUACCUCAUCUCCCUGCGCUAAUCUCCUCCUGAAACGAGCUCAAACUCACGGAAAAAAAAGAGGACACUCCGCCUCCCACCACCGUGGCUUUAUUCUCCUUCUCUCGUCUUCUUCUUCUUCUUCCUCUUCGCCAGCCGAGGAGAGAACGGGGGAACAUGCCGGCAUGCUGCAGAAGGGCCAAAAGAAGAGCUCCAACAUCCGCAUCCGCCUCCCCUCCCU